rnacentral:lncRNA from 1 species
GCCGCUCCUCGGCCCUUAGGUAACGAACCAAUCAAGUCGAUUCCCCAUUGAGCGAAAGGCCACGGGGAUGUCAUAGUGGUCAGCUUUUCUGGGGGUUGUGCAGGAAUCUCAGAGAAGCUUUGGGAGGUUUUACAGUUCUUUGCCAUCUUUUUCGCAUCCUGGUGCAUGGUCGGCCAGAAGUAUCCUUACUGGAGUGCCUUGAAGGCUAAAGUUCUUGCUCCCGAGUGAUUGUCGCAUAUUCCUUUAUGGAUCUCCCUUAGUACAUAAUCUGUCUCCUCGUCAUCCAAACAUCUCAAAAGGGACAAGGUGAACCCUCGGCGGUACAGCAUUCCAUCUAGUAGCGUGUACCUCGCUGCUCGGCAUUUUAAUUUUCUUGCUUGCCUUUUGUCUUCUGGUAAAACUCCAUCGCGCACAUAUGCGCGAAUCGGGUCCAUCCAGGAUUCACCAGUGCUUACUCUCAUCACCUCUACUUCCUCCCUUAUACUUGGCGAGGUCCUUACCUCUAAUGGAACCGACUUAGGUAAUUUCGGAUCUGCAAUUGCAGCCAUCCUAGCCAACAUAUCCGCUCAGUAAUUCUCAUUUCGGGAUAUCUGCUUUACCUCCACCUCUUGGAAAAGCCCGACCAUAUGCUUCGCCUUCUUCAAAUAAAGACCCAUCCUCUCUCCCCUUGCUUGGAACUGAUCAUUGAGCUGAUUACAUACCAAUUGGGAAUCUGAUCGAAUUUCUACCUUCUCUACUCUUAAAGCGUGUGCAAGUCCGAGCCCGGUGAUAAAGGCUUCAUAUUCAGCUUGGUUGUUUGUGAGCUGGAAUUCGAACUUCACUGUAUACGUUAUUUCGGUUCCUUCUGGGCUCCGUAUUACAACUCCCGCUCUGGAUCCUUGCUCACUACAUGAUCCGUCAACCAUUACCAACUACACCCCCUCUGUUUUCUCCUGCUCUAUUGGUUGCUCCUCCCGAAUUUCUUCCCCUAGCUCAGCUCGGUCAACCAUAAAUUCUGCCAAAGCUUGGGCUUUGAUUACUCCUCGGGGCCUAUAGGAGAGGUCAAAUUCACUUAGCUGCACGGACCAUUUUACUAACCGACUAGAUGCAUCUGGUUUUUGAAGUGUUUGCCAAAGGGGCUGGUCAGUCAUCACAACAAUCUGGUGGGCCUGAAAAUAUGGUCGGAGUUUUCGUGCUGCCGUUAUUAGACCCAGUGCCCACCUCUCUAUCAAUGGAUAUCUAGUUUCUGCGUCUACCAGGACCUUACUUGUGUAGUAUACCGGGUGUUGCUUUCCUUCUUCUUCCCUGACUAAUACCAAGCUGGUAGCCCAUUUAGAGAUUGCCAAGUACAGAAACAGCUGGUCACCCUCUCUCGGAGUCGAUAGUAACGGGGCGCGGGUCAGAUAUUCCUUCAGCUGCUCAAAUGCUUUCUCGCACUCUGAUGUCCAUUCCAUCUUUCUCCCUUUCUUUAUGGUUUGGAAGAAAGAGUGGCAUUUAUCUGUGGCCCGCGAGAUAAAUCGGUUGAAUGCUGCCAACUUCCAUGUAAGGCUCUGCACCUCCUUAACUGUCCGUGGGGACCUCAUUUCUGUCACCGCCCGUAUUUUUUCUGGGUUGGCCUCAAUGGCUUACCAGGAAUCCCAAGAACUUGCCUGAGCUGACCCCGAAUGCACAUUUGUCUGAGUUCAGCUUCAUUUCGUACUUCCUCAGCAAUUCAAAGGUCUCUUCUAGAUGCUUCACAUGAUCCCUUGGCUCUUUGGACUUUGUAAUCAUAUCAUCCACAUACACCUCCAUAGUGUGUCCAAUCAACGGUUUGAAGAUCCUGUUUACCAACCUUUGAUAGGUGGCUCAUGCAUUUUUUAGGUCGAAAGACAUUACCAUAUAGCAAAACAAACCCAUGUUAGUUAUAAAAGUGGUGCUUUCCUCAUCCUGCUCGUCCAUGGGUAUCUGGUUGUAUCCAGAAAAGGCAUCCAUGAAAUGUUUGCCAAAGGGGCUGGUCAGUCAUCACAACAAUCUGGUGGGCCUGAAAAUAUGGUCGGAGUUUUCGUGCUGCCGUUAUUAGACCCAGUGCCCACCUCUCUAUCAAUGGAUAUCUAGUUUCUGCGUCUACCAGGACCUUACUUGUGUAGUAUACCGGGUGUUGCUUUCCUUCUUCUUCCCUGACUAAUACCAAGCUGGUAGCCCAUUUAGAGAUUGCCAAGUACAGAAACAGCUGGUCACCCUCUCUCGGAGUCGAUAGUAACGGGGCGCGGGUCAGAUAUUCCUUCAGCUGCUCAAAUGCUUUCUCGCACUCUGAUGUCCAUUCCAUCUUUCUCCCUUUCUUUAUGGUUUGGAAGAAAGAGUGGCAUUUAUCUGUGGCCCGCGAGAUAAAUCGGUUGAAUGCUGCCAACUUCCAUGUAAGGCUCUGCACCUCCUUAACUGUCCGUGGGGACCUCAUUUCUGUCACCGCCCGUAUUUUUUCUGGGUUGGCCUCAAUGGCUUACCAGGAAUCCCAAGAACUUGCCUGAGCUGACCCCGAAUGCACAUUUGUCUGAGUUCAGCUUCAUUUCGUACUUCCUCAGCAAUUCAAAGGUCUCUUCUAGAUGCUUCACAUGAUCCCUUGGCUCUUUGGACUUUGUAAUCAUAUCAUCCACAUACACCUCCAUAGUGUGUCCAAUCAACGGUUUGAAGAUCCUGUUUACCAACCUUUGAUAGGUGGCUCAUGCAUUUUUUAGGUCGAAAGACAUUACCAUAUAGCAAAACAAACCCAUGUUAGUUAUAAAAGUGGUGCUUUCCUCAUCCUGCUCGUCCAUGGGUAUCUGGUUGUAUCCAGAAAAGGCAUCCAUGAAACUGAGCAGACUGUGACCUGCUGUUGAGUCCACCAGCUGAUCUAUUUUAGGUAGGGGAAAGCUGUCCUUCGGGCAUGCCUUAUUGAGGUCUGUGAAGUCCACACACAUUCUCCACUUCUCGUUGGCUUUUUUUACCAGUACUACAUUGGAAAUCCAUUCCGGAUACUUGUUUUCCCUUAUAAAUCCUGCUUUCAACAGCUUCUCCACUUCGGUGUUUAUGGCAUCACACCUUUCCUGGUUAAAGCAUCUCCUUUUCUAUAUCACCGGCCUCGCCCCCUUCUUGAUUGCCAACUUGUGGCAAGUUACCCUGCUAUCAAUUCCUGGCAUGUCCUCGUGAGACCAGACGAAUAUAUCUGCAUGGGACUGUAGGCACUUUACCAGCUCGCCUUUUACUGUCCCGACCAAUCCUGAUCCGAUCUUAAUCACUCUGCUCGGGUUGCUUUUACUUACCACAAUCUCUUUUAGCUUCUCAAUAGGUUCUUGGCGACCCUUUUUAGAAUCUCCAGCAUUAUCUAGAGAAGUAACCUGUAGUGUCUCCUUGGCUGCUGUAGCAUAACAGCUCCUUGCCAUCCUCUGGUCGCAUUUUACUACGCCAACCACUCCAUUUACUCUGUAUUCCAGUGCCAAGUAAUGCGUUGAUAUAACGCAUUGGCUUAUCCUCAUGAACGGUCUCCCUAAUAUCAUUUGGUAAGGGCUUCUUUCCUCUAUCACGACAAAGUCCAGUAUCAUCGUUCUUUCAAACGACUUUGUCCCCACAGUAAUCGGGAGUUCAAUGAUCCCCAUGGGAGUUAACCGUCCUCCUCCAAAUCCCUUCAAGGAUGUAUUCGUCCGCUCCAGCUUUAGAUCUGAAAUCCCCAUAUCAUCUAGGGCCGACUUAAACAGAAUAUCGACUGAGCUGUCCGUGUCUACCAGUAUUCGCCGCAAUUCUGUACUAGCCACCAAUGCUUUAAUUACCAGUGCAUCCUCAUGAGGAUACAAAAUAUCCUCUUCGUUAUCCUCCGUCCACAUAAUGGGAACUUGCCACACUUUUACUCUCUUGGCUGCUGGCAAAUUGAGAAGCACCUCUUUGCCAGUCAUGGCGUAUCUCCCAUAGUUCUUCCGUGCUCUGUUCGAAUCCCCGGCCAAUGUUGACCCUCCUGCUAUCACACGGAUGGUCGGCUUUUCACGUUUCAGACUCUUCUCAACUCCUUCAUCCCACGUGUACUGUGAUUCAAUGACAGGGGACACUCCAUCUACAUACUCAUCCAAGUAUCGAUUUCUCACUAAAUCCUCUACCUGAAUCUUCAGGUCACGACAUUGGCUGAUAGUGUGACCGUGGGUGUCGUGAAAUUUACAGAAUCUGCUCUUAUCCCGUCGGUGAGCCGGUUUUGUUAUAGGGGCUGGAGGGUACAACAUGCCUUAUCCCUCGAUCCUCUCAUACAAUUCCUCCAUGGAGAUCUUUAAUGGAGUGUACUGUCUAUAUGCCAAGCUCUAGUCUACCAGUUGAACUGCUCGGCUAUCAUAAAUGUCAUCUCGGGCUGGUAUAAUCGCUAGCUGAUCUGGUCGUCCAGCCCUGGAACUAGUUGCAUGUAACGCUCUAGGAGUGUUGUGAUAAGGGUGGGCAGCCAUCUGCUUGAAUUCUCGUUACCGCUCUGGGAACAGGGUGCGCGAAGGUUGGGCCCGGCUAUGUUGGAACUGUUGUGGUCUCUGAGCUAUGAGGUAAGGGCAGGACCGAGCUGAUAUUCAGCCCAUAACUGAGGAUUCCCUAGCUCGCUUUCCCGAUCUGCUCCUGUUCGGGGCUCUCCGUUCUUUUCGCCUCAGCUCUUCCAGCUGUUCACUCUUUAUCCUUACCGAUUUCUCCUCUUCAAUUUCAAUCUAUCUCGCCUCGCCUGUUCAUACCCCGCUGAAUAAUUCUGCACUAGGGGGCUUCUUAAGUUAUACCACAAUCGACCGAUUUUUACACCUUCUUUUAAUCCCCUUAACGCCUGUGGGUGAUUAAAAGCUCCCAAAUCUAGCACGGCCCGGUGAUAUUGCUUUACAAAAUCCUGAAGGGACUCAUGCUCCUCUUGUUUCAUCCCCAUCAGUUCCAUCAUGUCGUCCUCUGGGGCUACUGCCCAUUGGAACUGUUCGGCCAACUCUUGGCACAUCUGCUCGUACCAUUUUAUACCUCCUCGGGGCAGCUUGCGGUACCAUUCUCGGGCUCGCCCCUCGAGUGUCAACGGGAACACCCUGCACCUUUGAGCUGGUGUCAACCCCUGCACCCCGGUCAUGUCGUUGAAACGCUCAAUAUACACCAGAUGGUCACUUCAACUGGAGUAUUUGAGGUCGGGGAAGCGGAAAUCUCUUGGGAUUACUGUACCCAUGAUCUCGGUUGAUAACGAAGAUUCUUCAUCCAGCAUUCUUGCUCUGUAUCUCCUCCAUCACCUGCGCCAAUCUGUGCACCUCCCCUUCCAAUUCUACGGCACGGUCAGGAUCACGUGCAGCUAUCUGGUCUCGUUCCAGCUCGGCAUUGUGCAACCGCUGUCUGAGCUCUCCUUCAUCAACACUGGCCCCUCGGCCAUUGACUUCCAGUACCCGUCCGGGGAGAGGUUGGUCCCUCCAUUCAUCUACUCGUUCUCCUGGAACCCGACCAAUGCUUCUGUGGGGAUGCACCCCGUUAGGUUGGUCUGCCGGCGGAGGGAUUUCCUCGACUCUAUGCCUCCGGAGGCUGGGUUCUGCUCCAACAUCAUCUCUCCCCACGAGGGUUUCACAAUCCCUUCUCCGCUCAUCCCUCAGCUCGUACAGUAUGGUCGCGAGAGUCUCCAUUUGUUUCUCCAUCCGCUCCAAUCGAUCUUGCAUCAUCCUCUCCCGGGCUUCAUUUGUAAUUUCCCGAAGAGUGAUUGUCUCCCCAGCUUCGUUAUCCUCCCUCAAAGCGUCCUUCCUUGGCACAUCCAUGUCUAAUCGUUCGUUGUUUCUCCGGUAACUACUAAUUCGGUGGUAGCUUUUUAUCCAGCUCCCCACAGACGGCGCCAAAAUGUUGAUGCUGAAAUCUGCUCGCCCUUUGACCGACCAGAUUCUUUCACCAACGUUUAUGUUAUCAACUGUUGCUCGAACCACUGGGGUUGAAAUCACCCUCCUUUCUCUUACUAGACAUGCGUUCACCAAAAACGGAUCAGAGACACCGGUGGUUUUGCCGGCGUAAACCCUCCGAUGCCUAAGUUAGCACAAGGUGUUUACAGGAAAACAAUACAAUUUGGUUUUAAGAAUGGUUUCUAGUUUAUUCAAAGUUUGUAAGAAAAUUACCUGGUUGCAAUUUGGCAUCAUUUUCCUUCUCUCCGUUUUUUCUGUCUCCUUCUUCAUCGAUUUCUUCUUCUUUUAUAGCCGUUGUCCCACGUUUCCAUUUACCCUUCAUCCCCCCUUUUUCGGAUAGUGGCAGCCCAUCAUGGGACUUUAACUGCUACAUUGUGGGCAAACGUGGGAUCUCGCGUCUCCCGCAACGGUUCUGAGAAAAGCGCAACUACCGUGAUUUUAUGGGAUCGUGUUCCCGCUUUUUGGGGAAUUGGUAUCGGCUCAGUAUAUGACUCUGGUCGGUAUAUUACCCUGGCCGGUACUCGUCUCUAGUUGGCUCAUGUUUAUCCCCGUGUUCUGCUCAUACCACUUGGCUGAGGUGAUCCAUGCCGGGGCGGAAAUAGUAGCAUGGCCGACCUGGUGCUUUUAUUUACUUAACAUCAGUGUUUGAAUCAAAGAUUUAAACUCCCAGUAAAAUGCUAUUUCAAGUCAUCAUAGAUUAAAGUAUGGCCAUGAGAGAGGGGAAUCAAUAGCCAAAUCUACUGGGACAUGAACUUGCCCACCAAAGAAAAAAGAUGAAUUUUUUUUUUUGAUUGUUGUCAAUAUUUUCUCUCCAUUAGAGUUAAAGAUGUUAUAUCAUGUAAUGGUCAGUUUAAUUAGGCUUGUUCAGUUUACCGUCGAUUUAACCUUUCUCUAAAAUUUCACAUAUGAUUUAUUGAUUACAUUAGUAUAAUAUACUCCUUCUAUCAGUUUUGUGUGAUUAAGGCAUUAGUUUUAUUUUUACUAAGAGGACAUUUUUUAUUAUGCUAUUUAAAAUUAAUGGAUCUAUUUUCAGUGCCAAUUUUGCAUUGAUUAUGUUGUGUCAUCUUUGUAUAUAGUAUACUCUUGAAAAUCCUUUUUGAGUGAUUGAAUUUUAUCGCUACUUAACAAAAUAUAAAGACUUGAUGGUAUCGAGGAUAUAGAACAAAUUGAAUAAAGAUUUACCGAUAUGUUCCAAACCUUGGUAGAAUUGUUAAAGGUACUUUAGAUCGUACUAAUUCACCAUUAAAAAAAAUAUGUACCAAUUCAAAAGCCACACUAUUAUUGAAAGAGAAAUCUCCUCAAAUUAAUUUAUAGAUGCUUAUUAAAAUAAAUUAUUUCUUAAUGUCAAUAAAUAAUUGGCUAACCAAAAAGUAAAAUAAAGAAAACUUAUGACAGCCACUAUAAAAAAUAAAUAAAUAAACAAUGGCAGCCACAGAUGUUUCAUCUUUCACAAAACCAUUCUUGCUUUAGCCUUUAUGUGUGAAGGGGGCCAACAUCAUCUUGAUCAUCAAAAAUAUUAUUCUUCUUUACUAGGUUUAAAAAAAGGCAGGCACAAAACAAAGAUAAAAAUUGAACAGGGAGAAAAGACUUCGAAUGCGAAUAAGGUAAGAGAGAGAGAGUAACAUUAAUGUUUUAUCUCUUACUUUUUUUUUAACUUUUAAAAUAUUAAAGGAUAAUGAGAAGAGGAAAAUUUAAAACUUUUGUUCUAUAAUUUUCUUAACAUAUAUCGUCACAUGUCUUAUAAUUUGUUGGUAGUUCCACAUCAAAUUAUAACAUGGAAUCUCGGAUAUAUUUUAGAAUUUCUCCUUAGUUGAAAUACUUAUUUUAGAUCUCAACUGAUGUGUCGCUAAUAAUAAAAUUUCAUCAUUUAAAUAAAAAAUAAUAAAAUUUAAUUAUUAAUUAUCACUUAAUCCAAUCAAAUAAUGCCACAUUAUUUACAAAAAAAAAAUGAUAAAACUUAAUUACUAUGAACCUUCAAGUUGCAUGCAACUAAGAGUCAUAAGAGUCGGCCAAAGGAUUCCAUCUGUCUUCGUUUGUAAACAUUUCAAUGCUUAGUAUCCAUCGAUUUUGUUGACUUCGAUGGGUUGACUAUGAAGCUUUUAUUGUUAGUGAGUAGCUAUUUAUGGAAAGAUUUGGUCUUUUUCUUUGUCAUACAUAAUUCCUUUUUGUUUGCAAUUGAUGAAUAAUUUUUAUAAUUAAAUUAAAUGAAUAAAUUUUUUUAUUUAAUUAAAGAUUAAUGUUACUUUAGAAGUUUUAUGUUAUUUUUGUAAGUGUUUUUUUUUUAUUUAUAAUUUUAAAACACUAUUUUACUACUCUUAUGUUAUUUUACUUAUUUUACCUUUUUUUUUAAUUUUAUGUAUAAUUUAUAAAAUUUAUAUUUAUCACAACAUUGAUGCUAUAAUUUUAAUCAAAGCAUUACAGAAUUUUCCGUUAGAAUAUACAGGAAAUACUAAGAUUGAUUCAUAAAACCGGCCAUUGGUCGUACUUCAAGGGCUGCUUCCUACCUCAUGAAGAUCUCUGUCUUCCAGAGAGGAUUUGCUUCUUGUAGAGGUAAAUCAACUUUCAGUGGUUGUUAUUUUGUUGUCUGUGUUAAUUUUAGUACAUUUUUAAUGCGUAUGCAAGCAAUGGUCAUCAUCUAUAAGAGUCCGAACAUUUUGAAAAUAGAUAUGCAUGUGGAUGUUAUUAUCAUUUGGUUACAAAAUUCUCUAUCAGGUUAAAUUUUUUGACAUCAGAUGUCAUAAUUAAAUUUAAAAAAAAAACACACAAUAUACAGAGUGGGAAAAAAUUCAAGAUGGGUGAGCUAUUGACUUUACGUGAGAGAGAGUCAGCAGAUUGAUACAUACAUACAUACAUAUAUAUAUAUAUAUAUAUAUAUAUAUAUAAAACUUAAGGCGCUUACCACUCGUCCUAAAAGCUUAAGCUGUUAGGAGAAGGCGCUACUUUAUACUUAAGCACCACCCGGACCAAACCAGGUAACGUCUCCACGUUAUGCCACGACAUCGUGACCCCACAUCGGCCUUACAGGAGUCACCACAAGGGUGCGGGCCCCAGUUCCAGUACUGGGAUAAUAUAUUAAGCCCAUUCCUCCCCCCCGAGUUUCGAACCCUGGCUGGCUCUGAUACCACUUAAGGCGCUUACUUAGAAAUUUUUGGAAGUUCCCAACAAUCAAAGCAUGCUUGCAGACUGGUUUUUAUCAGAUUUGCCAUAAAAUUUCUACGUUCCUCUGAGGCAAAGAGACCGGAUCUCGAUCCUCAGUUGUAAAUCUUCUCUUCUCCCUCCAUUCCUUCAGAGCACCAUUUCCGGGAUUCCGGAUCUGGUACUGUGUAUGUACCCAAACCUCUAAAAGAACCUAAUCUAAAUAUGAUAGUAACCCAAUAAAAAGAAUCAACCACGUUUAAAGCAACUUAACUUUAUUUGGUAAAAUAAAACUGAUUUGGUAUAUCGGCUGGAAACCCGAACGUGCGGACUAUUGAUCUGUUCUAAGUCAGAUCUGGGUCCAAAGGCUUCACUUUGUGUAGCAUCGAUCUGGUUUAACAACGCCACGUACCAAUUAGUUAUUAAAAAUUUGACCAACCGCGCGCGAUUCAAUUAUUUCUUUAAAAGUAAACAAUAAAGAGUUUUGACGAAAACACAUCCAUCAUUCAAUCCUAUUUCCUUCUGGUAUAAUAGUGUAAUAACAUUAUAUUAUUAAAUUAUAUAGUUUAAUAAUUUUUUGAAACUUCAAUAAAAUUUAAAAUCCUGACCAGAUCAGCUCUCUCUCUCUCUCUCUCUCUAUAUAUAAAUAUAUAUGUAUGCAUAUGCUUGUAAUAAUGAUUGAAUAGAUUUUAAUUUUGUUCUUGGAUUAAAUGACUUUCUUGUAUGUCUGCGUGGACUAACGUAACACAUUAAAAAAAUAAAGCUAUUAUCAGCACCAAUAUUUGGAAAAUGUAAUUAUUAUAUGAUUACAUUUACAUAUAAUUGUACUCUUCGAUGAGUUAUUGGUCAGUCAUUUUCAAUACUCAAUGAAAAUUUACUUUAAUUUGCUUGUCAUUUUCAGCUUUAUUCUAAAAUGUGCGAAAAAGAAGUGUUGUGGGAAUUAAAGCUUAGCAAAUUCCAAGCCUUGUUGGUUAAGCAAAACAACAUAUUAAGUGAAAGUUGAAAGGAGUUCCAGAAAGGUACUUUAUUAUUAAUGCAUUCUAUUUUUUCUUUAGAGAUUUGUUUGAUAUGGUAUCUUUCUUUCAUUGGUACUUUCAGAAUUAUUAUUGGUUACUACAACUUUUUUAUUCCACUAGCUACAUUAUAGUUAUGAUUGCCUAGAAGAGAAAACGAAGAAAAGCUUGGGAUUUAAAGCUUAAAAAAUCUUGCAAAACUUUUUCUUAAUUUCUAACAGUAUAUUUUUCCCUUAUUCAUUAUAAGUUUUGUCAAUUUUCUCUUCCACUCAAAUUUAUCAGUAGCUCUCUGGUGCCACAUCUGUACAGUUGAAUAUUAAAAUUUGAGGCUACAAUCGUAUCUGGUUAUAACUUAACAUUGUGUUGUAGUUAUAUCACAUCUAAUAUAUAUUGUGUCAUAAAUUCCUAUCUUAUUUGGGUUUAAUUAUUUGCGAAUGUUUCUUCAAUAUAGUACUUCCAUUUGGCCUUCCCUUUUAAUGUUUUGGUGGCUAAAACGAAUGUGUGAUUCUUAUUGUUAUUUUUUUUAAUAUAAUAUCGACCUUCUUGUCAAAAAAACAAAAGAAAUAUUUUAUUAAAAAAUAGAAUAAUUUUAGCUCGAGCAUAUAAAUAUAAAGUUUGCCAUGCAUACAGGCUAGACAGGGAGAGGCAAUAUCAACAAAGUCAAAAAAGUGAAUAUAUAAUAAUAAUAAUAAUAAUAAUAAUUUUCUAGUGAAUUAUCUUUAUUUUAACAAAAUGAAGAUGCUAUUAAUAAACAUCAACCACAGUCUCUAAUAUAUUGAAUUUUAUAAUUUUUUUUUUAUAUUUUACUGAUAUCCUAACUUUUAAUAAAGUGAGGAUGUCCUCAUUAGAGAAUAACUAUAUAUAUACGAUUAAACAUAUAAAUUACUAAUCAUAAAAUUAUAAGAGAGCUAAGGAUGUUCACUUUUUUUUUAAAAUACAAAUUUUAAAUAAUGCAAUGCAUUAUUACUUUAGGUGAAAGAGUCUUGCACGUAAUCGUAAUAUUCACGCUUGAUAUCCACAUUGCAGACUUUGCAGAUAAUGGAUUAAUUGUUCUAGAAUGUUAUGAACGAUUUUUUUUUUCCCCUUAAUAAUUAUCUAAUAGACUAAAUGACCAAAGUGUUAUCAAUAAAAUUGAGUGGGAAAUCUGUCAAAUUAAUUCAUGGUAUGUGUGGCACUCAAUACCACUAGAUCUAGUUCACAAAAAUAUAAUGAUGGUAAGCAAUACAAAGUUAAUUAAUUGGAAUUAAUAGUUGACUCAUUUACUCAUUUUUCCUUUUGCACUAAAUAUGGACAUAAAACCAACCACAUCAUUGCCAUUUUUCUCACGCUUCGCUCUCAUUCGUACACCAAGAAUAUUCCAUAAACCUUCUGAUGAUUACUAAUUGAAAAAGUUCAAAUUUGAUACCAAUUGAAUUGGAUUUCAAGUUGUUGUGAAUAAUAUUCCUGCUUGCUAUAUGCAUAUAUAUCAUUGAGACUUUUGAUAGCAAAAAUUUAAGAGAAUAUAUAUAAAAUAAAUUUAUAUGUUAAUUUAUUUAGAUUAUUAUCAAGCCAAAAAGUCUCUUUUACAAACAUAUUAUAAAAGUAGCUAUUAUUUGAUAUGCUUGUUCUAAUGGAAUCCAUGAUGUGUUAGUAAGCGAUAGCUGGUGUGUCUGAUAAAGUAUAGGCUUGUAGAUUAGUACCUGUUAGAAUUUAUUCCAUAUCUUUGAUUAUGAUUAUCUUCCUUUUUUUUGAAGAAAAAUUAAGGUUAUUAGGCUAUACUGCUUGAGUAUCUUGCUUUUUAAUUUUCUUUUUUUUGAUGACAGAACUUAAAGGCAGAAGCAGGGUUAAUAGAGUGCGCAUUCAUCUCUGUGGUCAUUUAAAUUCAGUUAAUUUUUACACAAAGACUGCCUUUCUUCCAACUCAUCAAAAACAUAUUGAAACUUUAAUUGAUUAUGUAUUAAUAAUUUAAUAAUAUGUUGUAUCCACCUUUCUUUCUUUUUUUUUUUUAAAAUAAUUUUCUAAUUUUUAUAUCCUCCCCCGGCCUCCGCUGCAGCCAGCAGCCUGCUUCAUCAUACAAAAGAAAAAAAUAGAACCACCACUAGUUUAAUUUUCCUUUUUUUUUUCUUUUCAAUAGUACUAUUACUUUAUCCUUAAUUAAUUAUUAAUUACACUUAGAAUAAUGCAUAUGGUUGUUUUAAUUUAAAACUUGAUUAAAGAUCUAUUCCGAUGAUCAUUCUGCAGAUGUAAUUUCCACAUAACAUUGAGAAACAGAAAAAAGAAAAAAAAUGAACCAGAAAAGAAAAGAAACUGCUUUAUUCAUGGCUGGCAAAAUUCCAUUUAUCAUAUAUGGAUUUAUUUGUGUACUUUCUUCGCUAACACAAGUGAUUUGAUUCAGAAAAUUAAACAAAAAUUUACAUGGUACACAAUCUUAAAAAAGACCAUUCUAUGUAAAAUCCAUGCAAAUAAAAAGUACCCCAAUUCUAUAUAAAGAUCCAAAAUCCAGAUAAAAUUUCACCCCCCCCCCCCCNNNNNNNNNNNNNNNNNNNNNNNNNNNNNNNNNNNNNNNNNNNNNNNNNCCCCCAGUACUUGAUCCUUAAAUUGCCCUAAUUAAUUAAUUAACCAACCCCCCAAUAGUUGUAAUAACUAUUGCUAUAUGUAUAUGUAGCUAAUUUACAUCAAGAUUGCAUAGCGCAAGCUGUCACUGACCAUCAAAUGAUUCAUUUCUGAUAUUUGAGUGAACUCACCGGACACCCAAGAGCCAUCAGCAGCACCAUUAACAUGAGGCUGUGAGAAGCAACUGAAGACCUCGACCGGCACCCGGACGACUGUGUAGAUGAUUGAGAAAGCAAGAUUCAAUGCGUCCCUUCUUGAUCUUCUGUUCAUUCCAUGCACAAACAUUGGCAGCGGAUGAGCUCCAUUCAGCAUCGUCUCAUCCGCCACCCGCGGGCUCUUUCUUGGCCUCAACAUGCGCCACAUUUUUUUUUUCUCUAUGGAAAAUUUUAGAGUCUGUUGGUUGCUGCUGCUCCUUGUAUUGUGAAGAGAAAAUGGUUGCGAGGACCACCUAAUUUGUAUAUAGAGAGGGAGGGGAUCUUUUUGGCUUUUGAUGAUAAUGGCUAGUUGGUAGUGCUGUUGAUAGUGCUUGUGUUAAUCACAAAAUGUUAUGGGUCUCUUUUAAAGGACCCCUUCACUCAUAUUAUCAUUUUUUUUAUUCUUUCUAUCAAAUCGUGGGGUCGUUCUUGCCCAAUUUGCCGACAAAGUUGCCUAAUUAUUCAAAAGAAGUUUUCAAAAUUAAAAUCACUUCAUUUGGCAAAUGCAAAGAAAAAUUUUUUAAGAGAGACCUAACAGUUCAUGAAGCUUAAGACAAAAAGUGCACCUGAGUAAUCUUUGGAUAUCAAUUUUAGAUGACCAAUUGCUGGCUAAAUUUUGCUUAUCAUGCGUUAAAUUUUUUCCAGCUAUUCUGUAAUGAAAUGUAGAAUAUUUAUUUAAUUGACAUUGUUCGACAUGAACAUUUGUACGUUUUAAAAUAGAAAUUUGAGUUAGACAACAAUCUUACUUUAUAAUAUUAAAUUAUAGUUAAAAUAUCAUUGUAUAGCACAAAAUUACUUUUUAAAGCAUACAGAAAUCUAUACUUAAAAUGUUUUAAAUAUAUAUAUCAAUUUCAUUUUAACUGGACAAAUUAUUUUUGUAGUCUCCCUUUCUAAGGUCCUACUUUUAUUAGUCUCCAAGGGGAGAAUAAUACGUGCAAUAUGAUUGUGAAAGAGACCUGUAUGUCUAUGGUAUCAUUACAAGUAUUGCUCCACUAAUAGUGCUUGAAGCAAGUUGCAUAUGCAUGCCAAUAAACAGGUAAUUGAAUAAUUUUAUUUACAUUUAUGGAAAAAAAUAAAAAAAAAAGAAUGAGAAUGAUGAUAUAUGACUGAUGAUGAUCAUGAACCAUAUUUUAGUUGUCAUUUUCAUUGUCGCCUCUGGUUUUAUUUUAAGCCCACAUGUUAUUCCAUUAUUAAGAAACACUAUAUACUAAGGUUCAAUAUAAAUGGAUAUAUAAAUAAUUUUUGGAAUAAAUAUACAACAAAGCCAUUGAUGUCCAAAAAGGUGGACAUUUAAAAUAAUAAAAAAAAAAAAUAAAACAUGUUGAAAUGGAUUCAUUCAAUAAUGCUAAUACACUUGAUACAAAUUAUGCACUUUUUUUUUUCGUUUGUUUGAAACCUCCAUUUAUGUAAGACGGGAAAUUUAUUUUAAAACCUUCACUGAAACGGAAAAUGACUUUUAAUUAAUUUUCUUUUAUAAUGCUGCAUUCAUUUGUCUACAUUAUCUUCAUCAAUUAUAUAAUGUAAUAUGUUCGUGGCUUAUAGGAACACACUAGAGUCAUUAGUGCACCACCUUUACCCUCCAGAGACCACAUGAUUAGCAUCAAACCCUACAAGAAAAAAGUCGAUUAUAUAUUCUACCAAGUAUCAACAUAUACAUUUUGUUAAUUCAUAUUGCUAUAAUGGAUAUAUAAAAUUAAUCUUCCAAUAGCCUUAGGUGCUAUUGGUUGACAAGCGAUUACAAGUCAAAGUCAUCGGUCUCCUAGCCAAGUCAAUAAGUAUCUUAUAAGAAAAGGGUUAAUAAUUAAUUUUAAAAAAUCAUCAAAUAAGUAUGAAUUUUAUAUCCUUCAAGUAAAAAUAUUCUUGAGUACGAUUUUAUAAAAUCCUAAUAUAACGUGUGAAUGUAUGCAGAAGAGAAGUACUGAAUCUAUUUGCAAAUGAGAAAGAACUCAUUCAUACUGCAUAUGUACAUACAUACUCUAUAUAUAUAUACAUACUCUAUAUAUAUAUACAUAUAUAUAUAGUAUGUAUGUAUGUAUGUAUGUAUGUAUGUAUGUAUAUGGGUAUUCCUGUAAUCUGUAAAGGGAUAAAUAUCUUUCUCCGAGUAUUGGUGUGUUAUUGGAUGAGACACGCUUGCAAGGGUUAGGUUCUGUGAUGUCACAUAACAUUGUUCCAAUCUUUGUUUGUGAUUCAGAUUCAAUGGUCAAUUACGUAGAAAAUAAAGCGGCCCAUUAAUUAAUUUUUUUUACUUAAGAGAUAAUGGAAGGUUAUACCCAUAUAUACCAACAUUAAUUCUUCUGGACCUACCAGCUGAUAAUGUUAAAGAUUUGUAGGAAUAUGGAUGCAAUGAAUUAGGUGCUAGUGAUGGUGCCAUGGAUUAAGUAGGCAAAGAGAAAAUCAAUCUGAGAUGUAUAGAUCCUCAUUUGUUGGGGAGAUUUUUUUUUUUUUUUUUUUUUUUUUUUUUUGGGGUCCCAAGAACAUUCUUUGGUGAUAGAAGAAGAACGUAAAGAAGUUAGGUUGGUAUAUAUGAUAGUUAAGAAUCAAAAUCCAAAUAAAAAUAUGUUUCUUGGUUUCAUCAUAAUGAAACUCAUGAUGCUGUCUGUUCGUCUCUAUUACGACUCUAAAUUCUACUUUGGUUCGGAACAAAUAUAAUAUUAAUAUGUAGGAGAGUUCUUGGUCAGCACCGGUUUUGUUGAAGGUAUGUUCUAUCAAUGAGCUGCGGUCAUAAUCAUUAUUUUCGAAUUAAGAAACUACUAUCAUCGUUGUAUCAUAAGCUCUCAAAGAUUACAAUAAUUAAAUGAGAUGGAUAAUCUUCUAUCCAUACAAAUGAAUCUCAAUACUAUAAAGUAAAUUUCGUUAAAGAAUUUACUACUUGAUUGCAAAUCAUUGAGACAUGAUAAAUUUGAAAACCUUAAUUUGAAGUUAGCAAGUGUUGAAUGUCAACUAUAAAAUAAAAUAAUUAGGUACAAGUAAAAGUUUGACCCGUAACUAAUUUAACAACGUUUAAUGAAUUCGACUCUACUACUAAUGAAAAUAAACUAAUCUCACUAAUAGUAUUUGAGAAUUAUAUUUAAAAAGAAAAAAAAAAGUGAAAUCAUUAAAGAAACAUUCAUAGAUUUAUUAGAAGAUAAAUUAUUUGUCGUGAUUUUGUCAUCUUUUUGUUUCUUUAUCAUUUUUCUUCUAAAAACCAAAUUGCGAUUGCCCAUUCAUCAUAAAUAAAUGAAAUGGCAAAUAAAGGGGCGGGCCGAUCCACAUCACUGAGCGGACCACAAAUUUCAUGAGAAAUUGAAUCCAUUGGGCCGGGCCUUGGCCUGAUGUGAAGACCGUGUGGGCAGACAUGAUUUCUCUCGGAUGGGGUAGUUGGUAAAUGUGAAGUAUAGACUGAUACAAUCUACAUAUAAUUGAAUUAGGGCACAUCCUGUAUCGUUGAAUUGCCCUUUUAUCUUUGGCUAAAAAGUGCCAAGUUUUCCUCUGCACUAUUUGUUGGUGAAAUGAAUUGAUUUACGAAAUACAUCUUAACUUUAACAUUUGGCACAAGUUGCUUCGCGUCUCAGCAUUCGAUUGCUUUGAUUUAAACCAAGGGUUAGCGAGGCCGAUGUUAAUUAAAUGUUUCACUUAUUCCCAACUAAUUAUUUGUCCGUAUAUUAUAAUGAUCGCGGCCACUUCUUUCUUCUUUUUGCAGCAAGCUGUGUCAGCUCACCAAAUUUCCAUGUAAGCCAUUCAACUUGAACAAAUUAAGGAUUAAUGAAAUUAAGUUAAAACAAAAACACUUUAUAUCAUCUGUUGAUUACCUUCAACUGUUAAAUUAUUAAAUUACCUCUUCUUGUUUUGAUAUUCUCUGCGCCUCAUAAGUUUAAGAAUCUUAUUUUAGCAUAAACAAACGUUGAAUAUCAACAAGAAUGUAAAACAACUCAAUACAAAUAGAAAACUUCACCCAAAAUUAAGUCAUUAACACACAUAAUGAAUUUGACUCUACCAAUAGCAGAGAUAAACCAAUCUCAUUAGCAAGUCAUAUACUAAAGCAGAAAGCGUCAACCGUGAGAUCAUAAUAAUUGGUAUCAAAGGAUGAGUUAUAAUUACAUUAUUAAUGGUUUUAUACAUAUACAUGUAUAUGUAUGUAUGUAUGUUAUAAACUUUGAUAAUAGAAGAGAAGUUUUAUUAAUUAAAAUAAGAGUGCAUCUGAUUAUAGGGAAAUAAUAAGCCAUAUCUAUAUGGCAAAGACAAACAACAACAAUAAUAAAAUAUAACAUCCUCUUUUAUUUUUUAUUUUUUUAAGAAAAAUUCAUAUCUCGUAGAGCAUAUUAUUAUUCUUUCUUUUUCCUUUUUUUUUCUUUUUAAGUUAGCAUAAUGGUGUAACCCAAUUUUCAUUGUACCUUUGUGAAAAAAGUUUGAACUUCGUACCUGCUGGCACCUAAAUUAACGAGAUCCAUCAUUUUAAAAUGAGCAAUGCUAAAGAGAUGAGAAAAAUGAGAGAAAGACGAGAGAAAAUGAAAAAAUUUUACUCUCUCUCUCUACCCAGCCCACUUUCUCUCUCUUCAUUUUCAAUACACUUUCUCUGGUCUUUUUCUUUCUUUAGCAUUUUUCUUUUAAAAUUAAUCUUAGUUGAUGGGCCCCAGCAUUUUAUUAUUUUAUUAAUAAUAAAAACCAAACUGUGGCACUGUGCUCGUACAAUCAUCAUUCAUCAAUGAGAUGGCAAAUAAAGGACCGGGCCGAUUCACUUCAAUGAGCGGGCCACAAAAUUUUGGUGAGAAAUUAAAUUCAUUGGGCCGAGCCUUGGGCUGAUGUGAAGACUGUGCUGUCCAUCGGAUUUAAAUGGCGUUCCAAUUUUCAAAGACGUCAAAGAAGAAAGAAGUCAACAACAAAGCAAAAUUGGACUUUUAUUAUGUAAUCAAUUGUCAAUUUAUCAGACGGAGGACUUGCAAAUAAAUACAAAAUGAUUAAAAAACUCUUCCAGAUUGCAACCUCUCUGACAAAUUUGGACCCGUCUUCUUUUCUAGAAGACAUUUCUUCCACGGAAAUUCUACCCCGUUUACUCUUGACGUGUCCAAGCAUACACCAAUCUUUGAAAGUUUCAACCUGAAGUGUAAACGCUUGGAACUAGUGUGCUUGAGCUUAACUUAAUCUGAAAGUUAAUAAUUUAAUAAACACAUCCCUUUAUUUGAGAGUUGAUGUUACAAUUUAUCAACUUCAAAAAAUAAAAAUAAAAAUUUGUGAUACUCCGCUAUGAAAUCCAUCAACUACUCCUCCAUUUACUGCGGAUUCAUUUAUAGAAACUAUUCCUUCGUUUACCUUGGAUUCAUUUUUAGCUACGGAUUAAAUAUUCCCCAGCAAUUGCAAAUUCAAAGUCACUGGUUAGCCCCACCAAUAGAAUUGAAUAUUCAUUCUCUCAUACUUCUCCAGGACACGAAAUAAAUAAUGGUCACAUGCGGCUCUAUCGCAGACGAGGCAACAUGAUGGAACUUUCAUGCAGCUUAUGGAAUUUACAGUAUUUAACUAAAACCAAUAAUUGAUCCAAAAGCAACCUUAUUGUUUUUCAAUAACUUGCCUUGUACGCCAUAACUUGGAACAUUCUCCAUAUAUAAAGGUUCCUGAUUAGUUCAUGGCCAUUUCUCGCUUUCUGAAAAUGAAAUCUUGUAUUACAAGAAGUAAAUUCCAAGCCAAAGAAGCUGCUAAAGAAGAAGAUGGUGUAUUGGCAACUAAUUAUAAUGUGUCCAUGGAAGAUCUUCCUUUGCCAAUUCUUGUUGAUAUUUUCUCCAGGCUCCCAAUCAAGACCAUUCUUCAAAUCAAGUGUGUUUGUAAAUCCUGGCACAGCUUAUGCUCGGAUCCUUAUUUCGCCAAAAUACAUCUUGCAAGAGCACCAUUUUCAAUAAUGAUUCUCGAGAAGUUCUGUAAGAGGAUCUACACAAAUUCCCUAGUGCCCUUGUUUACAUUGAACCAAGGUGACAAGGAGAGGCUGUCUUUGCUAUCUUCAUGCAAUGGCUUGAUUUGCUUGCAUGAGUUUUCUUACAAGCAAGAUGUCAUUUCUGUGUGGAAUCCAAUUCUUGGCGAUCACUUGGUCCUUCCACAACCUAAAAGGAAAAGUGUUGCUACAAGAAUACGUGGCUUCGGCUACAAUCAGAGUACUAAUCAAUACAAGGUGAUUCAAAUUCUCAGUUACAAAGAUCAAGCAGCGAUUUCCUCCAGUAAGCUUCAGGUUGAAGUACAUACAAUUGGUACGAAUACGUGGAGAAACAUUGGAGACCUUCCGUAUGUACUUAAUCAACCAUAUUAUGGAGUUUUUCUGAACGGUGCUCUUCAUUGGUACGCUCAUUCACAUGAUAAGAGAACGGCGUUUAUGUGUUCUUUUGACCUUGGAGAUGAGCAAUUUCGACAAUUUCCAGGUCCCCCAACUCGAGAAUAUGACAAAUGUAGGCCCAUUAACAGCAUUUCUGUGGGAGUUUCAGGAGGGUUUCUGUAUUUAUGUGAUGGUUUCUUGGAACCUAAUCUUGAUAUUUGGAUAAUGAAGAAGUAUGGGGUGAAGGAAUCUUGGACUAAGGAGUUUGUUAUAGUCAACUCAGUAGUCUCCAAGUUGCAAAGGUUAUAUGGAUCGUUGCAAAUUCUGAAUUACAGAGAGAAUAUGAACAAGGAAGCAACCGAAGGAACUGAACUGCAAAUGUUAUUUGGUUCAGAAGCUCUGCUUGCUUACAAUGUAAGAAGCAAAAGCAUCAGAAGACCAAAAGUUUUCGGCGUUCAGACAAACUACCAAGCGAUUCCUUACAUUCCUAGUCUUGUUUCAAUCAAAAAAGCUGCAAUGAACGAAAGCUCACAGAUGCUCUGAUCCUAAUCAAGGUUUUCUACUUACAAAUGUCAUUACAGGUUUAUUGUUUUUAGAACAUUAUUAAUUAAUUUAUUUAUUUAUUUGUAAGGAAUUAGCAUUCCGAAAGAAUAUUUGAACGAUGGAUCCAUAAAACCGAAAAUUUCAUCAUGCUCUCCCUCUCUUUUCACAUCAAUUUGUAUCAUCAAAAUCCCACUUUGCUUGUUUAAUCAUCGGCGUUUUUAAUUUAAGACUUGUUGCCGCAAAUCUCUGCCAAGUUGAUAUCUUAUUUUAUGGGAAACAGAGUAGGAGAAGCAGCGGCCGGCUCAUUAAUUAGCUCACAAAAUACGGACCGAUAAGCACAACGGAGCCUCUUCCUGGGAGAUUAUCCCUGACAUUCAAUCAAGGCUGCCCAUAACAUCUAUACUACAAUCAAAUAAUCAAUCUUGUUUGCUAAGCCUGGCUCUGCUUAGAACAAGACCCUCUUCUUGUUUCCACGCAUUUCUCACGUCUUUCAGGAGUUUGAUAUGAUUGUGUGAUUCACUAACAAUAAACUAUCUACAUAUAUAAUCCAUUCUCCGGGGACUACAUAGAACUGCCCAGAUCAGUACAAUUCCAGAAUCAAGAUGUGAUGUUUGGUUUUGGAUUCAAAGGAGUACCAGGUUUUCAAGGUUGUCUAUUACAGGAUACCAAGUAGAAUCCAUCGCAUUUUUUAUGACAUGAUUCCUGUAAGAUCAGAUGUUCAUGUUUCCACAGCCGGCAGCCCUGCCCGGAGAAGUUUAUGGCGAACACCUUCCGAUAUUUUUCCAGGAGCCAUCACAGGUUUUUGGUUAAUUGGAGGAAUAAAUUGGUUUACUCAGCCAGAAAAAUAGUCCAAGCCGGUGAAUUUAGUGGACUGCCUUUCUGCUGCAAUCCCUUGCAAAUAUGGGAAAUUAGAGAUUUUGGGUUAUGAAGAAUUAUGGUGAUAUGAAACUCAGAAAUGGAAGUAAUGCUUGAAAUAGAUCAAUUUGAGUGUGGUACACCUGAUUUAACAAACUUUUAGUUAACGUUCGGCAGGGAAAAAUGGAUCAAUACUGUCAAAAUUUGUCCUUGUUAAUUGGUACAUACCAAACAGAAAAGCGAAAAUACCAUUUUCCAUAGGAAUUAUCGAAGGAAUCAAUCCGAGAAAACAAGCUUCAUCGUGAGUUCAAAUGUUUUCAUAAAACUAUGAUGUGAUCAUAGUUCCAUUUUAAUUGCAUCUUGAUUCCUAAUACUCAUCCAGUAUCAGCUCAAAAAACUUCCAUAGACCUAUAAGCACAAUGGAGCAUCUUCCGGCGGAGAUUUCCUUGACAUAUUAUCAAGGCUGCCAGUAACAUCUAUACUGCAAUUCAUGCUUGUAUGCAAAGCCUAGAACAAGUUAACACACAACACUCUUCUUGUUACAAUGCAAUUUUCGCGCAUGGGCGAAAAUGACCCAUGUCUCAUCUUACACUGUGACUAUACAGUUCGAAACCAGCUUUAUUCUUUGGAGCUCCCAUCUUACAAUGAAGACAAUCAAAGGUAUAUAAAAUCAGAUUUUCUACGUUGCCAGAGUUUUCUAUAGUCGGAUCAUGUAAAGGCCAAAACAACAAAAAGUUUACACUACAUGAAUAUAAUCCCUCACCUGGACUACGUAGAGCUUCCCAAAUCCAUAGAUUUCAAUUAUCAAUAUGUGGUGUUUGGAUUUGGUUUUGAUACAAUAUCAAUUAAGUACAAGGUUGUCAAGGUUCUUUAUUAGAGGGAUCCGCGUAGACAUCACCACUAUCUUAGCAGAAUCAUUCCACCAACACCUGAGGUUCAGGUCUUCACCUUGGGCAGCCCAGCGUGGGGAAGGCUUGGACCUUACCAUUUUCUUCAGAGCCCAUCACCGGUUUUGGUCAGCGGAAUGCUUCAUUGGUGUACUUGGCCCCAAAAAUAUGGUCCAUGUCGAUUGCUCAUCUCCCUUGACCUAGCAGAUGAGCGAUUUCGAGUUGUCCCAAAACCUGAUUGUGGUGGCUUAGAGAGGUGUUAUUUUGACUUGGUGAAUUUAGGGGUUACUUGUCUGCUGUUGCACAUUGCAAAUUUAGAAUAUUUGAGAUCUGGGCUAUGAAGGAUUAUGAUGCGAAGGAGUCUUGGAUCAAGCAAUUUAGCAUUGGAAUUCACGUGCCAAGCGGAUUGGAACAAGAUUUGAGUCAAUCCUUCAGGGAUUCAAAGUUGUACAGGAAUAUCUCAUUUGUUUCAUGUCUCUUACCUUCUUAAAAAUGGAGAUAUCUUGCUGGGGUAUAAAUGCACCAAGAGAUGGAAUAUCUAAGGAUCUAUUGCUCCCCGGAAUGCCUAUUUGGUUUGAAGCUAGUGUUCACGAGGGAGCCUGAGUUGGAUUGACAGUUUUAAUUGAUAAUGGCAUAUAAAAUGUAAGCCAAUGCUUCUUUCCUUAGUGAGUUUGCUCUUUAUUAAAUAAAAAUGUUUGGUUCAAUGUUGAUACCUAGUUCCCGUUUUUCAGCAUUCAUUUCUUACUUUCAGAGUUUGAAAUUGACGAUUUACUAGAUAAUGUUUAAGCAGCUACAGAAGCAUCAAUUAAUUUGAUCAAAAUCUUUAUGGACUCUCAAUAUCACAAAGAAAUAAAUUUAGAAUUCUCUCAAAAUUAUAACAGAUUAACAAAUUUCUUGUGGCCCCGCUGCCGUAUCAACAGCUUAAGAACACAUUACCACAGUCGGGGAUUUUUUUUUAAGUGUUUGGCCAGCUGCGUUACCAGCAAUGCUCUUUUAUGAUCGAGAUAUCUUUUUGUCAUCUUCAGCAUAGAUGACAAAAAGAUAAGGAGAUUGUCCCUGGUUUAACAAGCUCUCUAUUAGACAUUCGACGUACAGCUGUUUUUUGAAUAAAUUAUACCUCUUGUAUCAAUCAUUUACAAAAGAGUCCAAUUUAAUUUGGUCCGUAUCAAACAUCAACCUUCAUGAUAAUUAUCAAAUGUAUUAAUCCAGAAAAACGAUCCUCGUCGUAGACUCCGUCUCCGUUUUAUAUUAAUUUGAUGUUAUCAUUGUUCCACUUCGUUUACUUUCCCCUUCAUUUUCAUUUUAAGACCUGUCCUCCUGAUUCUCUGGCCGGCAGGACUCAUGUAUUGCCAGAGACAUAGCAAGUGAGGAAACAACAAAUCUUAAGAAGCACUCAUAAACCAAGCAAGCACAAUGGAAUAUCUCCCGCAGGAGAUUGUCCUUGACAUAUUAUCAAGGCUGCCCGUAACGUCACUACUGCACUUCAAGCUUGUAUGCAAAGCCUGGCUCAACACUGCACAAAACCCUCUGCUUCCUAGUUUGCAAUUUUCCCGCAUGGCCAAGAAUGAUCCAUGUCUUAUCUUGCACUGUGACUACCCCAUCCGAAACCAGCUCUACUCCUUUGAGCUCUCAUCUCGUGAUGAAGAUAACCAAACGGUUCACCAAAUCCGGGUACCUGCCUUGCCUGAAUUCGAUGUGGUAGGAUCAUGCAAGGGCUUGCUGUGCUUAUGCGAUUCAUCAACAAAAAAUCGACUGUACGUGUAUAAUCCUUUUACUAGGAACUAUGUAGAGCUGCCCAAAUCAACAGAGUUCCAGAAUCAAGGUGUGGUGUUUGGAUUUGGUUUCCAUCCAACAACUAACAAGUACAAGGUUGUCAAGAUUGAUUACUGUAGGAAAACACACGGAAACCACCGCUAUUACCGCGGUUAUGGAAAAUCAGAGGUUCAGAUUCUCACUUUAGGCAGCCAAGAAUGGAGAAGUCUUGGGCAAGUAAAUUACCACAUGUUGGAGGCGCCAUCACAAGUUUUGGUCAAUGGAAGACUUCAUUGGUGUACCUGGCCACGAUACCGUGGUCCAAGUCGCUUGCUAAUCUCCUUUGACAUUGCAGAUGAACAAUUCCGGGUAGUCGAGAAACCUGAUGAGCUACACAGGAUCCACUAUGACUUGGUGAAUUUAGGUGGUUGCCUUUCUGCCGCCGUCCCUUGCAGUUCUGGGAAAGAGAUUUGGGUUAUGAAAGAGUAUGAUGUGAAGGAGUCUUGGAUCAAGGAAUACAACAUUGGAAUUCAUGUGCCAAGAGGAUUGGAACAAGAUUUGAUUCCAUCUUUCAGGGACUCAAAGUUCUUUAGGAACAGAAGCUUCGUUCGAGUCUUGUGCCUUCUGAAAAAUGGAGAAAUCUUGUUGGAGUAUAAAUGUAGAGCUUUGGUUUCUUACAACCCAAGAAAUGAAAUGUUUAAGGAUCUUUUGCUACAUGGGAUGCCAAACUUGUUCGAAGCUAGUGUUCAUGAGGGCAGCCUCAGUUGGAUCGACUCUUUCAGUGAUAAUGAUUUAUAAGCAUAUAAUCUAAGCUAAUGCUUAUAUUCUCAGUGAGUUUGCUCUUUAUGGAUUAAUAAAAAAGAGUAUGAUUCUAACGGUUUAUGGAGUUUUUGUGACGUGUCGUGUAGAUUUUCAGAACAUUGAAUUAUUUAAAUAAAUUUGGUUAAAUUUUUUUUUAUGAAACAAGAAAGCUGAUUUGAUCAAGGAAACACUAUUAAAUUUGCAAUUUAGGAACUCAAGUUGUGUUUGAUAAAUUGUAUUAUAUUAUUUUAAAUUGUAUUAAUACUGUCUGUUACAACGUUUCUUAUCAUUAUUGAUAAUUUCCAUGUUAAUAUCUUUCUUAUUUGUUGUUGUUAAAUUAAUAUUUAAAUCCAACACCUGGUUGAAGAUGCUCCCUUAAUAGACGUUUGGUACCUAUAAUUUGAAAUAAAUUAAGGGAAAAGGAAAAAAGGGAAAGUGACAUAUUUGUCACUCCCGUUAACCUUGGAGCAGUGAUAAGGUCGGUCGCCCAAACGGGCAACUGACACACGAGCCAUUUGUAUGUUGGACAUGUGUCCAUUUCUCUUUCUUUCUUUAAAUCAUAUAAAGUAACUUUUAUCUCGUUCUCAAUAAAAUAUUUAGUUAAAUUGUUUACCAACCUUUUUCAAUGAAAUUGCAUUCAAAAUGCCACGUUACUUCUUUAUUUUGUUAUUUAAUUGCCCUUAAUUUUUCCAAAAAUACCAAAUACUGGAUUCCACCUGGUUCCCACCUUCAAAAGCACAAAAGUUGCAGGGCAUUUUUAGAUGAAAAUUUUAUUUUGAAAUUAUCAUCUCAACAGCCACCAACAAGGAAUUAAUUGUUUGGAGAAGUUACAAGUCUUUUUAGUAAAUCCCUUUUACAUUUCCUUUAUAAAAUAUCUUUUUAUAAUGUAAUUUAAAUUACAUUAGGUUUUUUUUAUUAUUAGAAAAAUUAUUAUUCAUUCACUUUAAGUUUAUCAUGUUAUAAAAAAAUAUUAUAAAAAUUUGAAUUUAUUUAAUUUCCCAUCCUGAUCUACCAAAAGGACAUAAUUACUUUUAUUCAAAUGACAAAAUAAAAUUAAAUACAUAUUGUGGUAGUAAUUAUUUUAUGAGAGUAAUUAUAUCUUUUUUUGUGGAUGGUUUUAUAAAUUGUAAAUUUAUAGUGAAAAAUAAAACAGAUUCAAAAUUUUGCAGUAUUUUUUUAAUAAUGGGACAAAUUUAAGAUAGAUAACUGAUAAUUCCCUAUAAUUAUUUAAAAUAAGAAAUGCUGCUGUCAUUUUUUUCUAUACAAAUUUGGUGUCUUUUGUUUUUGUUAAUUAAUAUUGAUCAUUUAAUGUAGCAAAAAUUUUUAUAUUUAUUUUCUAUUUAUAUUAUAAACAUUGAGUUUUUUUUACAUACAAUGAAGUUAGUAAACUGAAAUUGUUUCUGUUGACUUGUUGAAGUGCAGGUGUUCAUUUGCUAUAUAUGAUUUUUCAAAAUCUUUUAUUUAGAGAGAGAGAAGCUUCUCUUUAAUGGGUAAUUAAGUUACAAAAAAAAAAAUGAAGCCGGUGCCAUUUUGAAUGUAAUUUCACUGAAACUAGUGGGUAAAUAAUAUAACUAAAUAUUUUAUUGACAACGAGGCAAAAGCUGUUUAAUGUGAUUUAAAGAAAAAAAAAGAGCAGUGGACACAUGUCCAACUUACACAGAGUUUACCAAUAGGCCUUUGGUCCAAUGGGAGAAGCCUUGCACUUACAAUGUUGAGUGCAAGGGUUCGAGCCUCCAUAAGAGCAUUAUGGAGGUUAGUUUCAGUUCUUCCUCAAUUAUCAAUUAAUUGAGUGGAGACAGUCUCUCCCUUACGAAAUGUGAGUAGAGCAGGCACCCCUCGAAUAUUAGAGAGGGUUUAAAAUAUCUGGGCAUAUACUUCAGUGUGUCAAUGUAUGAUGGUGGUCCCAGUUAUAUAGUAUGAUUGUAAAUAUUAAUUGUAAUGUCUGAUGUAAUGUCAGUAAUAUCUGUAUAUAACAGACUUAAAAAAAAAAAAAAAAAAAAAAAAAACUUAAAAAAAAAAAAAAAAAAAAAAAAAAAAAAAAAAAAAAAAAAAAAAAAAAAAAAAAAAAAAAAAAAAAAAAAAAAAAAAAAAAAAAAAAAAAAAAAAAAAAAAAAAAAAAAAAAAAAAAAAAAAAAAAAAAAAAAAAAAAAAAAAAAAAAAAAAAAAAAAAAAAAAAAAAAAAAAAAAAAAAAAAAAAAAAAAAAAAAAAAAAAAAAAAAAAAAAAAAAAAAAAAAAAAAAAAAAAAAAAAAAAAAAAAAAAAAAAAAAAAAAAAAAAAAAAAAAAAAAAAAAAAAAAAAAAAAAAAAAAAAAAAAAAAAAAAAAAAAAAAAAAACUUACACAGAGUUUGGGUGACUGACCGGUCUCAACCUUUUGCAGCAAAUAGUCAAACGUUCGUUCUUAUCAAAGACCAUCUACAUGAGCAUCAGCAUAUGGAUCGAUCCAGAAAAGCAAUCUUCCUUGCUUGUGCCGUCACCUUUUAUAUUAAUUUCCCCCAAUCAAUCAUACUCCCACUUUGUUUUCUUAUAUCUUCAUAAUUCAAUGAUUACUGAGAUCUCAUGUAUUUUCAAAAACACGGCAUUAUAGCAACCAAUAAGAGCAAAAACAUUCAUAAACCAACAAGCAUAAUGAAUUAUCUUCCACAAGAGAUUGUCCUAGACAUACUAUCAAGGCUCCCCGUGAUACCAAUACUGCAAUUCAAGCUAGUAUGCAAAGCCUGGCUCCACACAGCACAAAACCCUCUGCUUGCUAGUAUGCAUUUUGCCAACACCGGCAAAGAUGACCCAUGCCUCAUUUUAAAUUGUGAAAAUCCCAGCCGACAACAGCUUUAUUCUUCGGAGCUAUCAUCUCGCGAGGAAGAAAAUCAGAAGGUGAACAAAAUUCGUGUUCCCACUUUGACAAAAUUUUUAUUUUCGGUGUAUUAAAUUAUUUGGUAUUCGAAAAUUAUAUUGGGCCCCGACUAAUUCAAUUUCGAGCUGGUAGGACCAUUAGGGUGGUAAAAUUCUCCCAACAAAUAUUUAAUAUAGUUACAUUCCCAAGUCUCGAACUGAUAAUCUUAGUAAAGAUAAAACAACCACAUAUCAGCUAAUUUACAUGCCUGUUGGUUCACUUUGCCUGAAUUUGAUGCGCUAGGAACAUGCAAGGGCUUUCUGUGUUUAUGUGAUUCAUCUAUGAAAAAUGAACUGUGUGUAUAUGUUGGAGAAAAAUCGAUUUUUAAAAUUUUUAUAAAAACUUUUAGGACCGAUCUCAUACAAUACAUAGGAAUUCAUAAUCUAGAAAAUCAUAUAUUGACAAUCUGAUUUGGCUUUUUCGCUGAAUUAAUCUAGGCUCUCAAAUCACGAUUUGUCACCACCACUCUUGUUAUAUCGCGAUCAAUCACCACCAAUCUUGUUAGAUCACGAUAUGUCACCAAUGAUCUUCCAAGUUUUGACGCAAGUUUAAUCUGCACUUGACGUGUGGGCGCCUUUAUCACCACUAAAAGCAACUAGUAAGAGAAAAUAUUCCUCUCAAAAUUAGAGAGAGAAAAUCUAUUUCUUUGAUCUGUAUAAUGUGGCUGCUACUUCUUUUUGGGAGAAAACAAACCUUUUUUUUUUAUCUGAACCACGAGGUGGUCCUGAGUGGGCCCCAAUUAUGGGAGGGACCUUUAAACUCGUACCAAAACCUAGACUAAUCCCCGCUCGCAUCAGGUCGGCCCGUAAGGGGAGAAAACUAGCCUUUUAUAUAUUUAUUUAGUGGAAACCAUAGGCUCCAUAUUUAUUAAUUUUUAAUGCUAUUAAAUCACAUUUGAUUUAAAUUUAAAAGUUAUAAAACCAAAAGUAACGUUAUUUCUUUUUGUUAUAGAGGCCCACCUUGUAAAAUAAUAUAAGACCCCUACACACAAGUAUAUUUUAUGGAGCCUCCCACUAAAUAAUAUAUUUAGGUUUUUAACCCAAAUAGCUAGUUAUCUUACUUAUUAAUCCAGUAGCAGCGCAAUCAAUUAAAUGAGGUAACUCGUAGAUCAUAUGGGUACAUACAAUAGUGACUACAAUAAUUAGGCCUAUAAUUAAACUAGUUCAAUUAUUUAAUUCCAAAUCUACUCCACUAAAAGAUUGGAAUUGACCUCCAUAAUUGUAUGCUAUCUAGGAUAGUGUUUUCGAAUAAUAAUUCGACCCAUGUCACAUUUAUUUCUUUACUGUAUAAUCAUUUGUAUCACAUCGUUAAUUAAAUUGAUAUCUCAAUUGUCCAAUCAAUUUAAUUACAUUUUGUUUCUUGAUACUUAUUGGUUUUCUCUAAUGAUCAUUUUCAACAUACUAAAUAUGUUGAGUUUAGUAUGUUGACACACUCUGACCAGAGAAUUCUAUGAUCAAGUACCAAAAACUCAUCAAGAGAUGUGUUGUACAAAUUCUAUAGUAUUAAUCUAUAAGUCUAAUACUCAUAAUUGCUUCUACCAAAAUACCGAGUAAUCUUGACUAAAAGUGUGUGUCGUGCCCAUUAGUUACUCAAAUGGAAUAACAAUUACAAUCAUGAAAUCAUAACUAACUCAAUAUUAAGAUUACAGUAAAAUCAAUGCCUAUGAGAUUUAAUAAAUCUGAUAAUUAUUACAAAGUUAAUUAAAUCUCAUAUGUGAUCAUGUUUAAUAUAGUCGUACUACAUCAACAUACAUGAUUAAGACAAAUCAUUCAAUGAAUUUAUUACAGUCUAUACCUUGAUAAAGUGCCCAACUUUAUUUAUCAAUUGCGAACUUAAUUUAUUUAAUUAUAAGAUAACUUUUAUUUAUAUUUUCUGUGAAUCGACAUAGUGAUCACAUAAAUACAUAUAAUAUGACUAAAUUGACUUUACUUAAAAUAUUAAUGCAAUUAAGAUACUUGAAUAAAAUACCUCAUUUAUUUUAUUAAUCAGAAAAAUUGUUUAUUACUAUUAACUAAACAUAUAUACUUUUAAAGAGUAUAUUUUCCCAACAAUAUACAAUCCAUUUACUAUGGACUACUUAAAGCUGCCCAAACCCCAGAUUUAGAUUUCAAUAUUCAACAUGUGGUGUUCGGAUUUGGUCUCCAUCCAACAUCAAACGAGUACAAGGUUGUCAAGAUCGCCUAUUAUAAAAUACCCGAGGAGAAAUGAAAUUGCCACUUAUGGUUAUUGGAAAUCAGAGUUUCAAUUUCUCACAAUAAGUAGCCAAGCCUGGAGAAGUUUAGGGAGAGAACAUUACUAUUUGAUCCAGGGGCCAUCACAAGUUUUAGUCAACGGAAGACUUCAUUGCUUUCAUUGGUGUACUUGGCUACGUGGUUCAUGCCGCUUGCUUGUCUCCCCUUGACAUCGAAGAUGAACAACUCCGGGCGGUCCCGAGACUUGAAGGGAAAGGAUUAUUCAGGUGCAAUUUUGAUUUGGUGAAUCUAAGGGGUUGCUUUGAUGUAGGUGUCCCUUGCAAUAAUGGGACAUACAAUAUUUGGGUUACGAAAGAUUAUAAGGUGAAGGAGUCUUGGAUCAAGGAAUACAGCAUUGAAAUUCAAGUACCACAAUGACUCAAAAGAGAUGUGAUUGGAUCUUUCAGGGACUCAAAAGUUGUGGAAUAGCACAUUGCUUCGAGUCAUGUGCCUUCUGGAGAUACUGUUGCAGUACGGAUACAAGUCUCCGGUGUCUUAUAACCCAAGAAAUGGAACAUUUAAGGAUCUUUUGUUCCUUCGAAUACCUAAUCGGUUUGAAGAGUAUGUUCACCAAGGAACCCUUAGUCGGAUUAAAAAUCUCACCGAUACCUAAUGCUUCUUUUCUCAACUUUUAUUCUUUUUUUUUAGGGAAAUUUAUAACCGUCCACCUGUUUGUUUUGCCUUUUUUAAAAAUACACAAACACUUUUUUUUUCCAGCGCGCCACCUGAAGUUUGCUUUUUGUUGCAUUCGUCCACUUCCGUCUAAUUUCCGCUAGCGAAUUUAACGGAAUGACCUUUUUACCCCUCAAAAUUACAAUUUAACCCAAAAUAAAUAGAAAUUGGAAAUAAAUUGGAUGAAUUUAAAUUUUUUUAAAGGUGGAUGCUAGAAAUUGGAGGAAAAUAAUGUUUGUUACUAAAUUUAGAAAAUUUGUAUUUAUUUUUUUGGACGAAAAUAGUGUUUGUUGCUUGCUAGAUUUAGAAAAUUUGUAUUUAUUUUUUCUCUUUCAAAAAAAUAAAUACAAAUUUUCUAAAUUUAGUAACAAACAAAAAAAAAAAAGUGUUUGUGUAUUUUUGAAAAAGACAAAAUAAAUAAGUGGACAAGUGUAAAUUUUCAUUUUUUUUAAUAUUAUAAAGAAUCAAAUAGGCUGAGAACUAGCUGUUCAGCUUCAAUUUAUCGGCCCUCAUGACCUUCAUUUACCUUAAAUAUUUGCGACCAUUCUUGUAUGUGAUUUUGAUUUUCCUUGAAUUGCUGACAUUUGUAGAAUGAUUGAUAAAAAACAAAAAGAUGUCAUGUAUGAAAUUAGUGAAUAACUUAUACAUUUCUUUAUCAAACCAGUAAGACAUGACCAAAUUAACUCCACUAAGCCGGCAUUGGCCAAUGGCAAUUGCUCACUCCAAAAUUGAGGGCACUAGUUUGAAUCUUGUUAUUGGAUUUAGAUCCAGUUUUGAGUUUAUUUAUAUUCAACUUUUCAUAAUCUUUUACCAUAUGUGUUUAUAUUAAAAUUACAAUUAAUAAUUUAUUGUUCAUAAUUAAGAAUAUUAAUAAUUAUAAUAAAUUUACAAAUAUAAUAAAAUAAAUAUUAUUCAUUAAAUAUAUUUUUUAUUAGUUUUGUAAUUAAAAACUAUAAUUCUUUAAAUAAGGAUAAAAUUGUAAUUUGAAACUAUUUACUCCCAAUCCAAGACAAAGUAAACACAUAAAUUGGAUUCUGAUCUCUACUCCAUACUUCCAUUCCAGUGUAAGUAAACAACCUACUCCCACUCCCACUCCACACUCCCACCCCAGAAUUCCCAAUCCAAUCCAAAAAGUAAACGCUACCUUAAGGGAUUCAACAAAAGUUCUCUAUCGAGAUUAAUAUUUUCUCGAAUAUUAGUGAGAUAAGAUAAGUGUGAGAAUAUUUCUUAGCAUAUAAAUGUAUGAUUUCAAACUAUAUUAGUAUUAUAAUAAACGUAACCAUAACAAUUAAAAAAAAGUGACAAAAUUAACAAAAAUUGAAAUUAUUUAGGAAAUCUAUGCUGUUUAGUUUGGAAUUUGAACAAAAUAUCUAAAAGUUAAUUUUUCUUAAUGUGGAUUAAGUUCUCAUUAUUUUGUGCUUGACUUAAUUUGAAACCCAAAGAACAAAAUUUUCACAAAAUUUUCAAGUUAGAUUUGUCAAAUCAGUCGUUUACUAUUUGGCUAAAAGAGUUUCCUCUGGAAGUCUCUAAUUUAUUAUAUUGAAUUGUCAAUUUAUUAGGACAGAAAUAAUUUUUUUUUAAAAAAUCGAAUAAUACAAAUUAAACUGAUUUAUUAUUUCAAUUUACCAAAACGUAUUUAACAAUUUGCUUACAAUUAUGUCAAUUUUUUUUAAUUCGGAAGAGCCGCUACUGCGAGUUAUCUGCAAGCACGUGGACUAUUCGCACCAUUGAAAAUUUAGACUAGCGACUCACCCACUCUAAAAAAAUCAUUUAAAAAACGUGCAUCUGCUAGUUAGAUCGUGAUUAUAUACCGGCAGGAGAUGACAUCAUGAUGAUGGUUUUUUUUUUUUAAUCACAACAGCAAAAUACAUUAUUACUGCCGCACUUAAACAAUAAUCUCUCAUUAUAAUAAUCUAAUUCAUGUAAUAAAUACGUAAUCGUCGAUUAAAUCAUCGUGUGACAGCAAAAUGAUAAGAUAAAUCAUUAAUGAAUACGUGAUUAUUUAUUAUAAAUAUGUUAUAUUAUUAAGAUACAAAUUUAACGUUUCAACUUUAUUUAUGCAUAACAUCAUUUGAAAAUACACGGUAUUUCUUCCGUGCAAAUGCUCUUUUGUGUUAAAAAAUACAAAUAAGACACGAACAUUUAUCGUAUAUUUAUUAAUUUGUAAUUGGAAUGAGUUGGAAUCUUAAUGGGAAAUGAGAAUCAGAAUAAAUUGUUUAUCUCAAAUGUAAGAAUUAGAAUUAGUUUACUGUUGAUGUGUUUAUUUUGUUUUGAAAUUGAAAUGAAUUGUUAUAAGUUACUAAAUGAUCUUAGUUGAUUAUUGCAAUAUUUAUUAUAAUAAUAGUAAUUAUUAUUAUUAUUCAAAAUAAUUAAUAAUAAUUAUUAUUCUUAUUAUUAACAACAAUUAAAAAAUAAGAAUAAUAAGAAUAAUAAUGACAUAGUAGUAUUUUAAUUGAGGGCAAAAAUGAAAUUAUGGAAUUUAGAUAGGAUAAAAUGAGUAGUUUAAGAAAUGAGAAUUUGAUUCAUACGGGGAUGGAAAUUAAGUUCUCAUUUCUCAAUUCCAAAAAUAUAUAAGUCCCACAUAUUUUAUUCUCAUUCAUAUUACUAUUUUAACAAGUAACCAUCUUCGGUUAUUCUCAUUCUAGAUUCUGAUUCUUUUAUCUAGAAAGCAAGCGAACCAUUAGAAUGGAAUUACAUAAGCGUCGAGUUGGGUCAGUUCGGACUCUCAACCCACAAACAGUUUUAUUUUUAUUUAUAAUUUAAACUUAUAAAAUAGAUAUAUUUAUGAAACGCUGCUGAUAGUUUUAGUUUGUGAUACUUUACUCAGUGAUAUCCCUUCUUCUUUUUUUAAGACUUCGAACCCAAUAUCUUUAUUUUUCAAUCUUUUAGUUCCCAUUGGUUUAACUGUCAAUAAAUUUUUUCCCAUAUAUUUUGACAGUGUUAAAUUUUUACCUCUCUUCUUUUAUCACUUCCACGUAUUGGUAGUCAUUGACAUGAUUUAACACACCGGAGCUGUUACUGGGUUUUCCUGGUAGAUGACUGUAGGCCAGCAGCCGGCGGACGUGGAGCUAGCCUACAGUGAAAUUCCAUUUUUAACUAUCCGGAGCUUUUUUUGAAAAAACUGUUUGUGAUAUUUGAAAUUAAAGGAUUCUCAAAAAGAAAGAAAGAAAAAAAAAACAAAACAAAUCAUACGUUGCUCUCGGUGAGAUUUGUCUCGUACCCACCACUUAUUUUAAGCAAAAAAAAAAUAAAAAUAUUUUUAAUCUGGCCAACUUGCAAGGCGCUAGGUGAUGCAUCAAACGCAGAAAAUCAUCAGGAACUUUCGGGCUGAGUUUCAAUUUUCAAUUGGCAGGUAGCCAGAAGGAGGCAUCAGUCCCUCUGUCAUUUUGCUUAGUGUUUGGUUUCUUCUUCUCUUUGUAAGUAUCACCGGGCUACCAGACUUUUUUAUUUUGUUUAGCUUUUAGACUUUUUUAUAACGUCAUGGGCCCCCCUUUUGUACAGAAACUUUCAACCCCGUGAUUAUUAACGGAGUUUGGAAAAUGCUGCACUGGGUGCACUGUGGACGCAACUCAAAGAAAAGAAAAGAAAAGAAAAGGAGAGAAAAUAAUAAUAAUAAUAAUAACAAAGCUUCAACCUUUUGAAAAUUUUCAUUAUAUAUAUUUACAGCAUUAUUGAUCAAUCUUUUGUUGCUAAAAAAUACUUUCAAUGCUGCCUAGUCACUAUCAGUAGGGACAGCCAUCCAUUUAACAUGGAAUUGGAUUCAUUUCAUAAAAAUUUUGCGGUUUAUGCACUCACAUUAUGAACGGUGCUGAUUGUUAGGUCCAUCAAGAAAGAAACCAAAACUAAACAUCUUUUUUUUUUUCUUAUUUUCAAGAGAAUUAUUCAAAGGUGGAUUCUUCUUGUUCUUUUCGUCUCUCUCCUCUUUUUUUAUUUAUUAUUAUUAUAAUUUUAUUUUGAUCUCAUCAAAGUCUACAUGUUUAUCUUCAACCCCUUUUAAUUUUUCAUCACCUAACCCCUUUGCUUUUAACUCAAUUUAUUCAUUUAACGAGCUACCAAAGCUACCAGGCCCAAGCCAUGGAGUUGGAUGUUAAGCAAAAGGUGAACAAAAGAAGCAAGCUUGAAGAUGAUCAUCAACAAGCAACCGGGAUGGAAACUCUACCUCGAGAGAUCGUGCUCCAUAUAUUGCUGAGGCUCCCGAUCACAUCUUUGGUACAGUUCAAGUUUGUGUGCAGAGCUUGGAGAGCCUUGGCGCAAGACCCUCUUCUUGCUAAUCUGCAUAAUACUACAAGUACAAGCAAAGCUGAAAAGAAUCCGUGCCUCAUCCUUCACUGUGACUUUCCCAUCAGAAACCAGCUCUGCUUUAUUGAUUUUUCAGAUAACCAAGACAAGGUAAGGAAAUUUAACAUGCCUUUCCAAGCUAAGAUGCCCGAGUUUGAUGCUGUAGGUUCAUGUAACGGUUUGCUUUGCCUGUCUGAUUCAUUAUUUAAUGAUGCAAUCUGCAUAUAUAAUCCUUUUACUAGAGAUUAUAUUGAGCUGCCCAAAUCUAUGCAGUAUCCUGAUCAAGAAGUUGUAUUUGGAUUUGGAUUCCAUCCUGUUAGUAAAGAGUACAAGGUGAUUAAGAUAGUUUAUUAUAGGAAAUCUUGUAGUAAUAGUAGUUUCCAACGUACCCGUAGGGUCAUUUAUCCCAGAUCAGAUGUUCAAGUCUAUACUGUAGGAAGCCCUGCCUGGAGGAGUAAGGGGAAAUUAGCAUACCAGUUUGUCCGGAGGCCAUCGGAGGCAUUGGUGAAGGGGAGGCUUCAUUGGGUGACGAGACCUCGGAGAUAUAGUCCUGUUCGUGGAAUCGUGUCGUUUGACAUAGCAGAUGAGCAAUUCCGCGAGGUCCCUAAACCUGAUUGUGGUGGUCUGAAUAGGUGUAACUAUCAUCUGACAGUUCUAAGUGGUUGUCUUUCUGUAGCAGUUUAUGGCAAUUAUGGGAAACUGGAGAUUUGGGUUAUGAAAGAUUAUAAUGUGAAGGAAUCUUGGGCUAAGGAAUUAAACAUUGGAGCCUAUAUCCCUAAGGGACUAAAACAAAGUCUGGACAGACCUUUGAAGAUCUGGAAGAAUUCUUUGAAUGGAAGAGUUGUUCGAGUUGUAUGCAUUCUGGAGAAAGGUGAGAUCUUGUUGGAGUACAAGAGCAGAGUUCUGGUUUCUUAUGAUCCGAAGUGCAGAACAUUUAACGAGUUUGUAUUUAAGGGGACACCAAAUUGGUUUCAAACGAUUGUACAUCAGGGAAGUUUCAAUUGGAUUGAUACACCACAUGAUUUGUAAACUGCAGAAGAAAGGUAUUCACAAGCGCUGCUUCUCUUCCUGUGAGUUUAUACCCUACUGAAAUAAAAUUAUGUUACAAAAUUUCUUUUGUAUUGUCUUAUAACAAGUUAUGACUUGCUAUGAAGCCUUAUUGUUAAUGUUACACACAUGCUGUUAGUGUUUGCAAAUUUUUUUUGAAGUAUCUGGCUAUGUAAAGAGACAAAUUAAAGAUUAGUGGAAAUGAAAUAAUGCCUUACUUCUGUGUAAAAUUUCUGUAUAAACUUACUGUCCUAGUGAAGCAAUUUGUAAUCUUCAUUUCAAAAGUAUACCUUGGCAUGAGAUCACAUCCUAAUUCUAUUAUGGACUUCUUCAGGUUACUGCACUCUGAACUAGUUUCUAAACGACUCACUGUGUCCUCAUAAAUUGCUUUUUGAAGAUGAAAUGAGUUGGUCACUAACUCGAUUGAUGGAUUUCUUGAUCAGUAUUGUUUUUUGAAGAUCUCUACCAGUCGCCAAUGAUUCAUUGCCUAUGUCUAGCUGAAAUUAUGAAGUCAUGUACUACAAUUUCUAAUUCUAUUUCUAUUACUUGCUUCUAGGUGCCACUGCUGAUACCUUUUCAUCCUGAAGCUACAGGGACCUAAGAUUAUCCGCCCCCAGUUCUAGAGGUCUCUCUUGGGCUGCAAAACUGCCACCGCAAGGACUAAUAUUAUAUAAAGGCUUUGGCUAAGUUACGUUAAACGUAACUUACGCCAGAUACAGCAACAGUGCUAGUGAUGGGACUUGUCACUGUUGCUGUGCCUGGCGUAAGUUACGUUUAACGUAACUUAGCCAAAGCCUUUAUAUAAUAUUAGUCCUUGCGGUGGCAGUUUUGCAGCCCAAGAGAGACCUCUAGAACUGGGGGCGGAUAAUCUUAGGUCCCUGUAGCUUCAGGAUGAAAAGGUAUCAGCAGUGGCACCUAGAAGCAAGUAAUAGAAAUAGAAUUAGAAAUUGUAGUACAUGACUUCAUAAUUUCAGCUAGACAUAGGCAAUGAAUCAUUGGCGACUGGUAGAGAUCUUCAAAAAACAAUACUGAUCAAGAAAUCCAUCAAUCGAGUUAGUGACCAACUCAUUUCAUCUUCAAAAAGCAAUUUAUGAGGACACAGUGAGUCGUUUAGAAAAUAAAACUGAAGGCAAAGUCCAAAAGAGCCGCUCAUCAUGCUUUCCCACCAAACGAUUGUGGAAGUUUUCUUAAAAGUCAGCCACCAAAAGAGACUCUAUGCCUAGAGGCCGAUUUAUUUAAUCUUGUUCUCUUGAAAGAGUUGCAAACUGAACAAAAAAACCGUCAUUUUAAUAUUGAGCUUGCACUGUAUACGAUGAUUGCCUACUGCCACUAUGUUUCUUACUUCAAGAAAUAACGGCUCGUCAAGAACAGAUGCUUUCCCACUCUUUUAUCCCCAUUUUCCUGUUGCUAAUCUAACCCUAGUAAAGUUCUCAACUAGAGAGCUUCACACGUUGCAGAACUUUCAUCUUUAUUAAAUCGACUGAUAAAAAAGAAACAAUCGAACAUCUUUCAUUCAGCAUCUCAUCAUGACUUAUCCCAGUCCCCCUUUAUCUCUCUGCAAGCAUGAAUGUUUAACCUACCAUGCUUUUUUCCAAAGUCUAAAGACUAAAAUCUUGUGUGCAAUACCUUGCAUCUCGCUUAUGGGAUGGUAUGGUUGCGUGUGUGUGUGUAAACAAAGAGUGAAGAAUCAAAGCAAGACUUUUGAGUUUUGACUUAAAGUACUGUUUCGGUUUACAAGGCUUGUCACAAAGAAAGCAAAACACUUAAGCCAGAACACAGAUCAAGCAGGCAUCACUAUUUUCUUUUAUUUCAACGCUCAUACAAAUUUCUCCAUAGUUUUUUUGUGAGUAGACUUCAAGAGCUCUUGCUCUGCGUAUACUUAUUAUUUGGGGGUGAUUAAAUCACACAAACCGCCUACUCUUUUAAGGAUUCAAUUGUUCAUUGUGAAAGAACAAAGUUACAUGGUAUGAAUGAAGAUAUAUGAUUUUCUGGAGCACGGAAAUAGAGCAUAAUGCUCGUUAAAGAACACAACAAUACGUUGAAAAUUAACAAGCCAGGUAGCUUGGACGUGUAAGGUCAAAUUGCUUGUACAACAUACGGAUACAAAGUAUUCUUUUACUGAUUUAUGUAAAGAAUGUUGCUCAUUCAUAUAUUUGCUAAUAAAAAUAACAAAAGAGAUACUUAUGGUCACAAUGAGAACAUUGAAUAGAUGGCUUUAACUCUGGCCAGCAACACUUCUUAGGUGCUCUAACACAAGCUUUCUUCCGGUGAGACGCUCAACCAAUCCUUCCGAACAAAAUAUAGAUGAAUUAUUCACUCCCAAGCGACUCUCAAAUUUAUUGCAAAUGUUUAAAAACGGUGUGUGGAUGGAUGUGCGAAUGUAUGUACGUGUAAGUUGAGUGUAUUUGAAGGAACAUAGAGAGCCUAUUACCAUUAGUGUAGUCCCGACAAUCAUGUUGGCCGAUCCUCAAAUGAGUUUCCCAGCUCUUAUUGAAGUUGAUUGCAACAUCAACCGCGUCCAAUUUGGAAGAUCCAACGAACCAACAUUUAUUUCUUGGCAGUUUUGUCAAUUUCCUCACCAGCACGGAACCUAAAGAAGUUCCAAGGUUUAGGUGCCUAACGUGUAACGAUUAAGAGAAAAUAACCCAUAAUAUCAAUCAAUGAAACAUCGGAUGCCCAAUUCAAAAAGCCAAUCCCAGACAAACAAUACGGUUUCCGUUCCUUUAAAGUCACACACGAAAAGACAUUCUACAUAAGAUAGCUAAAGAUGAUUCAUAAUUGAGGGUUAAUAUGUUGGAACUUCUGUGUUCUUACCGGGUACUGAUCUACCAGAUAGAACUUCAAGGGCCGUAUAAAUAUUUUCAGGAUCUUUCGGUUGAAAAUCACAAACAAAGACCUGCAAAAAGCUAACAUUUACAGUGAUUAAUAAAUGGUUAAUUACUUAAUUUAACAAAACGAUCAAUUUAAAAAAUAUAUAUAAAAUAAUUAAAUUGAAGUGACCUGGGAGUGGGUAGGAGGAGAAAAGGGUUUGAUGACGACCAUGAAGUGCUGCAAAUCCCAUACAUUGAGGGUGUAGGCUGAAGACAUAAGCAACUGGGCAGGUCCUUUUGUGGCUCUUAAUGGCACUGCUGCCACGUACACUUCAUCUCUGCCUCUUGUUGCUGCUGCCGAAUUUGCAAAUACAGAAGCCAUUUGUGCUUUUCGUUCAAAACAGAACCGUUAAAAAGUAGUUAAAUACCGGAAAGGAUACUGUAGCGAUAAAAUUAUGAUCAGCGCAGCGAGUAUUCGUUUGAAUGGGCCUUAUAGCCCCUCUUGGUCCACUCAUACUAAACUGUGUAACCCAUUAAAAUUUGUUAUAAAUUAACCCAAAUAAUUUAAAUUUCUUUUUAUGAAAUUUAUUUAACUUACUACUCAUGUCAUGAAUAUUUCUUUCAUGAAGCACAAAAUGAGAAGUUCAAUCGCUCACAAUGUGCCCAUCGUAAAAUAUCUCUAACAUGUGUAAUGUAUGAAAUAAAUCGAUGAAAACAUAAAAAAAAUAUUUGUAUUCCGACCCUCCUUUGCCAAUUUUUAUUUUAUUUUAUUUUACCUUCACUAAUAAGUUGUUCGUAUUUUUUUAUGCCAAUAAUGUUAAGAUAUUGGAGGAUACUAAAUGUAAAUUAAUUCAAGAGUGAAACUAUUUGAACUCAUCAAAUUACUUAUUAAAUCUAUUUAAUCCUUACAUUCAAUACGAAAAUAGUAUUUUCACAUUUUACUCAGAUGUUUCCUAAAUUAUUCUUUAAUUUAUUAUAAAUCUCUAAUUUUCAAUUUAAACUUGCUUGUAAUGUUCUUCCACAUUAACUAGAACCGACUCCUUUUUCUCCAUCUUCCUUGCCAACCAUAAACUAUUUUCUACUGUUGACAAACUUGGCCUUUGCAGGAAAAAAAUCAAUUGAUACUUUAGUUUUUUAAUUUUGGUAGAUUCCAAAGAACUAUUUAUCAAAAAGAACUAGCCUUUAAAUUCUAAAGUUUCAAUUUGAAUGAGAGACUAAUUUUAUUUAGAUUAUAAAUAUUAAUAAAUCUCAUGUAUUUAAUAGUAAUUUAAUCAAAGUAUACCAUUGUAAUAUAAAAUUUAUUUUAUUUUAAAAAAAUAAAUUUGACCUUCGCUAUCUCUAAAAAUAGUCGUGAUUGAAUCUUAUUGCAGUAGCAUUUAAAACUUUGAUAUACAUUCUUUGUAAUACUCUUUGAUUUGAAUUCUAUUGUAGUGGCAUUUAAAGCUUUGAUUUACACUCUUUGUAUUUUGAUAUAAAAUAUGGUGUAUUGGAUCAAUAAUCAAUAAUGAAAUUCGAUGACAUAUAUAGCAAAUCCCCCACAUUUUCUCAGCAUUGUAGUAUCUAGGCCUCUUUCCCUCCCUGUUAACGUCUUCACUCUCACCCUCCACAGGCACAAGAAGUAAAUAACCAAAAGCACCUAAGCAGAGACCGUCUCUGCUUUCCGGCUAUCGUCCUUUUUAAAACCAGCGAAUGUAUAAUGAUAAAUAUCAAGUUUUAUGUGCCUAAUAGGCCGUCUUGGUUCAAUCGAACUGUGUGUAACCAUUAAAAUUUUUUAAAAGUUAACCAAGUAAUUUAAAUUGCUUUUUAUGAAAUUUAAUUCAGCACUAUUUCUCGUAUCAUGUGAAGCACAAAACUGAUGAGAGAUUCAAUCUCUGGCCAUUAUAAAGUGAAUAACAUGUGUAAUGUAUAAAGAAAUCGAUUAUAUAUAUAUAUAUAUAAGGUCCUUGUCCUUUCCACCAUUUUUUUAUUUUGUUCAAAUAAUAUUUGUUAAAAUAUUCGAGGCAUUAAAAAAAAAUUAGACUGUACCAUCAUUCUCACUCAGAUCAAAAGUGCAAUUUCACCAACAUCGGGUGAUGUAAUUUAAAUUCGAACUAAAACUCUCUCUUAAUAUGAUUUUUUUCUGAGCAAAUUUUAUGAAUUGACCAAAGGUUCAUAAAUGAAAAAAUAAAAAUAAUUAAAUUUUAAUCAUACACUAGUACAGUAGUAGUAGCACUAAUAUACAAGUUGCACAAAAUAUAUAAAAAAGUCAAAAGAAGAUUAGAUCAGGAGAGAAUCCUGAUCCUUUAAAUCCAGCUGUAUAAAACGACAUUUAACUUUUACAAUAUUAACCCUCAUCAUCUCUUAAGAUACCGCUUAUUUGAGUUCAUUUUUCAGGCAUCUUGGUUUUUGAUUAUACAUAGUUAAUCAUAUACGUAAACUAUUAGAUAAGAAUGAGAUUGUUGGAGUUGAAUCACCAGAUUGGUGGAGUUAAAUUGGAUUUCUUGUGUUAAUUUAUUAACCUAUAAGUGUGUGUGUGUGUAUAUAUAUUGGAGUCACUGCAACUUGCACUCUCGAUGGCAUAGGAGAGUGUUUGGGACAACUGCGCUAUAGCAGCGCAGCGAGUUUCCACCCUAUAUUUUAGAAAAUAUUCCCUAAGAAUAUGGUACGGAGAGCAGCUGCGCGGUGGUACCGCAGCUGGUCCAAACGCACUAACAGUCUCACUGCAUUCAUCAUAGCUUAAAGACUAACAGAAUGAAAUUCUUAAAACAGAAGGGGCAAAAACAUUAUAGAAAAUAUAUAUAAAAAAGUGUUUCCAUUAGUGCUUAUGUUCUUCACAAAUAUCGAUCAAUAAGUACGACCCAUCAUCCUUAUUGUUUUUUUGCUCGGAUAAAAAAGACAAACUAAUUAAUUAAUACUAAACUAUUUUCCAAUAUUAGCUUGAAAGACCAACCCUUGGUUAUACAGCCAUAUUUUGUUAAUUGGCAUCGAUCAUCACGAUCAUAUAACACCAUUUUGGAACAAAAUAUAUGUUAUGACACACUACAUAUAUAUAAUUUUAUUAUUAAGCAAAACAACUGAUAUAUAUUAUUAUUACUGAUUCACCAAGCCAAGUAGCCAACAACAUACUUGAGCUUCUAUUUAUAACAUACAAGCAAACAGUACAUAAUACACAAAUUUCAAGAACCCACCACUUGGCACCAACAACCCAAUUCCUCAUAGCACGUACCGAAAUUUCACCAUUAAGCUCAGACCAUGCUUUUUCUUUGAAUCAAUUCACUGAUCAUGGAUGUCAUGAUGAUCAGCUAUGUGGAGUUGCAAUUAAUGGUAGAUCCAAAAGUGGGGUCGUUUGCAGAUACCAAGACUCAAACAAAAUCCCUUAUUGUUACCGAAUACUAAAAUAUUUGAAACCACUGAACUAAAUUAACUUGGACGUGCAAAUUGGCCAUCAUUAGUUCUUACAAUAUUAUUACUCAGUCUUCUCAGCUGGGGCUUCAUCAGUGUCAGCUUUCUUCUCAGCUUCAGCUGGCUUCUCAACUGCAGGUUUCUCUUCAUCUUUCACUUCCUCCUUUGCAGCUUCAACUUCUGCCUCUGGCUUCUUCUCUUCUUCCUUGGCCUCUUUCUCAGCAGCUGGCUCUGGUGUCUCCGUUGGAGUAGUUUCCACUUCUUCAGUUUUCUCUGCGGUAGUCUUCUCCGCUGCUGCUGGCUGAUCUUCGGCUACCACCUCCUUUGUCUCAACUUCAGCUGGGGCUUCAGCUUCUGGAGUAACCACCGCUGCUUCUUCAGUUACAGCAACAGCUUCUGCUUCCUUUGCUGCUGGUGGCUCUUCAGCAACGGGUUCUGGUGCCACAGGUGCUGCAGAAGCUGAAGCAACUACCUCCUCUGUUUUAGUUUCUUCAGUCUUGACUGGUUCAUCAGCUGUUUUAGUUUCUUCAGCCUUGACUGGCUCCUCAGCUUUGAUCUCCUCGGAAAGAGCAGUCUUUGCUGACACAACCUGCAUACGAACAAUCAAAUUAAUUAAUUCGCCUAUUAUUACCAUAACGCCAAUAUGCAUGCAUAAGAACUUGAUUACUAGAAGUUGAGUUUCACCUCAACUGUGGCCAUAUUGCAAUUUCAACAGCUAGAAAACUACAAAGAAAACAAGUAUAUAAAUAUAAGAAAGCAAAGAAAUUGACAAUGCGCUUGAGUGUUUGAGAUGAUCAGAGUGUGAGUGAUGAGGCUGCUUUAUAUAGUAGUGACUAGUGAAAAGGAGCCUCAAGUUGAUGAGAGAAAAGGAGGAGGGGGGUGGCUGAGUGGGGUCCUUGAUUGAAGAAUCUUGGGAUUUGACACCUCACCACACUGACUUCCAAGGGCAUGAGCGAGCAUGUUUGGUAAUUAUGCGAGAAGAAAGUUUCUGAGAUGGGGUUUUGCUAUUUUUAAUACAUAAUAGUUUGUACCCUUUCGAGUUUGAUUGGGGAAUGCCAAUUGCCAAACAAUGGUCGCAAAUUUUCCGCUGAGCUAUCAUCUUCCUUUGUAGUGUGUGCUCUGUACAGUCGGCUGUUUAGGCGUCCUUGACAAUCAUUCACCUCACGUUCUUGAUCGAAUAUCUAUUACUUUUAACUGUGGCAAACCCUCAAUAAUUUAAUCUCACUGUGAAUGAUAUUUCUGACAGUCACAUGAAGCCACGGACCAGCAGUGCUGUAUGCAAUAUAUAUAUUAAACUAAUUUGGAAUGUUCUUUUUUCAAGAAUUUACAUUGAUUAAUAUACUGGUAACUAUUCUCUAAAAAUAACAGUUGCACAAUUGAAAAUGUGGAUUUAAACUAGGUAAUAUCGUAAUGAAGCCAUGGCAAUUUCAUAUUGAAAAGCAGACGUUUUAAAUAAUUUCCAAAACUUAUCAACCCAUCAAUUUAUAAUUUGAUUUAUCACAUUUUGGUUACACUCUUAUUUCGGAAGCGGGACCAAAAGAAAAAUAGGCUAUCCACAUCAGCCAACCAAAUCAGCAAACGGGCCUCAACCGUAAAGAGCAUGGGGCGGCGUCAGCCGGUGGGUCCCCACGGGACCAAUAGGAUUAAUUUACGUGGAAGAAACGAAUAAAAUUCUGACGUGGCAAGCAUGCUCCAUGACUUCUUCGCCCCCUGUUCCAGCGAAUCAGGUAUGAAAGAAUGUGGACCCAGUGGGUACACCAAGGGAACAGAUGUUGACCAUGCUGACUCAGGACCCACUCUGUUUCAUCAUCAUCGACAUCGAACGUUGAUGUUACUGUGUAGGCAAAUGCAAUGAAUCAUUAGGCAUGUUAAUUAUUUAAGGGUAUAUGCACGUACACAAAAUUGAUGAAAUAAAUAAUUGUAAAUAUAUAUUAGUCAUUUUCUAGUGCAGGCAACAUGCGUCUUUAUUAUUUUUUUUAUGUAGAUAUAUUUUUAAAUCGUAGGAUUUAAGAGAGUUAGGUGUUGUUUGUUUUUUAGUCUGAAGUUUGAAUUUAAUUUUUUUUAUACAUUUAUUUAUUUUAAGUUGUUUGUUUUUUUAAUUUAUCACUUAUUAUCAGAUAAUUUUAUCUGAAUAGAAAAAAUAUACUUUUAUCUGAAGUCUGAAGUCUAAAUGGAAAAUUUUAAUUUCAAAUCUCAAAAAUACCCUUAACAAUUAUAUAUUUCCCAUAUUAUCUAUAAGCCUAAUAUUUUUGUAUUAUUCUUGAUUUUUUUAAUUACUUUAAAUUUUUAUUCACACGAUAACAUUAACUAAACUGAAAUAUUGAACAAAUCAAAUUAUGUCAAUUGUGAUUAAUCAAAAAUAAAAUCAACAAUGUUGACUUUAUAAUAACAUUUGAUGUUAUAAUUACAUCUUUUAUUACAAAAUUAAAUUAAGAUCAACAAUGAUAGUAUUUUUUAUUUAAUACUACUAAACUAAUCAACAUAUGGAAAUUAUAAAUUGUGAAAAACAAAUAUAUGCACCAAUAAAAGGAUAUUUAUGUCAAACUACUAGUUUUUAAAUCUUUCUCUUCAGACGUAAAAAAAGAGAAAACAAACAUAUCAUUCAGGUAUUUUCAUUCAUACCUAUUCAGACUUCAGUAAAAUUCAGACCUAUUCAAAUUUCAGAUAAAAAAACAAAUGCAAUCUUAAUUUUUAACUCUCUAAAACCGUAUGAUUUUAUAGUUUAUUCAAAAAUUAAUUUCUUUUAAACAACAUGAUUUAAUAAUGUGUUCGCAUUAAAAAAAAUACGAACAUUCAUACCUAAUAAUUAUUAUAUAUACAUACACACACGCGGAGUUUAAAUUAAUAGGUUUGUGCAUAUAUCUUUUUAGGCCAAGAAAGAGAGAGAGAGAGAGAGAGAGAGAAACAUGACUUCACACACAAGACUUGUUUUCCAACAUACAAUUCCAACUAUCAUUAUAAUUUAAACCUGUCUAAUUUAUCUUAAAUAUUUUUAUUAUGUCCAAUUCAACAAAUAUGAAAUAAUAAAUUGGCUUGUUUGGUUUUUUUGCAGUAAAAACAAGAAAUGUUAGACCUUCGUGUGCGCACUUUGUUAUCAAAAUUUUAUAGACAUUGUUGUUGUUGUUGUUAUUAUUGAAAAAUUCUUCAAUAUUAGCGUUGAAUCUUUCCUUAAAAAAAAAAAUCAGAUUUUUUUAGCUUGAAGUUACCAUAAAUUAGACAGAAAAAUAUAUUAGUAUUCAUUGCCAACAAAUAUGCAACCCGUCACGUUACUGCGCUUUUGAACAAUCAUGAAUCCCUAGGGCUGUAAAGCACAACUCUAAACUGAAGACUUCGUACGGUAGCAAACACUCGAUAAUGCCUCGAGGUUUGUGGUAUUUGCGGCGUCUAAGAUAUCGGAUGACGUCCGACGUGUCGUUCUACUCAAAUUCAAAUUCUCAAUUCAUCUUUGAUUUUUGGGACACGAGGCAGAGGUAAAAUAAAAAGGCCACGAACCUGGCUUCUAUGUUUAGGCAGAUCCCGAAAAGGCCAAAAGACAAUAGGGCGGGCGGUGGAGGGGCCUACAAUUGUAGGACCCAUAAUUAAUUUUUACCAUUAAAGCAGUGUCACGUGGGCAAGUAGAUCACCGACCACGUAAUUGAGUUUUGGAUUUGAUUGGCUAAUUGGAUGUAAAAAGGAGGAAGGGGGCUCACUUGACGCAUCAUGAUUGCUGUUUUGACAGAGUGGAGGGAUUAUACGAUUCGUGGUAACGUCAAUGGCUUAUCGUCUGAUCUCUCUUGGCACUUUCCAUAUUUUUUCAAUGAUUUGAAUGAUUAUUGAUGAUAUUUGGGUAGCUUGGAGAGCUCCUCGUGUGGAUUUAAAUUUCAAGCGACUCUUAUGAGCAAACAGGCAUCUUGUAACAUAACCACCCUUAUUUGUUUUGAGCUUCAUGGGAUUUUGUGGCUAUGGAAAGCUGGGUUUAGCCCAAAUUAUUACAAGCCCGAUAAAGAAACGAGGUCGUGCAUACGUGCUCAUUUACUCAUGGAGUGUUAUUAUUCGGCCCCGCAUUUCAUCUCAUGUGACCCCGUCUAAUAUUAAAAAUUAUCCUAAAGGACAGAAAGAAAUUGUGCUCUAUUUCUUUUUCAAUCAAACUCAAUAACCCAGCAGCUCUUCUCUUCUAUAUUUUUACUUGCAUGUCAUAGCAGUCAAAUGUUUUUUAAUUUUUUGAAGCAAAAUAUUCCAUUCAUUCUAUAGUGAUUUGAUGAGUAGUAUAACACAAUGUUAGCUUUUUUAUUUUUUAUUUCUUUUUCAUUCUAAAAUAUUGAAUUUUAGAAAUUUAUGUGUCUAAAAGAUUCUCUAAUAGACACUUACAAAAUAGAUGAUCAUUUUUUUUUUCAAAAAAUGAAAUAAUGGAUGAUAGACUUGCAUCUAAGUGUGUUGAUACAAUUAUUUAAAAAACAAAAAUGAUAGUUAUGACAGAACAUAAGAAAAUUUGGAAGUAGAUGAUGAAUCAAAAAAAAAAAAAAAAGGGUCUGGUGAGAUAAGAGGAUAAUUUUGAAAAUUAAUGGGGUAUAAAAGAAAGUAGGGUCUUUUAAGGUAAUAUGUGGUGUUGAAUAUUAUUGCUCUUACUCAUACCUCGCUUGUUACAGACAACAGAGUAUGUUUUGAAGCAAAAUAUCUAGGGAAAUUUACAAAAUUAGCCCAAAAAUUUUAGGGUCUUUUAGAAUUAGCCAAUUAAACUUUUUCUACCCUAUGUAGCCAAUUUCAACAUUUUUGGACAACAAAUACCAUUGUCACUCCACAAAAAAAAAAAAAAAAAAAAAAAANNNNNNNNNNNNNNNNNNNNNNNNNNNNNNNNNNNNNNNNNNNNNNNNNNNNNNNNNNNNNNNNNNNNNNNNNNNNNNNNNNNNNNNNNNNNNNNNNNNNNNNNNNNNNCCCCAAAAAAAAAAAAAAAAAAAAAAGAACAUUCUCGUCACUCCUAAAUCCAGUAGCACGAUCGUGACUUUUCCAACAACAAUCAACGACAGUUGAUGGGCGUUUGACAGAAGCUUUUUCUCUGACAUUAUGUGGUUGUAUUUCCGACACUUAGACGACAGCUGGAUGGGAGGUUGAUGCAAGCUUCAUCUCCAAAAGCAAGUUUUUUUUUCGUUUCAUUAAGAUUAUACUGUAUUUGAAUGUAAUUAAGUGUAUAUUUCAUGAUAGAUGAGUAUUAGGUUAAUUUUUUAUGAAUUUUGAAAAAUAUUUAAUGAGAUUAUAGUUUGAGAAAAAUGGCAUAUGAGGUGUUUGUUGAGAUGCCUAUUAAACUUUGUUAUCUCAUUUUUGAUAGAUUAUGUCGUGGGCGAAUCCGUGCUUGGCAAAGCAUAGCAACAUGCUUACUUUGAUUUUGAGCAACAAGUGCUUGUCGCCUGGGAGACAGGUGUCUGUCAGUCAAAAUUACAUUAAUAUGUUUGUUGUGAUUUUGUGCAAUAGGCACCUAUGGCUUGGGAGAUAGUGCAUGUUGCUCAAAAUCAUAGCAAUACGCUUGCUUUGAUUUUGAGUGGUGGGCGUUAUCGCCCUGAAAACAAGUGCUUGUCACUUAAAAUUACAUUAACAUACUUGUUGUGAUUUCAUGAGAAGGGUGCAGGUCGCCUGUGCUCUAGGCUUCCGUCACACUAAAUCAAAGCAACACUCAUUGCACUAAAAUCACUUGCUCUGCUUUGUUGAACACGAAUUCAUAGCAAGCCACAAUAAACCCACAACACAAUCUAUCACAAAUAAGAUAAUGAAGUCUAAUAGGCACUUCAACAAACAUCUCAUAUGCCAUUUUUCUCAAAUCAUAAUCUCGUUUAAUUCUUUUCAAAAUUCAUAGUAAAUUAACCAUAAUACUCAUCUAUCAUAAAGUAUACACUCAAUUACAUUCAAAUGAUGGUCUAAUCUUAGUGAAACAAAAAAAAAAACUUGAUUUAGGAGAUGAAGCUGCUGUCAAUCGCCCAUCCAACUGCCGUCUAAGUGUUGGAAAUACAGACAGGUGAUGUCGGAGAUGAAACUGCCGUCAAACGCCCAUCCAACUAUCAUCAAUUAUUGCCAGAAAAGUUAAGACUGUGCUGGUGGAUUUGAGAGAGAAGAAAUGUUAAGUUUUUUAGGUUUUGGAAUGACAAGGGUAUUGUUGUCCAAAAAUGUUGAAAUUGGCUAUAUAAGGUAGAAAAAGUUAAAUUGACUAAUUCUAAAAGACCCUAAAUUUUUUUGGCUAUUUUUGUAAAUUUUUCAAAUAUCUAGCCCAUUUUAUCAUGGAUUCUAAUGCUUGAAUUUAUUAUGAGUGAUGAUAUAGUCACAAACUCUUGUACAAACUUAUUUUAUACAAACUGAUUUGAUAUUAACUCGUUAGUUGAAUAAAAUACAAAAUAAUAAAAAUAAAUCAUGUGAACCAACUUAACCAUGUCAUAUCAAUUUGUACAAAAAAAAGUUUGUAUAAGAAUUUAUAGUUAUAUUAUUUCUCAUUUAUUAUUAUGAGUUGAAGUACUGAUAAAAUCUAUUCAAACUCUUGCUAUAUAUUUAUACUUUUACCUGUAACUGAUAUUACUUAAAAAGACAAUUAUAAUUAAUAAAAACUCACUUAUAAUGAAAACUCUUUACACCUUUGUAUGUCUUCAAAACUUAAAUCAAAGUCUAUUUAACGCACGGAAGAAAUUAAUAGGACUUGAGAGAUUUUCAAAUCACAGAAAUAGGGAAAACCGAACAUCCACAUACUAAUAAAAUCUAAAUACUAAGACUUUUAGUUUAUGCUGGGUUGAAAUUUUUUUUUAUAAAAAUGGCUUGGCUACAAAGAGAAUGAGCAGUAACAAUUUCAUCACCAUGACGUAAUUAUUGGGGUUUUAACGAUAGAUAUGAAAUUUUUUAAAAAAUAAAUAAGUGGGGUGUUAUAAACAUUGUAUAAUAUGUUUUAAUACUUUAUUAGGAUUAGUUGAGAGAAGGGUUUUUACGAGCUGUUUAGUGGAAUGCUAAUAUUUUCACUAAUUAACACUUAAAAGUGUACAUGUAAUAAGAAUAAUUUUAUUAGUUUUUUAUUUAAAGUGUUAAUUAAUGUGCUCAUUAUUCUUAAAUUAUCUCAAGACUCUCCAAAUAUAUUUUUAUGUUAAAUUAAAUUGUAAUUUUGUGAUAUGUUAAUUUUAUUUUAAUUUUAUAUUGUAGAUAUAUUUUAAGAAUAAAGAGGAGUUGGAACUAGAUCCAAGAACAAAGAAGAAUUACUAAAACCUUUUGAAAUGCAUUAUUGAAGAGAUAUAAUUAAUAAAAAUAUAUUUCAAAAAAAAAAGAAUAAAAAGGAGCAACCAUGUUUUGGUUGCUCGUGAUGGUCAAGUGGUUACACCUUUCAAUUAAUAUAUAUAUUUAAUAUAAUAUAAAAUAAUAAUUAAAAGAAGGAACGAUGCAUCCAAAGGUAAGGAGAUGCAAGCGAGGAGGUAGAGAGGAGCCAGAAAGGAGGGUACGGAUUGAAGCUGAAAAUUUUAUUUAUUUAUUUAUUUAUUUUCUUGUUUUCUGGUGUAAUCAAUUCCCUUGUAAUAUAUUUCAAAAGUUUGUCAAAUAAAAAAAAUGUUUUGUUUUCUUUUAAUAUGAGUGACUAAUUUUACUAAGCUAAGGUGAAGGGUAAAGCUUAAGAUUUCAAAGUAUUAAAUUAAUUUCUCUCUCAAGUGAGUUUUAAGUUUAUUUUAUUAUUUUCAGAUUAUUUUUAUGUCAUGUUAAUUUAUAAAUUUCCUUGGAUUUGUAUGGUAUUUUGACAUAAUGUCGAUACAUUAAUAUAGACUUGAUUUUAUAUUUAUCGAAACACAUAGUUAGUUAAAAUUAAAUGACAUAAUAAUUAACUGAUAAAAGUGAGGAAAAAUAUAAAAAUGAGAGAAUAUUUAAACUAUAAUUUCAAUAUUGAGAGUAGAUCUCGUAACCCUAGUGUAUUUUUAAAUUGAUUUCUAAUAAUUUUUUUCCCAUAUUUAAUUUUCUUUGUUUAACAAAUUGAUUAUUAGAUUUUAAAUUCCCUCUGGUUCAACUCCAAACUCACCGAGUUAUAUUAUAAUUGGACACUCUUAUAUUUGGGAGUAAUAACACCUUUGAGUCAUGUCAUUCGCUCUAUUAUUAUCCCAAUAAACUCUAACUCUCCUUUUUAAUGCUUCUACAGUUUCUCAUUUAGCGAUCCUAAUUCUAGAUUAGAGUAGAAGAUUGAUCGUUUUAUUGAAUGACAUUGAAAUUUAACAAGUUCGGUUGAAUUUUAUGAUGGCAAAACAAAUGAAAGAUAAAAAAGAGAGUGAGAGUGCACAUAUAUAAACCACACAAUGUGGUGAUAGUGUGAACACAAAGGCGACAAAAUUCCUUAAUUUUUUUUAAAAAAAAACAUAACACAAAGUGAUAAUUAAAUUCAAUUUUUAUUUAUGUGAAGGAGGUUGAACUCCAUAUCUUUACCAACUAAACUAAGCGAUAUUAUUAAUACACACAAUAUAAUUCCUAAUUUUCAACCCACCAAAUCUUCCGCAUAAAAGAACCCUCCACGGUCCAAAAUUAGCAUAUAAUCCAAUGCACAAUAAUGCACAAUAAACUUCAAAAAUAAUAAGAAGAAGAAGAAGAAGCAAAUAAACUAAAGCCCCUAUGUUACAUUAAAUGUACCAUACACAACUCACAAGAACCACACAAAUUAUGGAACCCACAUAAUUAUGUGGUUCUUAUUAGUUGUGUAUGGUACAUUCAAUGUAACAUAGCAAAAUCCAUAAACUAAUGAAAGGACCAAUUUGCAAAUGUCAAACCGAUCGCCGUCUACGUGUAAACAUUAAGCGAAAACUUUUACGAGGAGUGCGUCAACAACACUGCAACGUGCACAAACAGACAGAACUAACUACCUUCCUAAAAUUCCUAUUCCUCCCCCCACAAUCUCAGGCUUGGUUGUCGCCAAAAAUUCCAUUGGUGACCUUCGCGUUUUCUUCUCCAUUCCAUUCGCUUCUCUUAUAUUGCGCGUCACCACACACUCAUUUUCUCACUUUUAGCCUAUUAGAGAUUCUCCCGGCAUAACUGACUAACCAAUUAACUAACCAACCCGGCCCCUACUCUAUGAUCUAUUCAACACUUCAACGACCCACCACAAAAAAGCUACCAACGAAAAUUCAAAUUCAAAACACCCUGUUCCUUUUUUUUUUUAAUUUUCUUUUUCUUUUUCUUUUUCCUGUCUUUUUGCUCUCUUUUGUUUGGACAAAAGAACAAUUCUUGCCUUUUUUUGACACUCAGUGCUCAAUUCGUUUCAUAGAUAUAAAAAUUUUUUUUUUCUUUCUUUUUUGUUCAUUCAUUAACAUAAAGGAUAAAGGGGCACUAAAUUGGUAACAUUUUUCGUUUGCUGGGUCUGUUUUGUUUUUUGUGUUUUCAUUUUCUUUUUUCAAUAAAGAAAUUUUGGUGAGUUUUGGGGGGGCGUUCAAAGAGUUGAUGAAUUGUUGAUGUCUUUGGCUGUUGGAGCUGUGUCAAGUUCCAAUAACAUGGUUGAUGAGAAGAGGGAGGAAGGUGAGAAUAGUAAUGUUGCCGUGGGAGCAGCAGAACCAGCAAAUCUUCAAGAAGAACAGAGGACCAGCAGAUAUGUGACUGUGAGUGAAACUGACGAAGAGGAUGACGACGACAGGGAGCAGGACAUCCAGUUGGGUCCUCAGUACACUCUCAAAGAGCAGAUUGAAAAGGAUAAGGUUUGUUUUACUUAACAUUUUACAUCUUUUUGCUACGUACAAAUUUUGUUGAUGAGCUUCAUGAGUUCGUAUAUAGGAUGAUGAGAGCUUGAGGAAGUGGAAGGAGCAGCUCCUCGGAAGCGUUGAUUUUGACAACAUUGGAGGUAUUAAUGUUCUUUUGGUUAUGUUUUGUAUCCUUUUUUGUUAGAAUUUGUUUUUGUUUUUUAAUUUCUUUUGAUAUAUAUAUAUAUAUAUUUUCAUUUUCAUGUUGACUGUCUAUAACACUAAUGGUAUCUAUCCAGGGGUGCUAAAAGAUGUGAAAGUUCAAGGCUUUCUUUAUACUAGAUAAUAUUAAUCUCUUUGGUUUGUUUGCUGACAAUAAAUCUUAAUCCUUUGAGCAAUUGAGGACUGUCCUAACCUUUGUUCAAUAAGUUCAUUGCUUCAUUUUAGGUCACAUUAGAAGACAUGUCAUUAGAUGGGGGGAUAUGUGCAUCUCUUGCGUUUUUUCUGUUCUGUAAUCAAUCUCAUUUGUAUGAAUUAUAUCCAUUGAACUUAACUUGUUCUAUUGCUUUCUCUCUAAGAAACUAAAGCUUAACCAACCUCACUGCUAUCAGCCCAUUUAAUGUGCUUUUGGUUUUCCCUUGACUUGAUGCAGAAACUCUUGAACCUGAAGUGAGGAUCCUUAGCCUCUCAAUUGUUGCGCCCGGGAGAAAUGACAUUGUCCUUGCUGUUCCAGAGGAUGGAAAACCCGCAGGAAAUUGGUUUACAUUGAAAGAAGGUAGUAAAUACAGCUUGAAAUUCACAUUCGAAGUCAGCAAUAACAUCGUAUCUGGCCUUAAGUACACCAACACCGUUUGGAAAGCCGGUAUCAAGGGUAAGCAAACCACCUAUGCUCGAACUCAUGCUAACAUUUUGAAUGUCAUUCACUCGUAUGUUUUGCUCACUACAAGUUUUAUUUCAGUGGACAGCGCAAAACAGAUGCUUGGAACCUUUAGUCCUCAGCCAGAGCCUUACAUACAUGAGAUGCCCGAGGAGACAACCCCUUCGGGCAUGUUUGCUAGAGGAUCGUAUUCUGCAAGAACAAAGGUUAGAUCAAACGGUCAAGUUCUUGUUUUCUGCAAGUACUAUUCUUUAUGGAUCAUUUGAUAUUUUUCUUUAUGUAACAAGUUGUUAGAAUAGUCACAUGCAGUUUCCUAGAAAGUUUCACUUUAGGAUUCAUAUGUAGAUUAACUGAAGUUGCUUAAUUGAUACAUGAUUCGGAAAUUUCACUUUUGAAAGUAUCUACCGUGAUCUAUUCUUGCUUUAAAGCUGCUUAAUCAAAUUGAAUUAGCUUUCCCAGAAGACGUGAAUGAGGCGCAAUUUAUGAGAUUGUGACUCCUGGCAUCACACGAGAGACGAGUUCUAUCAUCUCUUAUCUGUUAUCUUGUAUGUUACAUGUGAAGUGCGACCCACCAAUUCAUUCGUUGCACAUAUUGUUGUUUGGCCAUGACUUGGGGACCAUUUUGCUGUUUGCCUUGUAUGUUUUAUUGCCUGAUGAAGACUCAAGUUUGCUAGUUUUCUGAUUUUUGUCUUUGUUCUGUAAUGUACAACUAACUUGUUUAGUUUCCAAGCAAACUGCUGACAUAGCAUGCCCAAUGCAAACUAGUGUGCAAUACUUACUGUAAAUUUUUUUUUUUUGGGUCCCAAUUUUUUGCAGUUUCUUGGGGUCCCAAUUUUUUGCAGUUUCUUGAUGCUUACUGUAAAUUUUUUUUUUUUGGGUCCCAAUUUUUUGCAGUUUCUUGAUGAUGAUAACAAGUGCUACUUGGAGAUCAACUACUCCUUCGACAUCAGAAAAGAAUGGGCUGCUGUUUGAAGGGAGAGCUUCGCAUGGCUUCAUCAUCCACUAGUUAUUUUUUCUUAUACCAUUAUUAUUAGCUCAAGAUAUUUCAAUUCAAGCCUAUUAAAUUAAUGCUUUUGCAGCUAAAUUAAUCACUUCACCCUACUCGCGGCAAAUUCCCUUGACAACGGAAAUAUGCCUUUGAUUCCAGGGAUGCAUGCCUCGCCUCACUGUUGGAUGCUUGUUUCUAACUUUCAUUUCUUCAUUCAUUGAGAAGACUGUAAACUAUUGCUUUUAAUCUAGGAUUUAUUAAGAAGUUAGAAAGCAGUUCAGUUCAUGAGUUUUCUUUUGUUUCAAGUAAUUGGACCUGCUUUUUACGAUUGUUUUAGCAGCUAUGCUAAAAGUUUUCUAUUAAAUUUCUUUUCUGCAAACAUUUUCAAUUAUGAGCUUAAGUUUCUUCAGAGCUAUGUUGAGCACAAGUCGAUAUUAAUAAAUACCAUGUUGCUAAGGCCUGUUGCUUGCGGGUGUUUUUUUUUUCUUUUUUUCUUUUGUUUUUGUUUUGGUCGUCAAAUAAUCCCAAAUGCAACAAACUUUUAAAAUUCUUGGACUAUGACCACAAAAUUGCUGCCAUUAAAACCUUGGAUAGCCCAAGAGAUGAAAAGAACCCAGUCUUCAACAUGAGCUCAUACAAGUUUGAGGAGUCAAGAGACUAUAAUAAGACCCAACAAAUUAAAUAGGUAAUGAAAUUAUCAGCUUGGAAGGACAAAGGCAGCUGCAAGCCUCGCUUGAUAGUAACAGUAAUCUCUCAUCUUACUCAACCCAUUUUAUUUCCUGUUGCUUUAUAUUGAUAUGUGCAGAGAAACACAUCAUAGAACCUUCUCUUCAGCCUCUAUCUUUAUAUCAUUGUGGCGUUACAUUAAUAACGCAGCUAAAAUGUUUUCUGUAACCUAUAACGUGACACUUAUAUAUAAUAUAUAUUUAUUAGUAUAAAAUGACUAACGAUGCAUUGCCCUUGUUACUGGUUUCAUGGAGAAAUUUCAAAAUAUUUAGAACAGAAAAUAAACAAUAUGUAAAACUUGGCUUGACCCAUGUUAGAUUAAAUCUUUAAUUUACUGUUUUAACCAUGAUUAGCCCUUUAAUAACAACGAAGUGGACGUUGACUAACGUGAAGAGACACUCAAACCCACCCGACACAAGUGAUUAAUCUGUUUUAUUAAGAAAACAUCAUCCCUAGCAAAAUAAAUUGACUUCUUGUUGAUUAAUUUAAACAAGGUUCAUAUGACAAAAUGCCCAAUCUUAACCACCAAAUCCAUCGUAUUUGAUGAUAUUGCCAUUGCACCUUCCCAUGCCUAAAUGACAAAUCUCACCUCCCCAAAUCAAUGUUAGUGAAGUUAUGUAAUUAAUAAAUGUAAUCUUAACUUAAUUUGACCGCAUACUCCAUUGAACUUCACGUGCAGCUUUUAUGAAAUUUGGCUUUUGGUCACUGCAUUUAUGUGAAGGGGAAAGCUUCAGUGGCUCCAAGCCUCCAAAUAUUAUUAAAAUAUUACCAAAUUGAGAAUAAUGUAUUCCUAAUGCAUGAUAUAUAUAUAUAUAAAUUUUUUUUUUCAUCUUUCGAACUAGGUGGCUGGAUAGUUUGAAGUAAGUUUGUCUUUUAACACUAUCAUUAGAUUCUUACGUAAUAGUUUAAGUUUUAAAAUAAAUGAUACGAAUAUUUUUAAUAUAGAAUUAAAGUUAAGUUUUGUGUUCAAUCUCCACAAAUUAUAUUAAAUUUGGUCCACAUGUUAUGUUUGAUUCAAUAAUUUAUUGAUUUUAAUUUUAUUUUGUCUCCUUAAACUAAGUUUUACCUGAGAAACAUGUCAAAAGGUAUAUAAUAUAUUGUUAACUGUGUGAGGCACUUUUAAGUCCGUACUACAACUCAGACUAAUUCUCGCUCGCACCGAAUCGGUCCGUAAGGAGUAAAGUGCUGGCCAAAGUGAUGACUCCAUACGAAAACGGGACUUGAACCCCUGACGUAAGAGUGCCUAACCACUCACAACAACCAACUUUAAUUUGUCAAAAGUUAUCUUUAAGUGUAUUAUUAGACUCUUACUUAAUUGUUUAAGCUUAAUUUCCAUAAAAAGAAAUUGUUUGCGAGCGUAGCAAAGGGAUUAGAAUCGAUGAAUUUAUACUAAAAUGAUUUUUGUUUGUCACUUUCACAUUCUAUGUGCACUGAAUUAAAUGAAUGAAGAGUUAGGAUUCCCACCAAAUCAACAUGAAACUUGAUUUAGUGUAUAAAAUCUAUUAAAUCAAGAUAUAAAGGUGAUUUGAUUAUUAUCAAGCCAAAAAGAGAAAAAUAAAUUUAAAAGAAUUGUUUUAAUUAUCAAAAUUCUUAAAUCGCAUCUUAUAAUAAUAUAAUUCAUGAAUUAUCCAUAACCAUAAACAUAACCAAGGGAUUUGGUAAAGUUAGUGUCGGGCUGUCGGCGGGAGUAACACACAAGGAAACGAUGUCGUUUACCGUGAUUGCUAAAGUACGCGAUUUUGAGGUGGCGGGUGCACACGUUGGGCGCCGCAGCAUUGGAGAACAACAGGUGGCAUCGGCUUUUUGUGGGGUACACACAGGUCACAGGCAAUGCUUGUUGGCCCAAACAUCAUGGUCGGCCCCAUUUUGGCCCACUUCUACUCAAAUUAUCGGCCUACGAUAUUUUCAUGAUAUUUUGUCUUUACCCUUUGUAAUAUUAUGUUCCGAGUGAAUUUAAUUAUUUUCAUAAUAUUUUGUUUUUAACAUUUAUAUUUUGGCUUUAGUGAAUUUAUUUAUUUACUUUUUUAUAAAAAAGGAAAGGAGGUAGAGACAUAACUAAUAAUACGAGCGUUACUUGUCAUAUUAGUGGGAAGAUAAAUUUUGUAUCUCAAAUUUUGUAAUCAUAACUUUAUUUUUUUUCACUUUUUUUAAUAAAUAAAUGUCCUUACUUUAUAAAAUAAAAAAUUUCUAAGAUCAGUUCGAUUUAGUAAGCUGUAAAAUUCCAUGGGCACACAUUAGCACGAGCGCAACGUACACCCUAUCGGUAUGACAAAAUUUAUUAUGAUAAAUUGAAGUGGGAUUAUUCUUAUCUUAAAGAAUGACAUUUCCAUGAUUAGGUAGUUUUAGCAAGCCGUAAAUGUAUCACGCGGGCAUGUUAGCACUUAUCAUGGUAUGGCCAAAUUUAUCAUGAUAAAUUGAGUAGAAAUUCGACAAUGAUGUUAUGGAUUGCCACUGUGCAUGGGUUGGUGUCUCAGAGAUUUUAAAAAACUAAUUUGUUGACGAGUGAUUAAGAAAGGCCACCCCACAUGGACCACUUUUCUUCAAAGCAAUUCCACUAAAGAAACCCUUAAAAUGUUUUAUGUGUUUGCCCUAAGCAAGUAAAUUCCCAAGAUUGGAAACUUUUCUUUGUCAUCUUCCAUGUGACAGAUUUAAGACGCUACCACUAAAUUUUAUGUUAGGACUGUGUAAUUUUGUACAGUAAUUGUAAACCACCUACUCUUUUCACUGUCUCUUACUUACCUUUUAACCUUCAUCUCACAGCUCCCCCACCACCAGCUGGUGCCAUCCCCAAUCAGGAGUUCAGGACUAUGUAGUAUUAUUAUUUUACUAGUAAAUGUAAAAAAUCAAAUCUUUAUAUAGUGUCAAGACAUUUCAUUUUUUUUGCAGCUGCACUAACAUCACCAUUUCUCACUCUCUCUCUCUCCCUGCCUCUGUCUCUGAAUUCCACUUAGUCAGGUCAGUGUCUGCUCUCAUUGUAAUUGUUUUGCUUCACUUUGGGUUCCAAUUUAUGAUUUUGCACUUCAUGCAGCUCAGAAUUGUUUAGCUUUUCUGGGUUUGUUUUGCUUGGUUGAUCUGGGAUUCUAGAUCUGUUCUUGUGCCCCAUUCUUGAUGUACAUUGUGUGAUUUUUCCCUUGGGUUUGAUAAGACAUGAUAAAAUUUGUGGCUCGAAAUUUGAUUUUGAUCUGAGUUUUGGAGUAAAGUUUUGAUCUUUUGGUGAUUUGUUCUGUUUGGAAUCGUAUAUCUGCUUUUGCAUGUGCUUCAAAUGCUUGCGUGGUCUCCACAUGUCAGUUUCACUUUCUUGCAGCGUCUGUUUCAGUGGGAUGAGUUGUUCAAGAUCUAACUUUCUGUUAUAUCUUUGUAGACGUUUGGUGAGCUGGGUUUUUCAGAAACUUGUUUGUGGGUUACGGUGUGUGGAUUUUGUAAAACAGUAAGAUUUUUAUUGUCUUUCUAGACAUUGGGGCUUUUAGAUUUUAGAUUUUAGGUGUUAAAAUUUGACACACACUUACAUUGUGGUUCAAUAAGAUUUGAUCACAGGCUCUUGUGCUGAUAGGCUAAGAUCUAGCAGUUGAUUGAUUCUGGUUUUUGCAGGAAUUUGGAGAGUUUGGUCAACUUAGAAAGCAACAUAAAACUUCAUGGAAAAAAUGGAAGUUUCCAUGGCUUUGAUGAUUAGUGCACUAUUGCUUUUGUUCUCUUCAGCUAAUGCUCAGAAAGCUGCUAGCCCUCCCACAUUCAGUCCAACUCCGGCCCCAGCACCGGCGCCUGAACAUGUGAACCUCACUGAUUUACUCUCUGUAGCUGGCCCAUUCCACACGUUCCUCAAUUACCUUGAGUCCACUAAAGUGCUUGAGACCUUCCAAAACCAAGCCAACAAUACUGACGAAGGCAUUACCAUCUUUGUGCCAAAAGAUGAUGCCUUCAAGUCUCUCAAGAAACCUUCUUUAGCCAAUCUCACACAGGAUCAGCUUAAGCAGCUUUGUCUAUUCCAUGCCUUGCCACAUUACUACUCAUUUGCUGAUUUCAAGAACCUUAGCCAAAUGAGCCCUGUUCGCACAUAUGCUGGUGGAGAUUACAAAUUGAACUUCACUGAUGUUUCGGGGGCUGUCCAUAUCGAUUCAGGAUGGUCUAGAACUAAAGUUAGCAGCAGCGUGCAUUCAACUGACCCUGUUGCCUUGUACCAAGUUGAUAAAGUCCUUCUCCCAGAAGCAAUCUUUGGUACCGACAUUCCCCCAAUGCCUGCACCGGCACCGGCUCCUGAUGUCGCACCGCCUGCUGACGCUCCAUCUGAAGUAAGUGACGGUGGCUCUGCUUCUCCAAAAUCUUCACCAGGAACAAAUUCUUCUCACAGGAACAUCAACUGGGGUAUUUGCAGUCAGCUGGUUUUGGCGGUCUCAGGUUUGAUGGUCUUGUUCUUGUAAGAGAAAAGAGGAUUUCUAUGGAGUCUCUAACUUAUGUCACAAGGAUAUAUCUGGAUGUGGUUCAUUUGCUUUGAUUUUUAAACAAUUUUUUUAUUACAUAAUGUGAUUGAAACUAUGUAUCAGAAUGUGAGUUAUUGUGUUACUAUUUCUUCAUUAUUCAAAUUAAUUGUCAUCUGUAUGAGCUCUUUUGAUUUAUACUUGGAACAAACUCUUAUGUACGCAACCUUUUUUUUUUUGGUGUUUAAUCUUUCCUGCCCUGGCGGGUUUUGAUUAGUGGAGCUUUUACAAGCUUUUAAUGAUAAUAUUGAUUAUGCUUCAAAAGACUCAAGAUAAAUGAUCCCUUUAAAAGGGACAAUCCAACAUAUGAAAGUGGGAAAAGCACUUGGCAAUUGGCAAUGACUCAAAAAGAGUGUUCCAUAAUCCAUUCAUCUAUUUAACAAACAAAAUUAAGUGCAAUUUCCCAAGAAACUUGGCAGGAAAAGGACGUGCAAAUCAUACGAAACAGCUUUAAACACCGAGGCAAGCAAAACUCAUGUGGCAAGUUAGUGAACAAGCUAAAACAUUUGAGGGAAGUUUAAAAUUUGAAUGCGGAGAGAUGAAGGAAAUGCUAUGAAUGAUGCAGAAAGAAAACAAAUGCUAUGAGAUGAAGGAAAUGCUAUUAAAAGUUUGAAGCAUUAGGGCAUCAUUAGGGAGUCACCUUCCAGUAAUCAUCAAAACUACUCAUAACAUGGACCAUCUACUGAGCCACUGAGCCACUUAGCCACACCCACAUAACAAAUGUUUUCAGGAGUUUGGCAAUAGUUCACCAUCCGAAUUUUUAAUGAUUAGAUGAGGCCGCCUGGUAAUUGUAAUCUUUCGUUAAAUCCAUUUGUUAAGUAGGAAAAUUUGCAAGAAACUGGCAGCCGGCCUAUUAGCUCAGUUGGUUAGAGCGUCGUGCUAAUAACGCGAAGGUCGCAGGUUCGAGACCUGCAUGGGCCAAAAUCAAUUUUUGUACCCCACAAUUGAGCCUGUAAACGGCCUUAAUAUUUAAUUGAUCUUGUAAAUCCAGUUUUUUGUAAUCUCUUCUCUUGCCUCCAUUUUUGCUUUGUUUUCAUGCUAUUCAAGAAUCUAUUAACCGCCUAAAUGGAGCGUGUGUGUAAUUAUGAUUAAUAGUUCCUAUUUAUUUCCUAAUUUAAAGAACUCGUCGCAAAAUGUCAACCAUGUCUACUAUAACUUUGUAUGAGAAGUAUGAAGGUCAAUAAAAGAAAUGGCUCUUUUCUUAAUGAAUCACAUAAAUGAAUUUGACAAUUGACAUACACCGCCCACCGCCGACUCCUGCCGGCUCUCUUUACUACCAAAACCAUUAAUCAAAUUUUUAAUCAAUCAAAUCAUAUUUUAUGCACUAAAGUUGUCUAAAUUCAUAAAAAAAUGUUCUUUAAAAGAAAAAAAAAAAAGGAAUUGUAAAGUUCAGCCGUCUUUUUUCUUUCUUUCUUUUUUUUUUUAAUUGAUAUUAUCAUUAAAAAUAUGUCCGAGUAGCUUAUUAUUACUUUAAUCUAUUUAUAAUGUUAUAAAAUUUUCUGUACCUAAAAACUUAAGCCCAUAAUAUAAGUUAUGAAUUUUGGGAUACGAAGAUUUAUAAUGUGAUAAAAGAGCAUUAAACUUGAGAAAAUUCAUGAAAAAAACACCUUAACUAAUAACAACAUGCUCGAAUUUGCUAAAUCAUUUAAAUGUUUAAUAGACCGUGUGUAUUUGGUUAAAAUUUUUGAUUUCAUCCAAUUUUUAUAACCCUAAAGAUUUAUUUUUUUGGAAAAAUUACAAAUAAAAUUGUCUUUUAAAAUAGAUCCUCAAAAUAGUAAAUAACCAAUAAUAAUAAAAAUAAGAAGUUGCAUUAAACAUGUAAGGAGAGACAUUCGACGAUGUAAAACAAGAAAACAGAGAGGCUUUCUUUCUUUGUACGUGCAUUUUUUUCUAUUUCACUUCCUGCGUCUUCGCGCGGGUCCUCGGACCAACACGCUUUUCUCUCCUUCAUUCAAUCACUCAAUUUUUCAUUUCCAUUAAACAUUCAACUCCCUAAAAAUAUUUCUCUCUUUCUCUUUCUUUCACUCAAAUUAAAAAAAAAAAUGAAUGGAAUUGAAUGAGAGCGUCAUUUGAUCAUCUUAGCUCUUGUGCGUGCACGUUUGUUUCACCGAGGUUAGUUAUGUUUCCUUCAAAUCUUGAUCGAGUUAUUGUUUUGCUCAAAUGGGUAUCGUUUGUUUUCACAUUUUUGUUUUUGCUUUUGUUUCUUUAUUGAAUUGUCCAUAUAAAGAUGAUAAGGAAACAAAAUGGUGAUCAUUUUUUUGGUUUCUGCAUGCAUUAGUUUAUUUUUUGGUCUUUCUUAUGUAUCUAUGUUGAUGUUCUUUUUGAUACUAGCAUUCAGUUUUCUUAUAGGUCGAUAGGAAUUUAGACAAAACAAGGCCAAAAUGGCCGGUUUUGUGGGCGUACUUGUAUCUGAUCCAUGGCUUCAGAGCCAGUUCACUCAAGUGGAGCUACGCACUCUCAAAUCCAAGGUGACUUUUUUCGUUUUUUGUAGGGUUGUAAUUGUUUAUUUUUUGUGAAUGUUUAUUGACAAAAUGUUUUUUUUUUUUCAAAUGCUUUUGUAGUUUAUUUCUACCAGAAGUCAGUCGGGUCGUGUCACAGUUGGUGAUUUGCCGCCUCUUUUUGCAAAGUUAAAGGCUUUCUCCGAAAUGUUUAAGGAGGACGAGAUUAAGGCUAUUAUGGGAGAGUCACAUACCAAAAUGGAGGAUGAAGUUGAUUUUGAAUCUUACCUUCGGGUGAGUCUUUAUUCAUUCUAAUGAGGAAUUAACUAACAUUUUGCGUCUUCUUUUGGAUUAUAUGGUGUUUGGAUUCUAGUUUCUCGGUGCUAAAAUUUAAUGAAUGUGGAUGCUGGUUGAUUCAACUCGUAAAACAUCACCAAGUUGGGGAGCAGUUUGGUUUACAUUUAUGUAAUAACUUAGAUUUUUCUCUCUUUUUUGUUUGAUGAGUUAUAGCUUUGCAAGAUUGGAAAAUCAAGAUGUUUCUAGUGAGAUACAUUUUGGUUAGAGAGUCUUUUUGAAUUUUAUAUGAGUGUCACAAUGUUACACGGGUUUAUUUACGUUUUGGAUGUUUCUCAUAGUUGGCUGGUGCGGUUCUGGUUAUAAUGAAAUGAAAGGAUGUAAGCUAUAUGUGGGAUUUUGCUCAUUGGCAGGCAUAUUUGAAUUUGCAAGCCCGAGCAGCAUCAAAAUCAGGAGGUUCAAAGAAUUCUUCUUCAUUUCUGAAGGCUGCAACUACUACUGUUCACCAUGCUAUUAAUGAGUCUGAAAAGGCUUCCUAUGUUGCCCACAUUAAUAGCUUCCUCGGUGAAGAUCCAUUCUUGUCGAAGUAUCUUCCCAUUGAUCCUUCCACGAAUGCUUUAUUUGAUCUUGCUAAAGAUGGAGUUCUGCUUUGGUAGAUGCACUGAACCCACCAGAUUAUUUCUUUACUUAUGAGUGGUAAUAUAUUUUUUAUGCUUAUUAAUUAUUUUUUAUUAUUGCAUGCAGUAAGCUUAUCAAUGUAGCUGUCCCUGGGACCAUUGAUGAGCGAGCUAUUAACACAAAACGAGUCCUUAACCCAUGGGAGAGGAAUGAGAACCAUACCCUUUGCCUCAAUUCUGCAAAGGCUAUUGGCUGCACAGUGGUUAAUAUUGGCACACAGGACCUAGUUGAAGGAAGAGUAAGUUGAGCUUGUUCCAGCUAUUAUAGGGAUCUGGUUAUCAUAUUUUCCAUUUGGUUUGAACUUUCCUCAAGAUUUUGAUUUUGUACUUUGAUCUCUUUAUAUUUUGUAGCCCCAUCUAUUACUUGGAUUGAUUUCGCAAAUAAUUAAGGUAUUCGACUUCAACUUCUUCCUUUAUAUAUGCCCAUUUAAUUCUAUGGAACACUAAAAAUUAUGAUAGAAUCUUGUUUUGAGUUGUGAGAGUAUAAGUCAGGUUAUCAGUGACUGCAAUUAUUGAUGGUGUUGCAUUUUCAUAUGGUGCCGAAAUCAGAUUCAACUAUUAGCCGAUCUCAAUCUGAAGAAAACUCCUCAACUAGUGGAAUUGGUAGAUGACAACAAUGUAAUGACAUUUUCCUUGGUUUUCUACUUCCAAUAAUUUGAACUUAUGGGUGGCUUCUAGUUAUGCUGUUGGAUUCAGCAAAGAUGUGAUAUUUUUUUUUGCCAACGAUCUUUAUAAACCUGGCAGGAUGUUGAGGAGCUUUUGGGUUUGCCACCUGAAAAAGUUCUGCUGAAAUGGAUGAAUUUUCAUCUUAAGAAAGCUGGUUAUGAAAAGCAAGUUACAAAUUUUUCUUCUGAUUUGAAGGUAAAUAAGUAAUUUAUUUACGAAAAUUCACUCUUAUAAAGUAUACUUAAUUGCGGUAUUAAUUUCAUUGCUGGGCUAGAUUUGGUGAUGAACCAAGGAUUCACGUAUUCUUUUUGUCAAGAAAACCAUAAAAUUAUGAUCUCACUUAUUAAAUUAUCAUCAUAGACGGAAACAUCCUUUAGUUCCGUGCCCUAAAUACCUAACAUAUGAACAGAAAACCUAUAAAAGUAGUUUUGUAUUUUGUUAUGAGGCAUCAAUAUUCUAAGCAAUAGUAGCGUCAAGGAUGAAAGAUAGGAGUCCUUAUUACUCAGCAAGAAGUCAAAUGCAUGGGAUAUUGCUUUUGAAUUGCAACAUUCUUUUGCUCUGCUUGUGACAUAAUCUUAAACUUUUGCAGGAUGGGGAGGCUUAUGCUCACCUGCUUAAUGCCCUUGCACCAGAACAUUGUAGCCCUGCCACCUUUGAUACAAAAGAUCCUACGGAAAGGGCAAGCAAGGUCAUUGAGCAGGCAGAAAAAAUGGACUGCAAGAGAUAUCUCACUCCAAAGGAUAUUGUUGAGGGUUCACCCAAUCUUAAUCUUGCUUUUGUUGCCCACAUAUUCCAGCACAGGUGAGCUGCGAGCAAUAAUGUUUUCAUGUAGCUUAUACUUGAAGGCAUUCCAGUUCAUUUGUUCUUUACCUUUGUUUCGAUUUCAAAUUUUGUGCACGAGUAAUUAAGAGUUAAAAUGUUCAAUCAUAUGGUUCUUGUUAGCUUCCCACUGUUCAUUUGCAUUGAUUUUCCCAAGCUUCCUAGUGAUAGCUGAUAUUUGGCUGCAGUAGUUUUCUCAUGGUAUAAUACUAAAAGCUGCUUUCAUGUGUGAAAAUGCAAACUGCGGCUUGCUGUUUAAUUAUAGUUUCUGCAGUCUGUGUUAAAAGCAUGUGUUACCCUUGCAGGAAUGGGUUAUCAAUGGAUAGCAACAAGAUUUCCUUUGCUGAGAUGAUGACAGAUGAUGCUCAAACUUCUCGGGAAGAGAGAUGCUUCCGACUGUGGAUUAACAGUCUUGGAACUGCUACAUAUGUCAAUAAUGUAUUUGAGGAUGUGAGAAAUGGGUGAGGAUUCUCUUUACUUUCUCAAUAGUUUAAUAUUCUGUUGAAAUUUGUUGAAGUUUACAACUUCUGCAUGCAGAUGGGUUCUUUUAGAGGUUCUUGACAAAGUUUCACCCGGAUCAGUUAGCUGGAAGCAGGCAACUAAGCCUCCCAUAAAGAUGCCAUUCAGAAAAGUUGAGAAUUGUAACCAAGUCGUGAAAAUCGGGAAGGAGCUAAAUUUCUCCCUUGUGAAUGUUGCUGGGAAUGAUAUAGUGCAAGGAAACAAGAAGUUAAUACUAGGUAAGUCUUCCACUUAUACGUUCCAUUGGAAAAUGGCGCUCUCCAUGAAAAAAAUAAUUGGCUGUUUACUUCUUCUUCCAAAAUUAUUUGCUGAGACUACUGUGUUAAAUGAAUACCGAAAAAUGUUUGAAUCUUCAUUUUUCUUCCUCAGCAUUUUUAUGGCAACUGAUGAGGUUUACCAUGCUCCAACUCCUGAAAAACCUGAGAACUCACUCCCAGGGCAAAGAGAUUACUGACACCGAUAUUCUAAACUGGGCAAACAGAAAGGUGAAGAAGGCUAAUAGAACCUCUCAGAUUGAGAGCUUCAAGGUAACCAAGUGACUAAUGACCUUAUUUAUGAUUGGAUUCUACCUCUAUUCCAUGAUUGAUUGAUUGGUUGUUUGCCUUUUGAUAUGGACAUUCUAAUUUUAGGAUAAGAACCUGUCAAAUGGGAUUUUCUUCCUUGAGCUUCUUAGUGCGGUGGAGCCGAGGGUGGUUAACUGGAGUCUUGUAACAAAAGGAGAAACCGGUAUGCCAUUAUCUUAAAAUUUUUGUACAGAGUUAGUUUUGAUAUUGACUGUAGACCUCGAGGUUGAAGCUGUGCUACCCUUGAGCGUGAAAUGGAAAACCUGCCAGGCCUGUCCCACCUUUUGCACUCUAGCAAGCAUUAGACUGUAAUAGAGAUGCAUGAAUACGCUCUAUACCUACAUCACAGAGGAAAAAUCUAAUGUUCGAUUUGAUUGAUGUUGCAGAGGAGGACAAGAAGUUGAAUGCAACCUAUAUAAUAAGUGUUGCGCGAAAGCUUGGGUGCUCCAUUUUCCUGUUACCUGAGGACAUUAUGGAGGUAGGUUUAUUUAUGUCUACGUUAUGAAAACCACAACCACAAUCUCAUUUAUAUUAUGAACUGAUUAGCUGCCAGUCAGAAAGUUCCAAAUAUAUAGUAAUUCAGUUUUAUAGGUGCUUGUAGAUUUUAUCCUCACCAUGUCUUUUUCCCAAUGCAAGUUUUUGCUGAUUUACUUGAUGACUAGCUGAACUGGAUUUAAUCAAUGCAACUUAUAAUUCAAAUGAGUUUAUGCAAAACUUGAAUUGACUUCUAACCUGAAUUAUGUGCACUGUAUUGCCAGGUAAACCAGAAGAUGAUCCUUAUUUUAACUGCCAGUAUUAUGUAUUGGAGUCUUCAACAGCAAUCAGAUGAGUCCGACGACAGUGGCAUCGAUGCCUCAUCAGCAGCAUCGGGGGAUGGCGAGAUUGAAAGAACCCUGUCUGGUGACAUUUCCAAUUUGGCUAUCAAUGAAACCGCUUCAGAUCCUAAUCCUAGCGUCUCUUCACAGGCUGAGGUUGAAGAAUGACCCCGAUAAAGAAUGAACCCAUAUUUCACCUUAUUAAUUUUUGCCCAUAUUAUACCAUUUUCAACAGAAAGGGAAUGAAGAUCUCAUUUCAUUUGGCAAAUACUCACACUGCUCCCCAUGCAAAGUGCUCAUUCUUAUAGGCUUGUAAACAACACAGGUCCUGUAAAUUUUGCUUCUGUAAUUAGAAUUUGCCAUGCCUAGGUUUAUUCUUUCAAGGGGAAAAAAAUUUACAUUGAUUACACUGAAUAGCAUGACAUGGGGUGAAGGGCAUGGAGAAAGUUUUUAAUACUUCAUCCUUCACAUGGAAUCAGAUUUUUUGCAAUACAUAGAGCCCCUGUCCUUUUGAAAGUGGCGUUUCUCUAUCCUACUUGUAGAGAAUACUUUUAACUAUUUUCUGAGUCAGAUAAUUUAGCUUGUAACUCUGCUCUCUUCAGGUGCCAUUUGAUAUUUGCAUCAUUUAAAUUGUACAGAUACAAGCUAACUAGUCCAACAAUUGUAAUGCCGUUUGUCUCUAACAAAAGGACACACAGUAGAUCCAGCAUGAAUAACUAAAACAUCUUGAUGAGAACUGGAAAACUCAUGUCAUUUAAACUAAAAAAUUUCCUCAAAAUAAAUCAACCUGGCAUCGAGCAACUCAAGUUACAAAAACUCAACUAAAGCACUCCGAGUCUUACACAUUUUAAGUUCUGUGUGCGGUUAUAAAUUUGGCAUACUACAAAACAGUCCCUUAUUUAUAUAUCUGGAAAAAGAAUGUCUAUAACUUACAUUUUGAGUGUUUUCUAGUUCAUUUGGAGGUAAGAAGAGGAAAUAGAGAUUCGUGAAAUUCAUGUCUGGUGGUCUUCACCAUCAACAGGGAUCGGUUCAGAUUUUUCAUCCUUUGCAACUUGCAUAAGCAUCUCGAGGCGUUUAUCAAACAUCAAUGCACUCUCGUCUCUCUUGUCAAGCUCAGCAGCCUCAGCUUCAAGCCAUUUUUCUCUCAAAUCAUCAAGAAGAUUUCCUUGGUCAACAUUGAUUAUAGCUCCAGGAGCACUUGGAACAGUUGUACGAAAUGAAGAAUCUCCGGAUGGUGGAGGCAGCGUCAAAAGCAUUGCUCGGAACUCACGUGAAUCAGCAAAUGUCUCAAAAUUACAGGCUAUCACCUCCAAACAGUACUCUCUUACCUUAAAAACCCCGUACCUACAGAAGCAAUUUCCAUGUUAAAAAGGUCUGUAGUCACAACUGAGUCCAUAAUUACAUAUGUAUCAAUUACAGGGAACAAGGAUACUGCAACAAUUUGGAUAAAAAUGAUCUAAAAUACAAGGAGAUACAAAAGUAUGUGGUCACAUGCAUGAAUGCACGUUGAAAGGUGAAGGAAAACGAAAGCUGCUUCCCCAGCUUUAUCCUUAUGCCUAGUAAGGCGGAAUAUGAAAGAUAAUAUGAACAAAAUCAAGACUACCAUGGAAAAUAAUUUAAAUAGGUUCCCCUAGGAGAAACUAAUCAGCCAACUAAUAUUUGGUAUUCCCAUACGGACUCUGGGUAAUGAUAGAAGAAAAGAAUCCUACAAUUUCAAAAAUAAAAUAUAAGUAACAUAAUAAUCAGUGUUAAUCAACAGUCGAAGUUCUAAGAUAAAAUGUCUUAUUUGAGCGUUAACAAACCUAUUGCAUAUCUAUGCUUAAAUUUGGAGGAAGGAUUUUGGGAUGUGGGAGACAGUAAUCGCAAAAAUAUGUGGUCCACAACCCACAGGUUUAUUAAAAGUUUUCCUAAGGUCAGACAAAUUUGUUUUAAAACGCCAUAAAAGAUUGAAAAAAGAAAAACCAAGAGAAUUGACAAAGAAGAACAAACAAUGGCAGCAUACAUGUCUGACAAAAUAAGCCAAUGGCACAAUUCUGCAGGUGAGACCAUUUCCAGGUGCUGCAACAGUACAUCAGCCACAGCUCGCUUUAGAGGAAAGAGUAAAUAUCUAGAAGCAGCAUCAAACAUUUCCUCUGCCUGCUCAUCAAAAGGAACAAAGUUAGGCAGAUUUGAUCCUAAAGCUACAAGCCAUGUUGACUGAAUUACAGCAUACCUGAUCGGGGUCUAUAUCCUUUAAACCAUCAGUGUACCUGAACCAAUCAAUAAAGUGAAUAAGUACCAUAACAGAAUAGUUUAAUUAAAAGAAUAUCAGAUUUAAAGUGUCCCAGAAGCCAUAUUAGUUGAUUAUGCAAUGCAGAGUAUGAGUGAAAUGCUAAUAGAGGCAGCAUAGUUGGGGAUAACUGAUAUCCAUAAUGUUGCAAUCCAGAAGUCAAAUCAAGACCAUAGACAAAUGUUUACAUUAAGCUCAAGCUUUUGCAAACGUAACCAAUAAAACACUUACAUAUACUCGAUCAUCUUCUCAAAUGUUUCCUUGCUCAAAUCAUGCUCUUCAAUGCAUGGAAGGAUGUCACCAGGUAACCCUUCUUUCCCUUCAUAAAAGUCCUUCAUACGAGACAAUCUUGCUUUAAAGUAUUCCGACCUUGAUGCUAAAACUACUUGAUGGCAACGGAAAAUCUUUUUAUCAACUCUUACGCAAACAUCAGCAAGAUCAUCCACAUGGUCACUGACAUGCAUUGCCUCAACACUAGAUGAUAAUUUACAAAUGCCAUUAUCAAUAUUGUGAUCCAUGUUGGACCUUGCUAAGGAAAUUUGAAGGAUCCGAGACAAGGCAGCAGGAAGCCGGUCCUCUUCAGGUAGUGCUGAGCCUUGUAAGAUGAACCGUUUUUGAGAGUUGUCUACAUCUCUCAGUGCCUUAUACUCUGCAUAUUUUUGAUGAAUCAAUUCUUUCUCAAUAAUCCUCUGCAAAGAUUCACACUUGCACACCUUGCAAAUUUUCACAAGAUCCUCCAUGUCAUCCACUGCAAUCUCUAGUCUAUCAGAAUAAAAGAAGUGGAUGAGGCCGUAGAGGGCAGGAUAAGACAACUUUUCUCCAGAAAAUCUUAUUUCAUUACGGUAUCUCCAAUCAGUUUCAAACUUUCUUCUAAAAAAUACAGACCGAGCACUUAGAAUGACUCUGUGAGCUUCAAUGGGUCUACCUUGCACAUAAAAUACCACAUCAGGGGGGAAUGAAUCGGAAUUCGAUGCCCCAUUGGAUGUGACACCUACUCAUAGUACCAGAUGUCAGAUUUUUACCAAAACAAGAAAAAACAAUUAAAUGAACAAGAGCACAUCCAAUUUCUGAUGAUGGAACUACUAGCAACAAGUAUCAAGUAAGUGGGUAGCUAGUAAACAUUAGUUGCUAACUAAACUGUAAAAGCAAGCAUACCAAAUAUUUUAAGCAAAAAGCAUAUAAGUUACAAACAUACUCUUUAUGAAUUACUUUGGUCGGCAUAUCACUUCCUAUUCUUUGGGUUUAGGGUUUAUACAAAUACUUAAUCACUUGUUUUUGACUUUGCUCACAACAUGUGCGGGUAAACAUUUCAGCAUAAACUUUAAACACUAAAAGCAAACAAGUGAAAACAGAACACAUAAAAAAAUUUCCUUCUUUUUCUUUCUUUUAUUAUUUUUUUAUUUUUUAAAAAGAGAGAGAUAUUUUUCUAUGGUGACCGAGCAAAGCAAACCAAUUUACCAAAUGAGAAUUGAAGAUCGAACCAAAAAGCUUGCUAACAAAAAGAAAAAUAUGUAUCACCUGAAAUCCCCAAAACGACCUCAGCCUCCUCAAGAAACUGCCGAUUAGCUCCACAGCCUAAGAAGGUGUCUCUCAACGCCGCCUGCAACGGUCCUAACGGCGGCGGCCUAGCUUCAUACGCCUUCAAAAGCUUCCUCACCUUCAAAUUAAGCGCGGCGUAGUGACACCUGUCGCCAUCGAAAGUGUGCUCGGAACAAAUCGCGCCGCUCUCCAGUAACAUCCUGGCGGCAUCAAGGUGUCCGGCGAGGCAGGCGUAGUAGAGCGCCACGGAGUCCCACUGGUCACGCGCGUUGACGUUGACUCCGGAUUCAAGAAGGUACCUAAGCCGGUCGACGUCACCGGCACGUGACGCCUCGAAUACGUCGCCGUUGGGGACUUUCUUCAGCGGUACGGAUGAGCUGAAGUCGGAGGCGUCGAGGUCGAUCUCGUCAAGCUCCGCGUCGAUAGUUGAUUGACGGUUUGACGGCAUUUUGGUAAUAAUUUGAAGUUUAGCGGGUGUUUAGUUUUGUUCAUGAUUGGGUGGGGUUUAGUAAAUAAGGGUUUAAGAGAAGGGGCAUUUGCAAUUCCUGGUGUUUCGGGGUUUUGUGAAAAUUGUGUGUGGAUUAGGAAGAUCAGGAACACAGAGGAGAGAGGCAGAGAGUGAUAAUUUGUAGGUGGUGGAGGGAGAUUUCGGUUUAUGUAAGCUGGGUAUUUAUGGGGAAAUGGAUUUUCCCGCAAAUGACGACAUUGGUCGUACUCUCUUCAUUUGUUUUUUUAAUUUCAUUUUUUUUUUUUAAUUUUCUAAUGAUCGAUGUUUGAAGGAUCUUAUAAUUUAACUAUAUCUUUAGGUGUUCUGUGUUCACCGUAUGGUGAGUUUAUUUUUGUAUUUACGUUUGUUUUUCUAAAGAAUAGGGCUAUUUGUAAUAUAAAAAUAAUUUUAAAUAUUCUUAUUUUAAUAAAAAUUUUAUUAUGUGAAUUAUUAUUGAGAAUAAUUUAUUAUAAGAUAAUAUAAUAUUUCUGAACACUAAUAACACACAUUCGUUAUUUAAUGGACAAUUCUCAUUUUUCAAUUCCUAAAACAAUAAAACUUUUAUUUCUAACAUAUUAAAUCUAAUCAAUAUUUAGAUUAAUAAUCAUGAAAUGAAUUUUUUUUAUAUAAAAAAAUUGACUACAAAUAUGUGUAAUGCUUUUUACUUUUUCAAAUAUGUGAUAUACAAAAGUAUUGUAAAACAUCUUUUUUUGUUAUUUUUUUUUUCUCGAGCUCUUCUUCUUUGUCAUCUUCUCCAUUUUUUGAGGUAUUUAUGGAAUUUUUUUAAUUACAUUCCAUUGUAAGUUAUUUUGAGUGUAAAAUCUAAUAUUAAAAAUAAAUAAAUAAAUAAAAAUUUAAUAACUAGGAUUAUGUUAAAUAAUUUAUUUACAACUUGCCUGAAUUAUAUUAUUGUAAGUAUUUGUUAAAUCUCUUGAAAUUCAGUGUAUAUAAUAGUUUUGGUGUUUUAAGUGAAUAAAGUUAAUUAAUUAAAGUGAGUAUAUAAGUGUAUGAAGUAAUAGAGUAUUUAAAGUAACUUUUAGAUUACAAAUGACCCCUCUGUUUUUUAAAAUAAGAUUUUUAACAUAAAUUUUGUAUAUUUUUGUUUUGAUAUAUGCAAGUAAAUAUAAAUCAUACAUAAUAAACUUUUUUUUUUUCAAACGAAGGAAAUCAUGUUUUUGAGCAUGUUAUAUAUACAUAUGAAAUCUAUAUGGAUUAUAAUUUUUUUUAAUGAAGUAAUAUUCCCAUGUUUUGAUUCCAAUUCUCAUUAAUUCGAUAAUCAAUUGCAAGAUUUAUGAAAUUACUUGUUGUUCCAUCAUACCUUUCAUCGGAUUUGAUGUCUUCUCAUUGUAAAAGUUGAAGAAAAUAUGCUAACAGUAUUUUCUCAGAAAAUACAACAACUGCAAAACACUAUUUUCAUUCUUAUUUUUGUUCUCAGAAAAUACAAAUUCAGAAACAAUACCAAACAGGCCCUAAGAUUUUGCAAAAAAUAUGCUAACAGUGUGUUAUUUCGAAAAUCAUAGUAAUUUGUACAAAUUGAUUUUGAUUAUGAACUUUGGAUAUGUUAAACUAGACAUUUUCUAGAAUGUUUUAAAAGUUGUUUCAAGCUGAUCAGAUGAGAUUUUAAUUAAUUAUAAUUUUUCAAAGUCAAGUAUGAAAACUUGAAAAUUUUUUAUUUUAGUGAGGAACAUAAAUUACGAAAUUAUUUUACCAUAGCUAGACUUCUUCAAAAAUUAUGAAAUUUGGACCAAUGAUUUUUAUAUAUGUUUAUUGUGAUUUUAGAAACAAUAAUAAAUUUGGACCAGUGAUUUUUCAUGAUUUUAUGUUAAAACAAUAAAUUGUUUUGUAUUUUUAUAGUAAGCAUGUCCGGAAUAGAAAACUGUUUGAUAAAAUUGAUGAUGCCUGAAACGUAAAUUAUUUUCAAUAACUUUUGAAGGAAUUAAGCUAUGAAAUUUUUACCAAUGAAUUCCUAAUAUGUCAGCAUAUUGUUACGGACCACCCAAGUUUCUAGCUCAAGUGCCCAAGAAUUCAGGCUAGGAACCCAAAUAUAGGCCAAGAGUGCUAGCUUGGCCCGAUUCUAGAAUUUUCUAGUAAACUUUAGCACAUCUCAAGCUUCUCACAUAUUUAGAAUUUUCUACACAUCUCUAGCACAUGUAAAUAUCUAGAUAUUUAGACAAGUUGGUAUAAUUUUCUAGAACUCUAGAGCUUGGCAAACAUCCCUACAAAUAGGGUAUGACAUUUAGUAUUUGAGUAUCAAGCUUUGAGCAAGCAACUCAAACACUAUUGUAAGUUCUCUUGUAAACGCUUUGCGAGUAAUACAAUUUUCCUCUUUCAGCUCAAUUACUCUCUUUUCUCUAACUAUUUCGAAAACCUUCAGGCUUAAUUAGUCGAGAAGCUUAAAGGUUUACUGAACAAUUUUCGACAAGAGUUGUCUAAAAGUCGUACGGGUUUGUUGCGCAAAACACUCAUCCAGUGACAAUAUGCUUUGUAAAAUUUGAGAAUUUUCUAAUAAAACAAUAAUUUAUUAAAAAUCGGAGAAUAUGGACUAUUCUGUUUUGAGGACUAAAUACUGAGGGCGUUUAAGGUUAAGUUCAGGAGUUAUUUAAAAUGAGAUAUUUGAGGACAUUAGAGUUUAUGAUUGAGACUUGAUUAUAUAUUAUGAGAAGAGUGUUGAUGUUUGCCCGGGUCAAACCCCGAAAAAUACAAAACGUCGUCGUUUUGUUUUUAAUUUUUUUUUGCUUCGUGGUUUGUUAUUUGCGUCGUUUUCUUUAUUUUUUCUUUUUCGUUUCUUCAUUUCUUUUUCGUUUCUUCCAGCCUUUCUUCAUUUCUUUCGUUUCUUCCAGCCUGUCUUCAUUUCUUUCGUUUCUUCCAUCCUUUCUUCAUUUCUUUUUCGUUUCUUCCAUCCUCGACCGAGAUCCACAACCCUUGAGUUGACAGCAAAACGGGAUCUACUAAUUUCGGCUGAGUUUCGGCUGCGAGCAAGAUUAGUUUCGGCAUGAUUAGUUUUGGCAUCUACUAAUGAAAGCUCCAUUCUCUUCGUCUUAAGCUGAACGAGAUCCACAGCCCUUGCAUUUAGUGAAGAACAAGACCAACAGCAGCUGAGUUUCGGCUGCGAGCAAGAUUAGUUUCGGCUACUAAGCUGAGUUUCGGCUACUCAAGACCAACAGCAGCUGCAAAGUUUUGGCAUAGCAAGAUUAACAUUGUGCCUGAAAGCUUGAAUUUUUUUUUUUUUUGGUACUGUCUUCUUUGUAGCAUUUUGUUUUUAAAUUUUAUUUUAAAUUUUUCCCUGUGUUUUUACAACAUUGUAACAUUGUAACAUUGAAUUUAUUUCUUCAGUUCUCAUAUUCUUGAAUUUAUUUCUUCAGUAACAUUGUAACAAUUUCCAUAAAUUAGCUGUUAGCAUCACUAAGAAAAAAAAGCAAAGUUGUUUAAAGCUAAAUUGAUGGUGAUGUUAAUCUAUUUUUAAUGUAGAAAUGAUGUUGUUUAUUAAACUGGUUGUAGCUUCGUAGGAUUCAAAAUCAAUUUAAAAAAUUGUGAACGAAGAGAGGUAGAGUGAUGACAUGGGCUCUGCUUUUUUAUAAUUAUGUAUGUAAUUAAAUUGGGUAUAAUCGAAUUGUUUUGUUAAAGGUAAGAGAAUUAAUAUUAUUGUUCUGAAGAAAGGAAUUAUGAUCAGUAUCAAUCGAUUUGAGUUUCUACAUACAUGGCUCAAUUUAUUUCAAGACUAGUUGAUCAUAUUAUUGUGUUUCUUCUUCUGCAAUUAAUACAGGGGCUACAGAAAAAGCAAUGUGAGAAGAUGUAAUUACCAUCUGAGUUGUUUCAUUUUGCUUUUUAAAUUUUGUUUUUAAAUUUAAUGAAUUUGCGAUAAAUAACUAAUAAGAUAUUGAAUUAUUUUAAUUUGCAGUAGUUAAUGGAUAAUUUCGAACAAGUGGAGGAGGUUGAUGAAGUUGGGGAAUUGCAAGAUUUACAGGGGGCUGAUUGGAAGAAAACAAUGAGGAAUUGGUGGUGGAAAAUGUUGUUGAGCCUACGGUUGGGAUGUUUUUUGAUAGUCCUGAUGAAAUGUUUGAAUAUUAUAAAACUUAUGGCCUACAAGAGGGGUUUCCAGUGAUGCGGAGAUCUUGUAGAAAAGGGGAUGAUGUUGAGGAAUUGCAUGAUUUACAGAGGGUUGAUUUUGAAGAAAAUAAUGAGGAAUUAGUGGAAAAAGUUGUUAAGCCUAAGGUUGUGAUGUCUUUUAAUAGUCAUGAUGAAACGUUUGAAUAUUACAAAGCUUAUGUCAUUUCCAAUGAUGUAAAAAUCUUAUAGAAAGGGGGGGGGGAUGAUGGGAGUUUGAGAUAUGUGACAUAAACUUAUGGGCGAAUCAGCAAGUCAAAAGCCAAAUCCACUAAUGUUUUGUGGCUUCAACCUAACCAAAAAAAUUAGAUGCAAUGCUAAACUUGGAGGACAUUUAGAUUUUGUUAGCAGAAAAUGGGUAAUUGGAAAUUUAAACCUUGAACACAACCAUGCCGUGAGUCCGAGCAAGAGUAGGUAUUACCGAUGCAACUGUACCACUAGUCCUUUUGUUAAAAAAACAACUUGAAAUAAACGAAAAAGCUGGAAUUAAAAUGGCUCAAAGUUUUAAGUCGAUUGUUGUCGAGGCUGGUGGCUUUGAAAAUGUGUCAUUUUUAGAAAGAGAUGCUAGAAAUCAUGUUGACAAGGUGAGGCGAUUAAGACUCGGAGAAGGGGAUGCUAUUGCAAUUCAGAGGUAUUUUCAGAAAAUGCAAACAGAAAAUGAUGGGUUUUACUUCAGUAUUGACUUAGAUAAGGAAGGUCAGUUAAAAAAUGUAUUUUGGGCAGAUCUAAGGAACAGGGCAGCCUAUAAGGACUUUGGGGAUGUUGGCACAUUUGAUACCACAUACCUAACAAACAAGUAUGACAUGCUAUUUGCUCCUUUUGUAGGAGUUAAUCAUCAUGGUCAAUCAAUUUUGUUAGGAUGUAGGUUGAUUUCACAUGAGGACACGAAAAUAUUUACGUGGUUAUUUGACACAUGGCUAUCAUGUAUGUCUGGGUGGGUGUCCUCCCCUUGGAAUCAUUACAGAUCAAGAUAAAACGAUGAAAAAGGCAAUUCAGAUUGUUUUUCUAGACACUAGGCAUCGAUGGUGUUUGUGGCAUAUAUUGAAAAAAGGUGCCUGAGAAGUUGGGAAGGUACACUAGGCAUCCAUGCCGUACCAGUUUUGCCAUGGAAAAGCAAGUUGAAGAAGUGUACACUAUUUCUAAGUUUCAGGAAUUUCAGCAAGAGCUGGUGAAUAAGAUAUAUUAUGAGGUUUUCAGUUGUGGGGGGUCAGAAUAUGAAGUUAUUGAAAAUGAUGAAAAGAGUAGAGAAAAGAUUUUUAGAGUCAUUUUUGAAAAAGAUGAAGGUGAAAUUCGUUGUGUGUGCUCAAUGUUUGAAUACAAGGGCAUUCUUUGCAAACACGCUAUCGCAGUGUUAUCACGUAACUGUGUGCAAUUACUGCUUGAAAAGUAUAUCCUAUGAAGAUGAAGGAAAGAUGUGCAGAGAUUUUCUAGUAAAGUCAAAGUCAGUUAUGAUGCACGGAGUUCGAGCAUUGAACAUCAGCGACAUAGAGAGGAGUGCAUGGCUUUUUAUGAUGUUGCUGAGGUAGCUUCUAAAAAUGAAGAAAGCCAUAAAAACAUUAUGGGUUGGAUUGAGAAAGCUAUGAAGGAUGUUUCUCUAAAUGUUCGAUGUGACGGCGACGAUACAACCAUUGAUGGUGGAUCCAGUAGUAAUAUACAAGAUCCAGUGGUAAGUCGGCGUAAAGGUCGUCCACCUAGUCAAAGAAAGCAAAAGCAAUUUAAGCGGCCAAAACAGAAAUCGAACAACGUUUCGAUAAACACAACUAUAGAGGUAAUUGUAUAUACUUUAGAUUAAUUUAAUACUUUAAUACAUUCAUUUUAAAUUAAUUUAAUAUAUACUUUAAAUGUGUGUUGACUGCACUCCUAGGACGCGGAGAUACAUGAUUUGUCUUCUCAGGUGGCUACUACAAUCCCAACACAAGAGAGCAAUAUGGCUAUGGUAAUAUUUUUUUAUUUGCUAUUUCCUUUCAUUGUCAUAUGUUUGAUAAUUUGUGUUUAACUUUUUUUUUUUUGGUACAACAACAACCACAACAAGCACCCCCACAACAUGCAUUUUUCCCCCCUUACUAUCAGUAUUGGAUGAAUUACGGUCCAGCUCAUCAUGUACACUUGCAACAUGCACCGCAACAAAAUUUUGAGGAGGUCAAUCAAGGGGAGUUUUCAACUAAUGAACCAAGCUUGUAAUUGAAGUUAGCUUAUGCUUAUGUUUUAUGUAUUAUUCAACUAAUGAACUAAUGUAAUUUGGUGUAUGUGUAUUUCGACAUUUUUUAAAUUUUGGAGUUCAUAAGUCUAUUUUCAAAAUUCUAGAAAUGGAUUAAUUUGGAAAAUAUUAGAAUGAUUUGGGCCAUAGUAUAAUUUUGAGAAUAAUUUUUGGGGCCAAAUUAUAAUUUCAUAAUACUGUGAAUUAAUAAGUUUAUUUUCAAAAGUUUAGAAUUGGAUUAGUUUCGAAAAUAUUAGAAUAAUUUGGGCUUUAGUAUAAUUUUAAGAAUAAUUUUUGGGGCCAAAUUAUAAUUUCAUAAUACUGUGAAUUAAUAAGUAAAAGUCAAAAUUCUAGAAUUGGAUUAAUUUGGAAAAUAUUAGAAUGAUUCGGGCCAAAUUAUAAUUUUAUAAUACUGUGAAUUAAAUCCAGAGAGUCAAACUACUCGGAAACUUAUAUUUAACAUGAAAAUGCUAUUACAUAUGUCUACAAAUCUUUAACUUGAAACAACUUAAAAAUAAUACUUUAAGAGAAAACAUAAAAAUUUAACGGACAAACACUCUAUCUCUAAGCCUAACUUCAUCCACUAACAAAUCUGUUUUCUCUUCGAUAGGUUUACGAUCUUCUGCCCAUUGAAAGUUCUUACAUCCUCUACAAAUCCAAAAUUUCCGAUUUGGAUUUUUUAUUGUGUGUGACGUUAACAACUCUAUAUGAUUACCGCAUUUAUUACACAUUUGCAAUGAGCUUCGAUUCUCACUUAGCUCGGAUGACAUUGUUUGUGGUUAAUAGUCCCUUGGGAAUAAACUGCCCAAAAAGGGAAACAAUUACAGUUAAUAAUGCCAAAGAAAUUACCCAAAUCAAAUUUUAAUUACAAUUACAGUUAGUUAGACUUAAAAGAAAAGAAAACUGGAAUAUGAACUGCAUGACAACUGGAACAUGAAAACUGAAAACUGGAACCGUGGAACAUAUGAACAGCAUGAUUACUGCCUGAAAAGAAAUUACAACUAAAUUCUACAAGCAACUAUCCAGCAACCACCCAACAGCUAAUGCGAUAACCAAUAUGCCAGAAAGGCUACAUAUGUCUCCCGUAGCUGACCCAAAUUCAAAAAGUUCAACAAAGUAACCAAUAAAUCCUACAAGCAACCAGCCAGCAACCAGCAACAUGCCAGAAAGGCUAUCAAAGAACCCAAGCCAAAAUGCACACAAUCUAUAUACCAAAAUGCACACAAUCUCAUCACUCGGUUAACUAACUAGAACUCAACAAAGCUCCAAAUGAGGAAGAUUCUAAAAGUGUGAUCUUCAAAAAUUAAAUUAAAUUAAAGAGGAACAAAAUUUAGCACUUGCAGAGCAAUGAAAUUAAAUCAAAGAGGAACAAAAUUUAGCACUUGCUGAGCAAUGAAAUUAAAUUCAAUAGGGCAGCCUAACCUAGAUCAACCAUUUUGCCAUAACCUAAAGAGGAAAAAACGAAGCAUUACCUCAGGCUGUGAACUUUGCCGCUUCGUGAUUUCAAUUUCCCGAACAAUCUUCGACUACCAUCGUUACCAACGUUGACGAUGACCGUGGCUGUGAGUCGGUCGUCGUGGAUCCCGAAUGCCUGGACCUCGGGAGAGGAAGGAAAGUAACGAAUUUUUUGAAGAAACGAAGAAACGAAGAAAUGAAGAGAUUUACAGUCAAACGGAACAAGACCAAGUUGGGAUCUCUGUUGCUCUGUUGCUUUCACAAGUGAAACGAAGAAACGAAAACGAAGAGGAAGAUAGAUUUUAUUCUUCUCAAAAUAUCAUCAGAAACGUCGUCAUUUUGAAGAAUUCCAAAAGAAAAAAAAGAUAAUCAAAACGACGCCGUUUAAGUUAUUUUCGGGGUUUGACCCGGGACAAACAUCAUUUUCCUUAUGAGAAUGUUAUUAUGAUUUUUAGGUCGAUGAUAUCAAUACACAUUUGUUACAUGAGGAGUCAAGAAGUAAGUAAACUAGAUUUCUAAAUGAAUCAUAAUAAACAAUAUGUAUAUGUUUGACAUGUUUGAAAAACCUAUUUUGGUAUAUAUACAAAUAUGGAAUUAUAUGUUCUGUCCAUGUGUUUUUAUGAUGUGUUGAUAUGAUGUGUUGUUAUGUGUUGUGUAUUUAUGGACAUGGGCAAAUGUAUGUGUGAAAUUUCAUUGGCAUAAGCACGAAAAUACAAUAAGUUUUCUAUGAAUGAGAAAAUAGAUUUUAACAAAUAGAAUUUUUGCUUUAUCAGAUUUUGCAUUGGGGGCCACCUCUUAAAGUUGUGUGGGGGCCACUUCAUGAGACUAUGUGGUGGCCACCUCCGAGGCUCGACGUGCCGCGAAGUGUCAUGCAUGGUGAAAAGUGUCACGCACAACGUAAAGUGUCACAUUGCAGGAUAUGUAUUUUAUUGAAAGAAAAUAUGAAAGUUUGAAAGCACAAAAAAAAAAGAAAAGGUUUUGAUGAAUUUGUUUCACUGUAUUUUGAAAAGAUCAUAGCUAUCAUCAAUUUGCAUUAUGUAUAAGUAUGUAUGUAUUUUGGUAUAAGAAAAACUAGUUUACUUUCUGAAUUUUGUAUUCAUUAUAGUUUAUUGUGAUUUAUUUUUCAGAAGUCGGGAUUAAUUUGCAAUGAGUGAGAAGAAGGACUUCAAUUGAGGAUGGUAGAUGGUUUGACCAAAUUCUUAAAUAUACUUAAGGAUUGAAUUGUUAUUGGUCGUAAAAAGUUAUUUAAAUUCAUAUGUGAGUUGUGGUCAGAUUUGCCCUCGAAGUUUGGGCUGGGGUGUUAUUGUACAAUGAAAUACAAAGUAUUUAACAAUUUUUUUAAUGGAAACAGUAAAAACUCAAUGGUUUGAUUAUUUAUCAAUUAUCAUUUGAUAUAUCUUUCAUUUCUUGAUACAUAUAUACUAUUUUUCGGCCAUGAAGAAUGAGAUACACGACUUUCAGUUGUGUAAUACAUGACUUCUUGUAAUAUACGACUUUAUAAUGAAAAACAAAGUCUUGAAAUCCACAUCUUCAUUGGUUUUAAUUGCAAUAGGUGGCAUAUGAUUAAAUAUCUUAAGCUUGAAUUCAUUGCAAAAUUGAUAUACCUUGUCGAUCAUGGUAUUAUUGUCCUCUAGCCUUAGAACCUUUGAACCUAUACUUAUUUUCUUUUUUAAUCCAUUAACCAUUGAAGAGAAUAGUCAUAUGUACCAAAACCACAAAUGUCGAUACAAAAACAAUAAUAUCAAAUUUAUAUAUAAAUAACUACACAACUAACAUGACUUACAUAAUUUAAAUGACCUACAUGACUACAUGACAUGCGCAACCUACAAGACUAGUCAUUUAAGUCAUGUAAUCAUCAUGGUACCACAUUCCAUAUAUUACACUAUUUCAAAAUUAAUACAUAACUUUAUGUAUAAUUCAUAAUAUUUUCACCUUUAACAUUUAUUUAGCAUCUGCAUCUUGCUAAAAAAAAGUAAUUAAACACAAUAGAUUGUGUUCAUUUUGACAACAUAUGGGGAGAAAAAUAAAAAAACAUAACAUUGUGUUAUAUGAAAAAUAUCAUAUAUGUAUUUUUUCUAGGCAAAAUGUAAAACUUAUAGAUCUAAUAAUAUUAACAUACCUUCUUUGGUUACUUAAUGAGUAAUGCACAUUCUUUUUAUUAAAAACUUAUAGGUGUUAAAUAUACGAAUAAGUAGUUUUUUUGGUUGAGAGGUUUUAAAGGAUUAUUUGAGUGUAAUAAGAAAGUGAGAAAAAGUAGUGCAUUUGAUAUCUUUGCUAAGGGUAUUUUAGAUUUUACUCACAUUUUCUUAGUGUAUUCAUAUAAACCAAUAAAUGGAAGGUACUUAAAUAAUUUUAAAAAUAUUGAAGGAUAAUUGAUUAAAAAACCAAUAGUGAAACCAAAAAAAAAAAAAAGGCAAACAAUAUCAACUUAGUGAAACCGAUAAAAGCAAACAAUAUCGACUUGGACUUAGAUUGUUGAGCCACUGGAGUUUUGGCUUUUACAUUGAGAAAAACCAAUAUGGGUCAAGCGCACAUCCCAAAGAGCCAGACUUAAUACCUCAAUCUCAUUGGACUAUCAUACACAUGAUAAUAGUUAUCUCUCUUUUGCUUGGUUGUAUCAUUUAAGAUUAAUGUAAUUCUUUUAGAGAUGACAAUAAGAAUCACAUGCUGCGAGUUUUAACAAUUACUAAAACCCCACAAUCUGUAGUAGAUUUUUUGUAGGUUUUGACAUUUAAAAUUACAAAUAAAAAAAAUUAAAUAAUAACCAAAAUUUUAAUUUAUAUUAUUCAAACUAUAAAUUAUAAUAGUAGCGUAAAAAUUUUGCAUAAAAUAUUCAAUUCUAUAUUUUUUUAAUGUAAAUGAGAAAUUAAAAUUUCAAUAGUACAACGAGUACAUAAAAUAUAUCAAUCUAUCACAAAAUCUUUCUGUUGUUGUCAAAUCACAAUCACUAAGAUUAAUGCUUUGCUCCAUUUUUUUUUAUUAAUAUACAAGUAUUGUUAACCAUAUUAACAAGUAAAUUUUAAACAACUCCUGAUUAGUAUUAGAAAAUGUAUAUUUAAUAAGGUUAGAAUUAUUAUUUUUUCACUUACAAUGUUUAUUAAUGUGCUCAUAACUUAUAAAUUAUCUUAAUGCUUCUCUAAUAAAAUUUUAUGUUAAAUUAACUUGUAGUAAACUAAUUUUAUCUUAAUUUUAUAUUAUAGAUAUAUUUUAGAAAUAAAGAGAAAAUCAAAACCGAAAGUGAGAGACAAAAAGAUGGUUUGUAUUGUUAAAUAAAAAAGUAGAGCCAUUUAGAAUGUAUUGUUAAAAAAUAAUAAAGUGAUGGUCAAGUGGUACUCUCUACUUUUGACUAUCGCUUCUUUUUUUUUUUUAUGUAAAUAAACAAACAAUAAUAAAUAGAUAAUGAUAAAAUAAGAUGAAGUUGCUGGUGUGCCUAUAAAAGGGAAGAGUUCAAAGGCAGAGAAGAGGAGAAUAAGAGAAUUGAGAGAGGAAUGGAAGGAAAAAGCUUAGAAAAUAACUAUUUCUCUUUUUUUGUAAUAUAUUUCAGAAUUUUGUUAAAAAAAUGUGUUUUGUUUGUCAAUAUAAGUAGCUAAUUUUUUAAGUUAAGGUGAAAUGUGAAGCUUAAUGACUUAAAUUAUGGAAGUAAUUAUUUUCUUAAGUAAGUUUAUAGUUUAUUACUCAAUUAUAUAUUUACAAGUUAUAUUUUUUACUAAUUAUUUUCAUUUCAUUUUAAUUUGUAGAUUUAGAUCCACUUUGAAUCCAUAUGAUAUUUAGAUAUAAUGAUGAUACACCAACAUAGCUUUGACACAUUAUGUACUUUAUCUCCAUAUUUAUCCAUAAGUGAUUAAUUAAUAAUUAAAUCAUAUAAUAAUUAAAAUUGUUAAAAUAUAAUUAUGAGAGAAUAAUAUGACUGCAAUUCGAAUGCCAAGAGUGGAUCCCAUAACCUUAGCACUUUUAUUUUAAAUGAAUAAUUUCUUUUUCUACAAUUAAUUUUAAUUAAUAAUUGACUACUAAAUUUUAGAUUUCUUGUGAUUUGACUCCAGACUCAUGGGUUUAUAUUAUAAUAAGACACUUUUACACUUAAGAGUAAUCAACACUUUUAAAUCGUGUCAACAAUCAUUAACAAUCAAUUAAACAAAUAAAAACUCAACUUUAGAAAAUAAUUAGUAGUUAAAGUCAUUAAAGCAAGACAAACAAAAUUAAUCAAAUUAAGUUUAUAUAUAUAUAUAUAGCCUAUAGCCCUCAUUUUCAGGUGCGAUAGCCCUCAUUUUUUUUAAUAUGCACACACUGUUAAGCCAUGCGGUUAAUUUUUGAUACACUAUAAACCUUGUUGUUUAACAAUAUUAAAAUAUGAAUUCAUUAAAUCCCAUGGCUUAAAAAUAUGUCUGAAAGAAAAAAAAAAGAGGAAUUAGGAAAAUUAAGUCACAAGUAAUUUUUUGAUUAAAUUUUUUAAUUUAAUUUUAUGAUUAAAAUUAAAAGUAUAAAUAAUUAAAAAAUAUAAGUCGGUUGAUAAUUCAUAAGUUUAAAUUUAUUCCAAAACAGUUCGUAAUCUACAAAAUUAACCACAGCAAUCAGACUUUUGUGGAUGGGUUUAGGCGGAUUUACGAAUAAUUUUACUAUCCCUAAAUUUACUAAAACAAAAAAAUCCAUAACUAGAUAUGGCCAAUGGGUCGGGCCGGCAUCAAAGUAAGGCCCAUGCCUACUCAUGCCUGUGCCAUGCUUUGUCCACUAUGUGUUUCGUGCCGUGUUUAAUUUUUUUUUUAUUUUUUAAGAACGCAUACCAAGUUGUUGGUGUAUUUUUUUCAAGUUUAUGUAAUUUUUUUAAGUUUAUACUUUUAUUCAAAUUUAAUAGAAUGUAAAAUUUAAAACUUAAAUUCAUAUUCAACAAUAAUAAACAAUAAUAGUAAGUGAACGUAAUAUUAAUUAUUAAAUUUGAUUUUAUAUUAUUAGAAUUUUUUUAGUACUUGAUAACAACAAUAAUAAUAAAUUUUUCUUAAGGGUUAACUUAAUUGUUAACUUGGACUUACAUAAAGUCAUAAAUCAUAGUUCACAAUGAUAUUAAUGCAUAUUUAUAAAAUCAUGAUAUCAAAUAUUUAUUUAAUAAAUUAUAAAUAUAAAUUAGUUAUAGCAUUUUUUUGAAACUAAGAAUUAAAUGAAUUUAAAAUUUAAUUAUAAGUUAUUUAUAAAAUUAUAAAAUUUUAAAUUUACUUUAAUUAAAAAAUGAAACGUACUUAUUACAGGCUUUUUCAUCAUGUCAUUCUUAACAUAUUUUUAACUGUACUGUACUUUUAAGACUCACGUGCCUAAAAUUAUAAGCUUAACUUAACCCACGUGCGUGCCAUACUGUGCUGGCUGCUCCGCUAAAACGUAAUCGUGUGCCGUAUUAUACAAACACGUACCGUAUCCGUGCCGUACGUACCAUCCUGCCCAUCGGCUAUGUCGAUGCAUAACAUUCAUUUAGUUUUAAAAUAAAUUUCUGGUUGCACCACUCAUGAGUUAACUAGUUCAAAUCAUCUUCGUUACUUUUAAAACCCUCGACUUACCCUAUCUACCCUCAUUAAUUUUGUGUACUUCUUUUAUUUCAAAAAAAAAAAAAAAAAAAAAAAAAAAAAAGCAAUUCGUCUAUUUACUCUACUCGUUCCCCAGCGUUUAAAUCUGGUAUGUUUUGUCUCUAAAUCUCUUUUUAUUUUCCUGUUCGCUUGGUUUAAUUUUUUUAAAAAAGAAUUAAUGUUGAAAAAUUGCAGUGGCUAUCUACAUUCAGUUGUAUAAUAACAAGUUUAACGAAUUGUUUCCAGCAAGGAUUAUUAUUUAAAUGAAUAUCUUGUGAAAUAGUUUUGUUUGGUCGCUGAACAAUGUGGAACUUGACAUGUGCUGUUUGUUACUUAGCAGCCACAGAGUUGCUCUCCAGUUAAUUGUAUAGGUUUCUAUUUUUGUUCUUCAGCAAUAGGAUAUUUGGUUGUAUUGUUUUUGUGAAAUAGAAAUAAGUUAGAUUUAUUUGAUGUUUUUUGUAGUUUCCAACAUAGAAGUAGCGUCCUGUGAUAUUUUUUAUGACUUCUUUUAAUGCAAUUAUGGUGCAGAUAACUCAUGGGAUACUCGGAAGAGGAUGAUGAUACUUUAACUCUCUAUGUCUCAGAUUAUGAGUUUCUUGAUCAAAAUGAGGAGUCAAUUUCAUUUUCUGUUUUGCCUCUUCAAUGGGAUGGGUGCGAUAUUGUUGGUAGUUCGGAAAUGCAAGUGUUCUUACACGGAAAUAUUGGUGAUGGGCCCUGGAAUUUCAAUGAGCAGGUUAUAGCAUGGAAGUUCGAACUCUCCUAUGCACAGCCUGAAAUUUGGGUGCUCUCCAAACAAAACAACUGGAUAAUGCUACAAAGUCCAAAGAAGAGUUUUAAAAACAUCGUCAGGACGAUUUUGAUCACGGUUCAUUGGCUUUAUUGCGUGAAACAGAAUCCUGAGGCAUCUAGGAAAUACAUAAGGGAGCAGAUGUUGAAAGUCUUCUGGUAUAUGUUUCUUUGAUGAUUUCUGUUUCUACGACAUCAAUUGUGCAUGAUUGGCUAUCUAUUUUGCAGCUCCUAUGAGGUUGAACCUUCUGAGAAUGACCUGUUGGAUCACAUGCCAAUAAUCAGAGAAGCUGCAGAAAAGGAUAAAGAUUUAGCAAAUUCUAAGGUUUGUGCAGCUUCUGGUGUUUUCACACCCUUAAAGACAGUAUCUUAGUGUCUAAAGAUAUAUGACCCUAGGAAAGAAGCUUAAUCUUCGAAUGCUUUUUUUACCUUUUUUUGUAUGACUGUGAAAUAAAUCAUGCUUAAUAUCAUCUUGUUGUAUUCUUUAGAAUUUUCUUCAUAAAAGAUUGAUAGUUUUUCAUUGGAUUAAUGUUAAUUAUUUCAACAUUAGAAUUUUCCGUUUUGUUUGAGCAUCCAAAAGUUUUUGUAAAGUUGUAACAAAUGACACAUACUUAAAGGAGAAAUUCUGCUGCUUAUUGGAAUUGUUUUGUGAAUAAAAUUUUAAAAUAAACAACAGGUAGUGUUUGGUGCAACUAAUUUGUGGAAAUCUAAUUGCUACUAUAGUUUUUAACUAUCUCUAUGUGUUUCCUGUUGGAAUGACUGGGUUCAGUACUGUGUCUGAUUAUGUGGUUACACCAGAAUCAUCUUAGUUGAUCAAGUUUACAAUUUGCCUAUAGCAUGUAGGUAUAUACUGUUCUUUGUAAUGGAGAUUUGUCAACUUCUGUUCCAUGCAUAAAUAGAUAUGAAUGUAUAUUUAAUCCUUUAGAUGGAACAUUGUCUUGACAAUUAGUUUUUUGAACAGUUCUUGCUAUCUUUUAUGGCAAACCACCCCGAGACAAAUACUUUCCAUGAGGUUUGAGUACUCAAAACUGAUUUCAAUCUUGCUUGUACAUUAUCUCCUUUCCUUCAUUAAGUUCUCUUUACAACUUGUUUUUCUUCUCAUUCUUCUAUUAAAGAUCUGAAUCUGGUUGAUUACACAGGAUGUUCGAACAACAGAGAAACCAAAGGUCAUCGUUGAUUGGAAUGAAGACGAGGACAGUGAAAAAGUUGAUAAAGAUGAGAAUUACUUUGCUGUUUGUGCUAUUUGCGAUGAUGGUGGCGAUGUUACGUUGUAUGUCUUGUUUUAUAUUCGUUUAACAUUUCUAUUUGUUUCUCUUGUUUAUGUUUGCCAUCUUGGCAUGGAUAUCUUCUCAUUGCUUUUAUUUACUUAUUUAUUUAUUGUUUUGCGUCAUACUCCCGUUAUUGUGGCUAAAUCAAUGUAGAAGUCUCUAAUUUCUAAUCUUUUUCCCAAUACUUUGCAAAUGGUGAAAUAACGAUGCCUAAAAAGUGAUAUUUUUCACUUGCAUUGUUUAUCCAUGAAGAGGUUAUGCUAGGACCAGCUAUGCUAUUUUAAAUAAACUUGGGUGUUGAAGUGGUUUUGCUUCAAAGAGAAUCCCCACCAGAUGACGAAAUAGGAGAAAAUUUAUUUAAAUGCUUGGGAAAUGUGCAGAGAGGAUCUAAGAAUGUGCUGGUCUCAAGGAGCGCUUGAAACAAGAGUACGAUAAGAAAUGUGGAUAGAUCAGGUGGAAAAGGACAUUAUUCUGCAAGAUGUAAUAGAUGCUAUUGUUUUUGGUGUAGUGAGUGGUGCAAUAUAGAUAUUGCUAACUACCCGUUUGUCUUGUGCUGGAAGCUUGGUUGACUUGACUGAGUUCGCUAAGCUGGUCAUUUCUUUUACCCUUUUUAUCUUUAUGUCUUGUUUACGAUCCUACAAUUAGAAGGUCGGUACUAUUUGUAUCUCUUUGCUUAGCCAAGAAUUAACAAAUUGGAUAGUUUUGCUUGAUCUUUUUGUUUGUUUUGGUUAAUUUGUCUUGAAAUGAUGCAGUUGUGAUGGGAGGUGCUUGAGGUCUUUUCAUGCAACCAUCACUGCUGGGAAAAAUGCUUUAUGUCAAUCCCUUGGUUAUACUCAAGCACAAAUUGAUGUAUGGAUCACUUUGUUUCCAUAUAUUUAACAUUCUUGUUCUUUUCUUGUUCUUUUCUGGCCUUGAACAGUUGCUCGGUAUGUAUGCAGGCAGUGCCAAACUUUUUGUGUCAAAAUUGUCUAUAUCAGGAGCAUCAGUGUUUUGCUUGUGGCAUGUUAGGCUCUUCGGAUAAAUCUUCUAGUCAAGAGGUAUAAUUUUUUGACACUUUAAGGCCUUGACCAUGUGAUUUGUGUAUUUUCCUUUUCUUUGUAGAGCAUAAAAAAACUUCCUAUGUUGGACUGAUAUCAAAGUUAUGCAUUGAGAAUUUGGGUUCAACUCUGUUACUGAAAAAUUUCUGAUAGUUCACAUGAUCUGUCUAAAACCUGAAAUUAUUUAAAUUUUUUAUUCAUAUUUGAAUCUCGAGUGUGCUGGGGACUACAACCUUGACAUCUAAAAGAUCCAUGCUAUAUGAAACUUGUAGGUCUUUACAUGCUAGGUGGGGGGGGUUUACAUAUGUGCUUGCUUUGUACCUUGUCGAUUGAUAUUGAUCAGGAUAUAGCAGUUUUUGUUAAGUUGAAAGAAUGAUCAGCUUGGGAUGAUUGCAAAGUGCAGAGCGAAUGAUGCUAUACCCACAAUGCAAGAGCUGCCACGAUGUUACAGAAUAUGGUUUUCUCAUCAAUCAUAUUGGCCACUCAAUUUUUAUCUUUACCACCUGCUUAGCUCAUGGUCCAUCAUUUAUUUUGUAGUCUCUAUUGGUUAUUUCACUUGCAUGUCUAUAUCCAUUUCAGUUAUAACCCAUGUAAUCUCAACUCAUCCUCUUGAUAUCACAUAUUGGAUGUCUUCUUAAAAUAAAACCCAUGUUGCAACUUUUGUUCUUUAUGUCUUCAAGGUCUUCCCCUGUGUUUCUGCUACAUGCGGCCAGUUCUAUCAUCCAGAAUGUGUCUCAAAGCUGCUUCACCCUGAUAAUGAAUCUCUAGCAGAAGAACUUCGAGAAAGAAUUGCUGCAGGAGAAUCAUUUACCUGUCCUGUCCAUAAAUGUUUUUUUGCCAGCAAAGUGAAGAUAUGAAUGUUGAAGACUUGCAGUUGGCCAUUUGUAGACGUUGCCCUAAGGCUUACCACCGAAAAUGCUUACCCAGGUAUGUCCUUGUUUUCACAUCAUAUAUGUGUAUACAGCUUUUCACGAAGUUCCAUCUGCAAAGAAUCUGAUUUUAUUUCAUGAGUAGAAGUUCUGAAAGCUGCUUUGGUUUUCUGUUCAGGGAGAUUACAUUUAGUGAUGCUGAUGAAAACAAUUUUCAAAGGGCUUGGGUGGAUCUUCUGCCAAAUAAUCGGAUUCUAAUAUAUUGCUUGUAAUUGGUCAUUUAAGUAUUAUUUUUAUUCUAAUAACUGUUCUUUUACCCAUAUGUUAUCCAUCAGACACCUAAUGGUUGCUAAACACAUUAACCAGGGAGCAUAAGAUCAUUAGUGAACUUAAGACCCCAGCUAGGGACCACUUAAAGUUUCCUGGUGUUGAAGGAAAAAGAAAGAAAGAGGAUUUGGGGCUGCUAUUGACUGAAGAGAAGGAUGUGGCUUCGAAGAGAAAUAUUGUUUCUGAAAGUUUUGUUGCAGAUAAAACUGUAGUGAAGAAGCUGAAAUUGGCAGAGGUGUAUAGCGGAGCCGAUGUUGGUAUGUCUAAUUCAGAGAUCAAGAAAAGAUGGCCUAGACAAGACGUGCAUUCCCUCAAGAAACCAAAUAUUACUGACACAGGGAGAAAGUCUUUGAAAGAUAUAGCUGACAAAAGCAAGCCAUCACCAAGAAAGGAUAGCACAUUGUUGAAGUCCAGAUCAUUUGUAGUUAAGCCUGGGCAUAGGAAUAUUGAUGGCAGUAAAAUGAAGAAUUCCAUUUCUGAUAGGCGUAGGAUGAAAAAAGUGAACAUUUCACAACCUUCAGUCGAUGCAGAAAUGGAAAAGGAGUAAGUUUCUUUUCUUAUGGAGGGUACAAAUGCAAAUAUUUAUUUCGUUUUUCCUUUAGAGUUAACAAAAAUUCUCAUGGUCAUUUUGUAAUAUUUGGCUUUUUUUCCCCCUAUGUACAGACUUUUGGCUUUAAUUAAAGAUUCCACCUCAUCUUUUAAUGAGGAAGAGUUCAUGAAGAGCCAUAUAGUUCCAAUUACACAUGCACAUCACUCAAAACAUUUAUUGGAGAAAUCUAUUACCUUAGGAUUAGUGGAGGGUUCUGUGAAGGUAAAUUUAAAUAAUUAAACAUCAAAUGUGCUGCUUUUGAUACUUAUUGCCUGAUAACUAGCUAUUUCUUUCAACAUGUUUGCAGGCCGUUCGAGCAGCUUUGGAGAUGUUAGAUGGAGGAUGUGAUAUUGAGGAUGCUAAAGCGGUUUGUCCACCAGAAAUUCUGUGUCAAAUUUUUCAGUGGAAGGUUUGAUCCUCCACAACCCCACCACCCCCCUGCCCCCACAAAUUUAGAGAUAUUAAUAGUAGAACUUUUACUUUGUGUAGUAUUUUGCUUCUUAGCUAUUAUUUUACUUGCAAUUUUAAAUGGUUGAGUUUCGGUGGGUAUCUUCCAUACAGUCAUGUUAGCUUUGAUAUGAUCUUAUGGAAGACUACUUCUUGGUUUUCAGUGAUGAAGUAUCUGUGGGAAAGAAGUAUAAGCUAGUAAGAAGUGACUCUUAUUGUUUGUGCAUUAUAAUUGAUUUCCCUCUUCAAGUGAACUAAUAUAUAUUGGCAUGUUUGAAUCUCGUAAUUUUAGCACCUCUUGCAUAAUAUCUUGUUUCUACAUUUUUUUAGCCUUAUCAUUAUUAAGCACAAGUGUUCAUAAUCAAAUUACAAAAAUUUUAAGUUUUGAAUGUGUGGAUUCCUUCUCAGUCAUGUUCAAGUACAUUGUUCCAUACCUAUGGAUCUCAUUAAAAUUAUUAUUGAAAAAGAAAAAUCUACAUAGCCUAAACUUACAGGGAAGGCAGAUAUUAAGGAGAAUUUACCUAAAUAAUUUGUAAUUGAAGCUAAAGGGCAACCUGCUAUUUAUAUGUGUGAAACAUUUGCAUCAGAUGAUAUUUCUGAAAUCUUUCAAAAUUCCAACAAGUUUGCUCUAUAUAUUAGGUCAAUCUUGGUGUUUUUCUUUUUCUUUUUCUUUUUUUUUGAAAUGAAAAGAAAAGAAAAUAGACACUAUUUGAAGGUUGCAGCAAGAUUGUUUCUCGUGAGACAAAAUGAUGAAUCUCAACUGCAUUUCAGUGUACGCAAUUGCAUAACAAUAUAGCUUCCCAUUUUGUCUUUUGUACUGGCAAGUUGACAAGGCUAUGUUUUUCUUUUGGUCUAAUUUAAAUUUGAUGUACUGAGAAACCAAUUUUAACAUGUUUAUUAUGGCUAAAGAUUUUACAGUAGAUUUUAAAGCAAUGACUAGGGUACUUGAAUAUGAAAGCUGAUUACUUUCUCACAUUCUGUAGAGGAAGCUUGAUGUUUAUCUUGCACCUUUCCUCCAUGGUAUGCGCUAUACUUCUUUCGGUCGCCAUUUCACCAAAGUAGAGAAGCUUAAGGAGGUAAUGAUAUUUGUUUAUUUUUCAGUUGUCCUGUAUUGAGAAUUGUCUUCAUUGAUAGAAUCUCUUCAUGGUUGAAGCUUUUCCUUUUGACAAGCAUCACUAUGAGGAUCACAUCUGCUGUCUGUUAGUCAGCUCAAAAGCUAGAAAUGUCACCUUUGGGUCAUAACUAUAAUCAGGAAAUGAUAUGCCACUGGUAGAGGUGUGAGGCCUGACUGGAGCACACCAUUGCAUGGAAAUUAGAUCAGAUGUCAUACAAUUGUAUCUUAUUAUUUCUUAUAGUUCCAAGUUUUGAUAGCUUAAUUUCUUGUAGUCUUUUGAGAAUCCUAUUGAGGUUCUGCUUGAGAAUCUUGUGGGAGGGAAUCCAAAAUAGUCAAAACAUCUCAUAAAGAAAAUAGAGUUUGAGCAAUUGGAUGCUUCUUCAAAGCACUAUGACUAAUGAUUGAUAUAUGAUAUAACUAUGUUGUUGUUCAACUCUUUACAUGCUUCAGUAGCAUAACGCUGUUUGUUUAAUUCUACAGAUCGUUGAUAGGCUCCAUUGGUAUGUCCGAAGCGGAGACACAGUAAGAAUUUAUAUGCCCUAUUUGUAUAUUUAGAUUUGUUAUAUUGUUCUGUUGUUUCUGGUUACCUAAUUGUGUCAUUUCCUCAAUCGAUGUCUUAUUAUUAUCCGGUGAAACAUUCUGUCAUAGUUUUUUUUUUUUUUAAUCCUUUAUUAUUAUUAUUAUUAUUAUUAUUAUUAAUUUUUUUUUUUUUGGGUUGGUUAUUGGUCUCUUUAGGUGUGAAGUUUAAUAGUUCAAAAGACAUGGCCCUUUCUUCAUUGCCCCUUACAUCUGCCAUUAAUCAUUUCAAAUCUUGUUUUGCAUACUCAAUUGAAGCAGUAAGAAGCUAAUAUGCCUACAAUCGCUUCAUGACUUCCUCAUGCAUUUUUAUCCUAAAAGGAAGAUUGAAAUCAAAGUGUGAUUAGGCAUUUCUGAAAUAGGGUUCAGGUAGUUGGAGUUAGAAAGCAAUUCACCUUUUGAUUCUGGCUGUUAAGACAAUGGUCCAUUAGAAUUUUGAAUAGGUUGCAAAUAAGAUUUCCUGAACAUUGGAAUCGUUGUGUUAAGACUAUCCCCAAGUCCUUGGAUUGUUCAACAAGAUCAUGUAGUUGAGACUUUGGAGUGCUUUUUGCUCGUCCUAUUUUGCGAAUGAUAAUGUUGCCUUCUUACUCACACUAGAUUUCCUCUUGAACAGAUUGUUGACUUCUGCAGUGGUGCUAAUGAUUUCAGCUGUAUGAUGAAAGUAAAACUUGAACAAAUGGGAAAGUCAUGCUCAUUCAGAAAUUAUGAUCUUAUCCAACCCAAGGUAGUUGGAUACUCGCUUGAUAUAUGUUGUUACCCUGUGUUGUUGAUUUUGGAUCUGCAAACUCUGUUCAAUUUGUUAAAUUUAAUUUAAUUUUUUUCCCUGAAUCAGUAUAAAGGUUUAGUUUGAGAUAGGAAAAUAUAGAAGACAGAAUUGUUCAUAUUCCCCAAAUGGUACGAGUCCCUUUGUUGAGGGUUGAGAUCAUUUCAUUAUUUGAACUCCUUUCGCAAGAGAUUGUUACUUCGCUUCAUGUUGAGAUAGGUUAUUUCUGUCAAAGUGCAAUUGCUGAUCUAAUUCUUGAUCACCAUCUUGAUUUACCUCUUUUCUGCAUAAAACCCAAAAGGUCGGCUAUGACUUAUAGUUGAAAUGUACUUCUGCUCAACAAGGUAAUCAUGAUGAUAAUGACCCCCUGUAACCUCUGAAAUAUCAUAAGUUUCCCGUAGUCAUUUUCGUAUUUCCUUCUUUUUGGGUGCCUUAUUGAUCCUUUUGAUGCAGAAUGAUUUCAGUUUCGAGAAGAGAGAUUGGAUGACUGUCAGACCAGAAGAAUUGCCUGAUGGUUCUCAACUUGUAAGAGAUGAGAAAAAGACUUGGCAAGAUGUUUAAAGAUUUUAACUAGUGCAUAUUCUAAUGUUCUUUUUCUUAAUUGUUUGGCUAUGUAGAUCAUGGGGCUGAAUCCCCCCUUUGGGGUUAAAGCAUCUCUUGCUAACAAGUUCAUUAGCCAGGCUCUGAAGUUUAAACCUAAGCUUAUCGUUCUUAUCGUUCCACAAGAAACCAGAAGGUAAUUACUUGUCUUAUCUCCAAUAUAAGACUUAUAUUUGCUCUCUUUCACUGCGGGUUCUGCAUUUGUUUGCUUCUUUACCAGACUUGAUCAAAAAGCUUCGUAUAAUUUAAUUUGGGAGGAUAAUGAAGUUCUCUCUGGCAAGGUAUUUUAUCAUUCACCACCUUCUUGAAUCUAAUUAGAUUAUCAAGACGAUGAUUCUGUUGAGUGACUUACUUGUAAUAUUUUAUUUACUUUUUAAGUCAUUUUACCUACCGGGGUCACUGGACGUGCAUGACAAUCAGUUGGAGCAAUGGAAUUGCAAACCACCACCACUCUAUCUUUGGAGUCGUGCAGAUUGGACAGCUAGUCACAAGAAAAUAGCAUUAGGGCGUGGCCAUAUAACUGUGGAAGAAUAGAGGCAUUGAGAGUAAAAAGAAUGUACAAAAUGUUCUGGUGCCACAGUUUAUCUCUAAAACUUAGAUGUAAUUAUUUUUGUAAGGAAGUGAUCAGGUGCCUGUAGUUGUGCAUCUUAUGGUGCUCUAUCUUUAAAAAAAAUAUUAUGGAGUUUGCCCUUCACAUCCUUUUGUGUCUUCAAUGUGGCUAAAUCGUAGUCAAUUUGUACGUUUUUUGGAGCCUCAUCAUUAUUAAGCACAAAUGUUCGUAAUCAAAUUACCGAAGUUUUAAGUUUUGAAUGUGCAGAUUCUUUUUCAGUCACGUUCAAGUGCACUGUUCCUUAGCUAUGGAUCUCAUCAAAAUUAUUACUACAGAAGAAAAAUCUACUUAACCUUCACUUACAGGGAUGGUUACUUAUGUAUAAAACAUUACCAUUAGAUGAUAUAUGAUCCUGUAAAUUCCACUAAGCGUGCUCUAUAUAUUAGGUUAAUCUUAGGUUUUUUUAAAAUAUAUAUAUUAGCUUAAUUACCAAAGGUAUUCAAAUAAUUCUCUUUAUUAUUUUAUAUAUUAUGGUAUUAUAUCAAACAGGAUUUUACAGUUUUUAAAAUUUGAAAACAGUUUUCAAAUUUUAUAUCUAACAAGUUUUUAAAUGUUAAAAGUGCCAAAAGUACAACUCAAAUUAUUUUAAUUAGCACUCCUUUAUUAUCCUCCUGAAAUCCCUCUUCUAAAUAAACCCCAUUAAAGAUACAAAAAUAUCUCAUUGUUUCUAUUGACACUUUAAUUACAUAAACUAUUGUACAAAUUUAUCUUUUACAAACUGAUGUAGCAUUAAUUUAUUGGUUGAAUGAAAAUACAAAGAGUAAUAAUAUAGUCACAAACUCUUGUACAAAUUUAUUUUGUACAAAUUGAUGUGCCAUGAUAAAAUUAGUUGAAUUAAAUAUCUCUUGACUCACAUGAUUUAGUUAUAUUAUUUUAUAUUUUUAUUCAACCAAUGAAUUAAUAUCACAUCAGUUUGUAUAAGAGUUUGUGGCUGUAUCAUCACUCAAAUACGAAAUAACAAAAAUAAAUCAUGUGAGACAAGAGAUAUUUAAUUUAACCAAUUUUAUUAUGCCACAUUAAUUUAUACAAGAUAAAUUUAUAUAAGAGUUUGUGGCUGUACGAUUACUCAUAACUUUUUACUUAUAGCCUAUGCCAGAUUGGUUUCGUAUUGAUAGAUUUAAUGGUUUGGUUAAAGGGUCUUCAAGAAUGAAACCCAUUUACCUGGUUUGUUGAACACAAUGGUGGAUCAGUGGCAGGCACUAAUGGUUUUUCGAAGUUGUGGGAUUGAAUUCUCAAGUUAUAAUAAUUUUAAAUUGUUUUCUGGAUAAAUUUAAUGCGCAAUAAUUCAUAUUUUAUUGGCUAGAUUAAUAAAAUAUAAUACAUUUUUAGUUGAUUAAAAUGUACGCUCGUUGAAUUGUAAAUAAAUUAUUUAUUCAUGUUUAUAUUAAUGCAGUGACAUCUUACUCAAUAUAUGUAGGUUGGUGUAGAUGAUGUCAUUUAUGAGGUGCAAAAAGCUUAAAGCAAGAGCAAAUAAUUCAACAGUUCGAGGCAAUCAAAUGCUAAGAAGCAAAGUGAAGGGUCAUUUCAUAUCUGAAACCAAGGUUAAAAACCUCAAAGGGCAAUACAAUGAUGCAGGUAGUGCCCUGAUUCAACUGCAUAUAGAUUGUAUCGGUUUAUAAUUUACAUUUACUAGCUACCCCAUACCGAAAAUCAACAGACAUUUCUCUUCACUAUGGGUCUUCCAAAUUUUGCAAAGAGGAACAAAUUUAAGACGGAAACAAAAGAAGACGUCCAUUUAAUAUCCCAUUCUCCAGAGGGGCAACAUGCCCCUACUUGGAUAUCUGACACAUUCCUAGGUUUUGAUCCAAAGAUGCUAUUUGUCAUCCAUUUUAAGGGAGUUCAGUCUUCUCAACCUCUGAUCAAGUUCUGCCAUGACUGCUGGUUCUUGCUUUUUCCUUUGCUUUGAUAUUGUGUUGGUUGUCAUUGAGCCAAUUUUAUCGAAUGCAACCUGCCAAUUUUCAUUAACAAUGAUACAUAUUGAAAACUUUGUGGUCACCCCAGAAACAAUAAAAGUAACUAAACGAGGAUGAGGAAAGGAUAUAGUCAACAUGCUAUUGUGGUGCAUGGCCGGCCAGAACAUGAAAAAAAAAAUUCAUCUACAUAGCUUUUAACUUGUGUAAAUAAGCUUGUUUUAUUCUGUUCAUGUUAGCAACCUCAGUUUGUUUUAUUCUGUUAAUGUUAGCAACCUGAACUACUACAAUUGUUGUUAAUCCUGGUUACUAGCCCUCAAAAUAUUGUAAUGAAGUAAGAGGGAUUGAUAAUGCUUUUUCUCUUCUGAUUUACCCUGAAUGAUCUCGCACUCAUAGAUUCAAAAGACAGAAAAGUAGAAGAGAGGAAGAUUUUGCCUAACCGUCAAUAAUUCAUCAGGAUCAAAAAGGUGAUGGGUGGUUCUCUGUAAAAUGUUAAUUACAUCACCAACAUGAUGGGUUACAAGCAACUCGUCUUCCCUCAUCUGCAAUAAUUAGCUUCAAUUCAAUACAUUAUUGUCUGAGAUAAUGGAUAUUUUUGAGUAAGGGGCAUUCAGUAAGCUUACAAACUUGAUUUAGGCAAACUUAAGUAUAGUCAAGAGUUUAAUGUCAGAAGAAACCGCACCUUAAAGAUAGCCAACGCUACAUGAAAUAGAACCUUUGCUCCUUCGUAGAAUAGGACAUCCCACACUCGCAGAGUUGUCUGAAAAUUGGUGCAAGCAAAGGACAGAUUUCUCAGUAACAGUACAACCUCCAGCUAAUUCAGUGUAUUUGGUACAAGCAAUUGAGAUAAAGACCAAAUGAUAGGUAAUCAGAAUUUGUCUCACCUCUGAAGGCAAACUUUUAGAAAAGAGGCAUAAGAACCACUCAGUGGCAACAAGGGAUACAUCAAAGUCCAAUGCUUCCAAAUGAGAGGCAAUCCUGCGUUUUUCUUCUGAUUUUUUAAUAGAUACCAACAAAUUAAACAUAAAUAUCAAGAAAUUCUUCAUAAACGAGUGCAUACCUAGGGCACUGUUUAACAAGCAAAUCUUUGAAAACCCUUUGCUCAACGUGGCAUCCUGAUAAAUUAUUUGUGUAGCAGUCAUUAACUAAGACAUUCUCUAGAAGGACAGCAAGCAUCCAAAAGGCAUCUUCCUCUGUUUUCAUCACAAGCAACAACAAUGCUGCAACAUAAUUCAAGCCCUGCACAAUAAUAUUUCAACUCUGAGCUAUGAAAAUUGGCUUAUUUAUGAGGAGUUAAAGAUCACUUGUACUUUAGAAAAUAGUCACGAAGUGAGAUAAUGUGCUUUAGAAAUUGAUCACUCAGCAUAAGGGGUGCAAUUAAUGAUGCAGUUGGAAAACUUUGGCAAAACAAUAAUUAUCACUGGGGAACAAGUAAAGCAUGCUAUAAUUCAGGGCACAUGAUCAUAGUGACUCUGUCUACCAUAUCAAUCAUAUUCUACGAAAGCUAUGAUAUCUGGUACCCAACAAUCACAGGAGCAAGAUGUCCUGUGGAUACAAUAUGGUUCAACCAGCAAUAAGACUGGCAAUAAGAUGGAACAAACUGCAACUUCAGAUAAGUUAAACUUGUAAACAAGUAUCACAGCCAUUUAGCAGAAUCGUGGAACAGAACUUAUGCUGCCACUGCCCCCAAAUGUUAAUUCUAAAGUCAGGGGGCUAGAAUUUAUAGUUACAAAUUCAAGCUGCAAACUUACAGACACAAAACAUGAAUGAGUAUCUUAAUAAGGUAAGGCAGUGCAAUAAAAUUAUGACUGUUAUUGAUAAGUUAGAAAGAAAAAUGUAUAAGCUGGUGAGAUAUUUUUCAUCUAUGAGUGUCAUUUAAUCUAGAGCUGAGGGCAAAUGAACACACCUGACAGUAGCCAACAUCAGAAUCACGGAAAGAAUACCCAACAAGAACACGCCUGAGAGUGGCAUGACCAUCAGGAGUAUCCAGCCACGGGUGACCUGGGAAGGUCCGCGGUAGAUCCUACACACAUACAGAAAGAAGAAAAGCAAAAGUAAGGAGCAAUUAUGAUGGCGAUACAACCAAUAUCUCUUGGGAAAAAAAAAAGAAAAAAUAAACUUAGAAUACGAAAAAAAAACAGAAAUUAACCCACUUUAAAAGAAGACACAACAAUAAAGAGAAAGCAAGGACUACUAAGUCUCCCACUCACCCUUAAAAAAUCGUCCUCCAUAACAUAACUUUCUCAAUUGUGAUGCUCAUAUAUCAUAAUGCUACAGAUGACAAUUCUGCAAGCUGUUUUAGAAUCACGACUCUCUGAAGCUAAAAAAUCUACAAAUCUUAAGACACUAAAAGUUUCUCCCUUCCCAAUUGAACUAGUUCAGAUCAAAGCUGAGCAGUGGCACGCCUAACACACAGGUCAUUUAGUGACUUUGUAUUUAUACAAUAAGAAUAUGGAUAGAUAACGAUGGUCAUGCUUGAAAUAAGAGAGGAGAGAUCAAGGUGAAGGUCUACGUCUACGUUCACUUCCUAAAAAAGCAUGGUGCUGUAACCAAAAUAUGAACAUCACAUUUUGGUAUCAAUAAUUCAAUGUUUGUGAUCUAAUGUCCUCAAAAGCCCAGAUGAUAGAAUUUGUAACAACUAAACAAGAACACGAAUCCUGAACCAUUUGGUGCCUAUAAUUCAUCCCACGAAACAUAUUCUUCAAAAUUACAAUAGCAAAUAAUGCUUUGGACCUCUCUUAUCCAAAGAACAUAGAAAAACAACCAAUCAUUUCCAAAACAAAUUCAUAAUGCAAACCACAUAUCUUCCAAAAUAAAGCGAACCUCAGAAUUGUUCAUAUACAGAAUCAUUUGCAAAGGAAAUCAUUGAAAGGCACUCACAUGAUCAAUCUGCUUGGUAGCAGGCGUGACCUUCCCUUCAACAGCCUUUGUCAAAUCAUUGUAAUAACUCUCAGGCACCGUCGACUUCUUUUUGGCUGCACCCGAAAGCGAAAACCAAACCUUAGGCCUAAGCACAGGAGGAAUUCCCUUCCUUAUAAGCUUCUUCAAUGUUAUAGCAUUAGCCAAAGAUGACAACUUUAGUGAUGAUUUGAGGGCAAUCCCUUCAGAUAUUGAAGCAAUCUGAGGCUGCAAAUACCAAUUAGCACCUUUGCUGGCCUCUAAAGCCCACCAAACACGCCCUUGUUCUCUCACUUUCUCUCUCACCUCAUUUAGCACAUUAACAUCAUCAACAUUGCCUUCAACAGUGAACCCAUAAAGGUCUUGAAAUUUGACUGUGAUGUUUGCUCUUCGUGCAUGAAUGCUUGGUCUCAAGAAUGGAAUUUGGGCUUGCAAUUCUAAGGCCAAGUCCCUUUUGCUUUGUGUACCAUACAUUUCUCCUCUUUUUUGUGAUGGAUCAAGAGAAAGAGAUUGGUUCUUGAUUGCAAAGAUCAAGAAGGUAUAGUCAAAAUUAGGAAACUUUACAGUCUUGAAACCAUGAAAUGGUCAAUUCAUGCAGCCCUUAAUUUUAAAAGUGAAACAAAGAGAGAGACUUCAAAUGGGUAUUUCAAAAUUUGGAUGCAGAGGAGUUACAAACAAGGUACAUUUCAAAAAGCUUUGCAUUUCUUAUAUGGACACCAAAGUGCCAUUAAAAGUUGGAUUUUUCACUAUACUGAUAUUAAAAAAUAAAAAAGAGACAAUUAUUCAAUUAAAUUAAAAACUUUUCAUUUCCAAGAAGGUUGUUUGAGGAUGAAAUGGAUUUUUAUUGAAAACAACAGAAACGCAGAAAAGAAAAGGAAAUUUUUUAUUAAAAAAGAGGGGAGAGAAAACAAAAGCAAAAGCCCAGAAAAAAAUCUUCCUGCUAUGCUAAUCCAGAAAAUAAAAUAGAAGAAGCAAGGAAGAGUAAAAUAAGAGGUUCAAAGUAUUGAAAAAGGCCCGAAUUUUGAGGGAGAAUUCAAGCAAGGACACAGCGGAAAAAUAGGUGGCUAUGGCUAGAGAUAGCUUCCUCUCUUGUGACUUGUGAGGAAUAUUUGAUAAACCUGAUCGGGGACUAGAUUGAAAGUAACUUAGAUUUUUUCGGGGUUAAUUUGAAAAUAGCUCAAAGUAUUUGCAGUAAGAAUAUAUUUGGAACGUUUUAUUUUAGAAAUUUUGGAAUAGCAUUCAGAAAGAGACGUUGAUGUUGGCAUAGGAUUAGGACCUGUUGCUGUUGGUAAAAAUAUAUUUUUGAAUGACUAAGUUACCCUUAUAAUGGAAAUGUGAUCGUUUUGUGACUUUCAAUAUUUGCCUUUCACAUUUUUUUUUUAAUAUUACAUAAAUGAAAAUUAAACCAAUCAACCCUAGUAAUAUUGAUAUAUGCAAUUUUUGAACCUGAAAUUUUUAUACCAAACCAUCCCUAAAAUAUCUUACAAACUGAAGUUAGUAGUACCUACAUUUCAACUUAAAAUUUAACUGCGAUUUUUGAAUGCUAUUGUAAAAAAUACUAUUUAUAUUCAAAUACACUAAAAGCAUUUCUGAGCUCCUUUAAAAAUAAUUUCAUAAAAAUAAUUUUUAUAUAAAUUAUCUGAUUAAAUGAUCUAAUCAUAAACACUUUCCUCUAACGUCAUAAUCAUAUUGCUUAUCUCUUGAAAUAUUUGGUCUUGCUUUGUAAGCAUAGAAAAUAAUUUUUCACAUUAUGAGUUAAAAUAAAUAACUAUAAACUCUUUUCAUGAUGGAUUAAUAGAUAUACGUAAGUAAAUAAUGAUAGAUAUAUUUUAAGAAAGUGUUACUUUAUAUGAUAAAAUAUAUGUAUAACAUAGAAAUAUUUCAAUUUAGAAUACUAUACUUUGUUAAUAUUUGAGAAAUCAUUAAAUCGUAUAAUUUAAUAAUAUAUUGACCAUGAAAAUUUUUAAAUCACAUAAUUUAAUAUAAUAAUAUUAUACUAUUAAGUCAUAUAAUUUAAUAAUUUUUUAAAUUUUAAUAAAGUAUAAGAUCUUAAAGUGGAUUAGCACUAAUAUUCCAAAAGUAAUGAAUCAGUGCAAUUCUGACUUUGGAGGCUAAUUUCGUCAUUCUAAAAGAUUCAGACGCGUUUUGGCUCUAUAGAGAGAGAGAGAGAGAGAGAGAGCGGCAAUGGCAUAAAAAAUAACAGUAAACUAAAUUGGAUGGCACAGCAGACUGGCCCGCAGCAUGAUUGCCUUAAGUUGUAGCGAGCUGGCGCGUGUGGGGCCUCCUCGUCCCAGUGGGCCUCCCACUCUGAUCGCGCGAAUGGUAUCACGUGGGAGCAUCUUGAGAUCCCACGUGUCAGGUGUCUGUCUUCUUACUGCCCAUAACAAAGACAAGAGAAGCGUUAGAGGUUUCCACACGUGUGCCGCUACUGCAGCGUUUCAAAGAAACACUGUUCGUCUAUUGUCGUUCAUCUCGCAAUUCUUCAUUUUAAUCGUUUGUAAUUUUAUUCACAAAUCACAAAGCCACAAAGUGACACAAAUAUGUGUAAUGUUUUUUUUAUUAUGGGCCGGCUUGCAUAACAAGAAAAUGGGCCGGUCAAAGUGUGGGCCCCAUAGAGAGAAACCAAUUUGUUUAUAUAAAAAAAUCUUUUCCUGGAUUUGUAGAUCACUUACUUAAAAUAGUCUAGAUUUUUUUAUAUGAAAAAUAAUAAUGUUUCUCAUAUAAAGUUGUACCAAAAUUAAAUCCAAAAAAAAAAAAAAAAGUUGGACCAAAAUGACGCCACAUUUUUUAUAGUUGUCGUGUGUGAAGUGAUUGUUGACUUCUAUAUUUAUUAUUAAUGGAAUUAUUUAAGUGAAAAUAACCUUAUUUUUUAUAUAAUAACGACCUAAGUAUCAUGUCAAUUACUCUAAACGUUAGCAGUAAUCUUAUUAAUUGUUUAAGAAUAAGUUAAGAUUGAGGAUUUUUUUUUAUUUCUUAAAUAUUGAUUUUACAUCUUUUAUUAAUCAAAUUGCAAACAUUUGAGUUUAUAUAAUUCACUUGUAACUGAUAAAUCUUUUAUUCAAAUUCUUACUCUCUAGUAUCAGUAUUAUUAUAAUAACAUUUUGUAUUUUAAUUGAUGUAAUAAUCACGCAAGUGUAAUUUUUCAUACAUAAAUCACCAUACGAGAAUAAAUUAAUUUUGUAAGUAAUCACUUCAUCCAUUAUUUUUUAUUUUCGCCCUUCCUUUCUUUUGAGUAAUCUAUAAGUUAAUCACUAUAUAGAUGUGGACAAAUGUAUUAGCUAGUUAAGUAUGUGCAAAUGAUAAUGCUAUUCAAAGAUAUAAUUGAUACAUCUUCUUAUAUAUAUGGACCUAUUUUCAUCAUUUGGGUCUUGAGAAGAUAUUAGAUAUUUUAUACGAAAAAUAAUUGUAUUGAGAACAUUGGAUAAAAAUUGAUUAAGUAGGUCCCCUCACUCUGGAAUACUGAAGUAGCUAGUUGCAGGUUCCACUGUCUUCAUAAGCUUGGUGGGUCUCAUGCAUGACACUUCAUGUAUAUGCUGUCUUCUUAAGAAAACGAUAUAUUGAAAAUGAACAAAAAAAAAAAAAAAAAAAGGAAGGUAAUUGCAAUGAUUUAUAUUAAUUNNNNNNNNNNNNNNNNNNNNNNNNNNNNNNNNNNNNNNNNNNNNNNNNNNNNNNNNNNNNNNNNNNNNNNNNNNNNNNNNNNNNNNNNNNNNNNNNNNNNNNNNNAAAAAAAAAAAAAAAAAAAAAAGGAAAGGUAAUUGCAAUGAUUUAUAUUAAUUAAUUAGGGAUACUUGAUCCCAUGAUUUAGAUUAAUUAUCAUUUCACAUUGAUGAUUUUUAAUAAAUUAAUUUAUUUAAUCAUCUAAUGGAGUUUGUUGCUUGAAAGGAACGUAUGUCGAGUGUUCAAACUGAGCAGCUAUGAGCCUACGACCAAAUCUAGUCUUGGGACAAGGUUUGCUUCAAAAGAAACGUGCUUGAAGAGUUCAAAGAGUUUUUAUAAUCUUAAAGGCUUGUUAAGAUGAAUUUGAGAGAACCUUUAUAUUGUUAUGGGUUAAUUUUGGUUUACUCCUCUAAGAAAUGACAAUCUAAAUUACUAUAAACCUCAACUUACCACUCAUUUUUAUUAAUUAAGAAAAUAAAAAAUUUCACCAAUUUUAAUGAGUAAAUUGAUGUUUACAAAUGUGAGAGAAGUGGUUGGAACCCCGCAGACGCAUUGCAGAUGUUUAAUUUAAAUUUCUUUCCUUAGAGUUUCAGAGCUUGAGUGAAGGCAGUUUUUCUCUCAGGAUAGGAGUUGGGCAUCCCUCGAAUAUUUGAAAAGAUUAAAAAAUCUGAGCGGUGCCAUUUCAGAAUUGAUGUAAACUAGUUUCAAUAAUUUGUAUGAUGUAAAUAUCAUGAGUAAUAGUUCUCCUAAAAAAAAUUUUGAUGUUUACAAAAAUUUGAAUAGUAUUUUAAAGAUUGUCUAAGGUAAUCCAAAAUUUACUUGUUUGUUCAUUAGAAUACUUUAACAUAGAAUGAAUUUUUUAUUUAUCUUAUCUUAUUUUAUUUUAUUUAAUCUUUUACUUCUAGAUAUUAGAUAAAAAUGAAAAAUAAAAUUUAUAAACCCCUAAAAUACAUUUAAAUUUUUUUAUUAAAAAAUAUUUAAAAUAUGAAAAAAAAACACAUCUACGAUAGUAUGUCAUUCGCAAAGUAUAAUUCAAUAAUUAAAUUCUGCCGGUAUAAAUUGGUUUUAGAGGUUUCGAGAUAAGUUCAUGCUAGAAGCAAUUCUAAACUUUUUCGUGACAGAAAAAAUCACAAUGACAUGAGAGGAAGACUAGUAACUUAAGGUCCAAGAUCCUUUGAUUGAAGGGCCCCUUCAAACUCAAUGGAAAUUCAUCCUUGUCCCUUUAAUAGUACAAUAUAACUUUUCCCCCCCAUGGUGGUGCCAUCAACAAAUCUUUAGCAUGAAGACUUGACCAUCCCUUGGGAAAUUCGUAGAGCAAAAUUGAAAUAAUAAUAUUAUUCCCAUUAUUGUAUUGAGUUCAUGAAGUUAGCCCUAUAAACUAUAUAUAUGACACAUAAAAUACAUAUAUUUCCACAUAUGUAUUUAUUAUAUAUAUUUUUAGAGAUAAGAAUUCGGUACUGAAUGAGCUACUAAUGACCCCAUUUUUUAUUUCAGUAUUGAAAAUUUCUUGAAUGCAUAAAUGUUAAACAUAAUUUUGAACGAAUUUGACUAAUAGCGGAUGUGCAAUGGCUAUGACCAAAUUAAUUAAUUUGUCAGCAACGUCUCUUAGAAAAUUUCGUUAUCUUAUUCGUAAGUCAUAAACCUAACGUGAGCAAGUGUAUGCCAGCGGCACAUAAGUUUGAAUAAAUUGGUUUUGACAUAGCUAAUGAAUCACAUAUAGUUGAUUUAUUUAUUUUUCUGUAGGCUACGUGAACUCAUGACCCCGCGACCCUAGCUACAGCUCAUUUGAGUUGUAGGAAGCAUGCUUUUUGAAUUAAUUAAAUUAAUAGCAAAGACAUGCAUGCAUGCUUGUUAAAAUUUUGUUGGUCAAAAGCAAAUCAAAGUUGUUCAACCGCUCAAAAACCAUUAAAGUUUCAUUGUCUUCAAAUAAGAAAUGUUUACAUUUACUGACCUAAAAUUAUGGAUGAUUAAUGUAAUCAAUCCCGUUAUUUUCAUUAGAAACGUUUAAUGAUUGACUGAUUGUGGUCGAGUCGUGAGCAAAAGUUUGUAAUGGGCGCAUGCUUAGAUUUAUUUUAGUGUAAAGAAGUUAGCAGUUAUUGGAAGAGUCGUGGUAGCUUGCCGCAUGUUCUCUAGAUUCAAUUGUACAUUGCUUGUCUUCUCAAUAAUUAUGUGAUGAAAUUAAAAAAAAUGGAGCUCGAGUCUCUUCUCUGAUAUCAUGUGCAUAUAUUUUAUUGCCCAUAUUUUAAUCCUUACUUGUAAUAAAAAUUUAUAAUGAAUUAACUUGUCUAAUUAUUUACUAUAGUAGAAUUAGUAAAUCAUUCAAAGGAGACUUGAGACUUGGAGCAUGUUUGUUCUUCUGAGUUUUGCGUCUUUUGACCUUAAUAUAAUCUAAUCUAAUGCUUGAGUUACUUUUCUCAAAUGGCGUUGCUAAUGAUGUGGGCAAAUUGCACAUUCAGGCCUCGCCCAUGCUUUGAUAAGUCCAAUAAGCUUUUACCCGUAUUCAAAAUUUCAAAUGGGUUGUUUUAUUUUAUUAUCGUACCUCAUAUUAUUCUAAACGCACCCCGAUCACCCACUUAAUUAAUCUAUUUAAAAGCGCGAUGGCUGAAACUCAGAAUCAGGAAAAAAAAAUAAAAUUGGCUGUCAACAAAAGAAAUCCCGUUGAAAUGGGGAUUAACAAUAAUAAAAAAUAAAUAAAUACAAGUUGCAGAGUGGGGUUAUACGAAUAAGUUUUAAUUGAGCAUAUGUGUUAAAACAAUUUUAUAUUAUUUUUGAAGAUGGAGCUACUUGAUAAUUUGAAAUUACUAAAUUACUCAUUAAAUUUAUUUAUUAAAUAAACUUAUUUUUAAAUUUUUAAAUUUUAAAUUCUACUUAACAAACUCAUCAAAACAUCUAAUAAACUCUUACUGAACCCAACUAUUAUAAUAAUAAUAAUAUAUUUUUACUGAUUAAACCAAUUAAAUUCAUUUAAAAAACCCUUAGUAAAUGCUUAGCUUUAUUAGAUUGAAAACUAAACAGAAAUAAAUUAAAAAUACUCUUAACUAUAUAUUUUGGCGCAAAAAUUCUAAGUGUAGCGAGCAAAGGCCAAACCAAAACGGCUAGAGCAGCUAAUAAUGGUAAAAGUGAGAGCCCUUCGUCAUGGUACCACUACUUAAUUUUGGGAAAAAGUCUGCAGUAGUUCCUUCAUUUCACCUUUGUUUUCUCCGGGGAGGUUUAAUUUUGAUGAGAAGCUAGCGCCUAGGGUACUAAAUAAAAAAUAUUAGUUUAGGGUUUAAGAAAAAUAACAUAAAGUUGAAUGUAAACAUGUCUUUAAAAGAGUAAAAAUUCUUUUUUUUUUUUAGUAUAACUACAUUUUAGUGUCAAGAUUUAAAAAUUAUUUUUAAAGUGAGUACAAUAAAUAAUUUGAUAAAUUCAAAUAACCGUAUUAAAAUAGGAUUAAUAAAGGAAAUGAGUUUUAAGAGAUAUUUGGAGGAGCGUUUUUUUUUCUUAAUCCUAUUUUAAUCAUUUUGUCUUAAUCAAAUAAUAGGAUCAAUUUGAUGAGUCCCACUCUUGAAAUGAAUGAACAAGCCAAAGUGGAAUGAACUGGACUCAUACUUCAACUAAUUCAUGGGUAUAUUUAGGCAUCCAUUUCCAAUGGCCACCAUCCUCCACAGAGAAGAAAUGUUGAUUCACGUGUGAAGGGGAUAUUUUAUAUGUGUAAAUGUCAUACAUAUAUAUAUAAAUAUGAACAAGUUGGAUAAAGAAAUUAAUUUGAUUAAGCAAUAUUAUUCUUUAGAUUUAUUAGAAGUACUAAAUUCCGAGGCAGACUUGUCGUUGAAGAUUAAUUCGAUGUCCCCUUCCAUUUCCCCAUAAUAAUCAAAUGUAUUGGAGGAAGCUAGCGAGCUCACCUAGAAUUUUAGGUAACUAUAAGUCAUUCAUAACUCAUAAGUAAACCCAAAGCCUUUAAACAAAUUAAUUACUAAUUAGCAAGAAGAGUCAAACAAACAAACAAGUUACCCUCGGGCGUAAUGCUAGCCGUAUACUUUUCAAAGUUUCUUCCUUCCGACACGCCCUACCGAAAACAAUUACUAGCGUGUGUGUAUAUAUAUAUAUUCCCAAUACUUAAUUAUCACGAUGCAUUUAUUAUUAUCACAAUAGAUAUUUUAAAAAUGAACCUCCUUCCACACACACACAAAAGAUAUAUAUAAUAUGAAGGAGAAAUAUCGAUUAAUAAAUAAAUGUAUGAGUGAAAAUAUCACUUUUCAUCAAGAUUCAUCAUUAAGGCUUUUUCACUAAUAUACAAGUAAUCAAAUACGCAGUAUGGGAACGUAGAUAAUUUAUGAUAUAAAAAAUAAUAAUUAGUUGUGCUUUGAGAAUGAUUGAUGUUUGCAUAUUUCAUUUGGGUUCUUUUUGUUUUUAAUACUUUCUUUAAAAAAAUUGGGUCAUUUUGAUUUUAUAUUUGUAAUUAAAUAAUUGUCAUUUGGGUUCAGAAUAAAAAGUUUUAAUUAGACACACCUAAUUAUAAAUUAUUUAUUUGAAAUUAUUUUGCACAGUGCCGUAUUAUACACAUAAAAUUAUGUACAUACGGUAUAUAUCCUUCAGGUAAAGACACAUGUUGGGCAAAUAGAGGAAAAAAAAACGAAAUUUAGAUUAAGGACAAAAUAAUGUGUCAAAAUAACAAUUUUGAUGCAUGUCAAUAUCAAGGGUUAGGUGAAGGCUCCCCUUCACUCUUUUAUACAUAAAUCAAAAGAGAAUUACCACAACACAAUUUAGAGAAACCAUAUAUAAUUAAAGCAUAUAUCGGUUGAUAAUCAAUAUUUUUGUGAACCUACAUCUGAUUGAGAAAAGAACCGAAAAAGAACAAAUAAGAAAAACAAAAGAGUUGUUUUUCUGCAUUUCAGUCAUUUUUAUAAUUUGACUAAUUACUGUUUAGACUUUUAAUUAUGCAACCAAAAAGUAUGAUGCUGAUGAAAUGUACCAAAUGUUUUUAUAAUUGGAAUUUGAUUUUAACUCUGUACCAACCAAAUUAUACACGCACCUUGUAUUGACAACAUGAGCCAAUUUGCCAAAAUAGACAAAAAAAAAAAAGAAAAAAAUAGGAUGCUUUUUGUUAUUAUUAUUAUUAUUAUUAAAUUUCUUAGAACGUGUUCAUCAUAGCAGAGAGGCCUUAUACGAUCAAUUAUGCAAAAUUUGAGUUAUCUUUGAAAGCGCUUAAUUUCAAUUAAAAAAAAGGAUGAAUAAAUUAAUAAACAUAGAAUGAACUUUGUGAUUCUAUGAUUUAAUUUGGCGAUCUAAUUAAAAGUACCUCCAUCAUCUUAUUUCUUUGCUAUUUAAUCUCUUUCCUUAACAUUCUUUAAACAUUCUACAUACACUUUUCGUAAACUAUUUCCCUCUACUUCCCCCCUCCGGAAAAAAAGAAAAAGAAAAACAAAGACAAGAAGAAGAACAUAAGAAGAUCAAAUAAUGCCUGGCUUUCCCAUGUACGCCGUUGCCGUCCGGUGAAUAUUGUUUCACCUGAAACAAGACUUCUCUUUGCAAAUCGUAUAUCAUCAACUCCAUAAAUACAUAUAACAAUAAACAUAGUAAUGGUGCUUCAAAAAGCUCACCCAAGAUCAUAUUUCUUCUUCUUCUUCUUCUUUUUCUUCUUCUUUAUCAUCCUAAAAACAAAAGAAAAAUGAAACCCAAGAAAGCAAAAUGAAAAAGAAAAAAAAACGCUUUUGGAAAUGUUCAAAGAUUCAAUGGAAAAUUAAGAGAUGAAGUCAUGAGGAUCAUUAUAAUAAGGGUUGUGAGAGAGAGAAGAUGACGAGUCUCUUGCUAAUGUUUUGUUUUCAAAUUAUAAAAGUGGGCCAAGAACAGGCCAUUUUGUUUCGCACGUUGGGUUGCUUCUCUUUGUCUUCCCACUUUUUAAUUCAUUAAUUAAAUUAAAUGACUUUCUGUGUGUUUCGAUUUCUUUUCAACAAACCUGGCCUUGAUUUCGGGAAACAUCAAUUUAAAUUUCCAAGUUAAUGAUUCGAGGAAGCUUUGAGUAUUUUGUUUUCUCAUUAAUUAUUAUUGUUAUUUUAAAGAAAUUAAUGUGACGCCUGUCUGAUGGUUUGAUGAUAUAAAUUGAUGUUGAUCUAAUCUUUUUCUUCGAUUUAAGAGCAGAAAUUAUGGCAAUGUUCAACAGUUUUCUCGUUUGGAAUGGUUUAUUGACAAGAUCAAAAAGUUUGGUUGAUUUUAUGCUAGCUGUUUGGACGAUGGUGAUGCUCUCGUCAAUUAAUUAGGUUAUAGUUUUUUUUUUUUCAAUGUAAGCAUAAAAAUCAGAUCAAAACUAAAUCCUUGUUCAAAAUAAAUCAAUAGUAAUUUACAAUGUAAGCAUAAAAAUCAGAUCAAAACGAUUUUAUGCUAGCUGUUUGGACGAUGGUGAUGCUCUCGUCAAUUAAUUAGGUUAUAGUUUUUUUUUUUUCAAUGUAAGCAUAAAAAUCAGAUCAAAACUAAAUCCUUGUUCAAAAUAAAUCAAUAGUAAUUUAACUUUUUCCCUGGAAAUUGGUGGUCAAACAAGCCAUCAAUUUGUCAAUUUCUGCCGAUAAAUGAUUUUUGUUGUUACUUCUUGAAGUCUUUGAAGGGGUUGGAGCUGUGGCCCGCAACAUUUUCUGAAAUAUCUUUCGCUCAAAAUUAAGAAUAUACAAGUGUUAUGUCUUGUUGCAAAAAGUGUUCCGGGAAAGAAGACGUUAUUUUAACAAUUUUUAGUUUCAUUAAUGUUUGUUAAAACAAAAAAUGCCAUUUCAUUAAGUUGUCGAAUGAAUAAAAAUAUUCCUACAAAGUCAAUCCUCAAUAGACUUCAAAUAUUUCAACAUUUUGCUUUUACAAUGAAAAUAUUACUUUAGUCUAUAAACAUUUCUUUUGCCUAAAACAAUUUUCAAGUACGUCAUGAUUCUCUAUUACUAUAUGCGAGCUACUACCAAUUAGUUAAUUACUAUAGACAUGUAUAAUUUAUGCAUAAGGUUAUGCUCCUCAUUAAUUUUUCAAAUUAAGAUCUUCGUUUUUUGUUAUUGUUGCCCUCAUACGUUUGAACUUGUUAUUGAUUCAAUUUUUUUUUUUAAUUAAUUAACAAGUUGUAUUUACACUGGGAAAAGUGUAGUUCGGAGGAGACCACCAAUGACCUUUUUUUUUUUUUCCCCCCGCCUCUCAAUGUAGUCAUGGACAAUAAAAGCAAAUUAGCCUGGUUGUUGUAGGUGUUGGUUGGCUCAAUGGGUAAAAUUUUUUAUGACGAUACAAGAAAUUUGGAGUUUGAACUUGACUCAAAUGUGCAAAGGAAGAAUUUAGAGCAAUAAUAGUAAUAAUAUAAUGAAUAUAGAUAGGUUGUUAAAUUGAUAUCUUCAAAGCGAAUAUAAAUCUUUCAAAGAGGAGAAGUUAAGCUGUUUUCCUUUUUUUGUUUCCUCACCAUGAGAGAAGUUAGCUUAUUAAUUUAUCGGCAUAUUUAAUUUGAAAAAAUGAAAGAAAAUGAGAAAAAAUACAAAAAAAAAAGUUGAAGAAAAAAUAAUUUUAUGUGAAACUAAACAUUAAAAUUGAAAUUAACAAUCGAUCAUCCUAUUUUUUGUAACCAAAUAUAAGCUAAAGAUUUAGAUGCAUGGAUGGAGCAAUUGUGUCAUGUAUAGGAAUUAGGUUCAUAAACUCUGCAUGAUUAACAAGGAGACUUGUCGUGAAGAGGUAAGAAACCCGACAACACCUUCCCCCCAAAUAAGGCAACAGUAACCUAUUACAGGAACAAAGAUUUUUGACCGGCAGAGGCGGGUUUCAGCUUCAGGGAUGGGAUCAGUUAAUCUAUUAGUAAAUUGACCUAACUUAAUAUAAUGUGGUGAAAUUGUCACCCAAUUCCUUUGACUUUUUAUGUUUGUUUGAAAAAUUGAAAUUGAAAUUAAAAACAAAUUUAAGUGAGCAUCGAGUGAGUAAAAAUCGUGCCUCAGAAAAGGGAGAGUAGUUGAAUGGAAUCUUGUCCUUGUCUAGGGCAUCUAAUUAAGAUAAGACUAGGCACUAGCAAUGUUCUGCUAACGUUAUCGAAAGACUAUUUGACAAAUCACUCAUGGCGAUGCUUUUGUGUCGCUCCCUCUGUCAAUAGAGAGGACUGCACAAUCAAGAAUGGGCCGACCCUUUAAAUAUCUCUACAUUAAGAUUAAUGGAACAUUUAAUUGUAAGUUGACAUAUGCUUUCUGAUCUCAAAUAGAAGAUGCUUUUAUGGGACGAAGAUGUUUCUUUAAAGCUUUAACCAUACUGAAAAACUAACACAUAUAUCUUAAAGGAUAUGUAACAUGACUUAAGAUAUAAAUUACGAAUGUAUGAAUUGUUCUCGAUCUAAUAGCGACAUUCUUAUUCUAAUAAAGUAAGGAUGUCAUAAAAUAAUAAUAAAAAAAUAUAAAUUUUAAUACACUAACAAAUAAAAAAUAUAUUCUCUAAUGUAUUGAAAUAUAUAAUUUUUUGUAGUAAAAUCGAUAUGUUGUCACUAUAAAAUGACUUAUAUAUAUAUAUAAAUCAUCUAUAUGGUGACAUAAUAUGAAUAUAUGAGAUGAUCAAACCAAGCUUAAUCUAUCUAAAAACAUUAGGAAGAAAAUCAAACCCUACUAAUGUAUACACAUAUAUGGAAGGAUUUGAAGGGGAGUUAUCUAUACCAUCCAGCUAUAUUUAUCAAAGUUAUUAACAACUAAUAGAACAAAAAAGAGAAAAAAUAAAUAAAAUUUGAACAUGCACGAGUCAUAAAAUAUCCACUUGUCAAAGUUUUAGUGAAUCAAAUAUCACUUGAGUGUAGAGCUUAUGGUUACAGUGUAGCAAACAACAUUAGAUUAUGCUCCUGAGCUAAUGUGCCAAAAAUUAGUUACUAGGUCCAACUUGUAUUGAGCAUGGCACACGUGUGAAUAACAUAAUUAGAAUCUUAUAGAAUUCAAUACUAUAUAUAUACGUAAUUGAUUGACAUUUCUAGUUAAUGAAUUGAGAAUCUUCUACAAGCUUCUUCUAAACAUUUUCUUUCAUUUUCCUUUAGUUUCUUGCUUGCCAAACAUAGUUACUUCAAUAUUCUGUCAUGGUAUCAGAGCUUGCAACGGCAAGCAUUAAUCAAAAUAGUCCUUCUUAUGGCUUUGUUACUCCUAUUAAGCUUGAUCAGAACAAUUUUAUCUUAUGGCGUUCAUAAGUUUUGGUAUCAAUCAAAGGCAAUGACCUAAAAAGCUUUAUUAUUGGAGAACGUGAAUGUCCAGAGCAAUUUAUCUCUUCUGAAAACAGUAAUGGAGCUGAAGAUUCAAAUAACAAUAAAGCUGGAGCUUCGAUUGAAUCUAGAUAUAUAAAUCCAGAGUUCAACCAUGAUUGACUGUCAACCUUAAGGUAGCUUUAAGAAUCACUUACCAGUAUGUUUAUCUCUCAAUCUCAAGCCCGAAUUUAAACUCUUGGGGUGCAGAUUAAAAAUAUUAAAAAAGGAUCUAUGAACAUGACUGAUUAUUUUGCUAAAAUCAAGCGCAUAACAGAAAACUUAGCUUUAGCGGGAAAGCCAGUUGAGCUGAAUGAUUUUGUCAUUUAUGUGUUGACUGAACUUGACUCUUCUGAUUAUGAGUCUUUAGUAGCUGUUGUGUUAGCUUGAGGUGAAAAGCUUACUUUAGAUGAAUUGUAUUCCUUGCCUUUGAGUCAUGAAAAUAGAAUUGAAUAAAAGAGAGGAAGAAUUGCUAGUGAUGUUAUGCAUAAUAUAUUUGCAAAUGUUGCUCAGAGAAACUUAUAUUUUGGAAAAAAUAACGAUGCUUUUCAAAAGAAUGCUGGAGGUAACUUUGGAAGGGGAAACAAUUCAGGUUUUGGAAGUUUUAAUGGAGGUCUUAAUGGUGGUGAUAACUCUAUAGAUAUUAUUUGUUAGAUAUGCUUUAUUCCAGGGUAUAGUGCUAAUAGAUGCAAGAACAUAUAUAAUUCAUCCUUUUUGCCUCAAAGAAAUUAUGGCAGAGGAAAUUUUAAUGGUGAUUUUAGACAAAGCCAAGGUUAAAAUUGUCUAGGAAGAUCAUUCAAUGGUGCUGGCAGAGGUUUUGGACUCAAUUUCGGAGGUCUUAGACUUAACUUUGUCAAUAACUAUUCAUCAAGAAAUUCUGGUUUUCAAGGACAUAUGGUGUAUUAUGAUAACAUAUCUGGUGCUAGUUCUAUAUACUAUUUUUUUAUUCCUAGUUCACCUUCUUCUGUGUUUGCUAUUGGAGAUGGAUCUCAUGGCUUCAAUACCUUUGAUUCUCUACUUCAGAAACUUCAAUUCCAACUCCUGAACUUAUUAAAGAUCCCUUUUAGUACAUUUAUAGUGGAGCCACCAAUCAUAUCACUAAUGAUUUAGGUAAGCUCUUCAAUUUUCAACUUUAUACUAGUGAUGAAAGGUUGUUUGUUGGUAACGGAAAUGCAUUGCUCAUUAAACACAUUGGAUCAAUUCUACUUGCCACCACUAAUUCUGAACCUUUACACAUUAAUCAUGUCUCACAUGUACCAUAUAUCACUAAAAAUUUGCUUAGCAUUUUAAAACUUCUAGCUAACAAUCCUGUUAUGAAAAGAAAUAAAGUAAUCUUUUUUUUAGCAUUCCGAAGAAGUCGUUGAUUGAGCGGUAUUGUUGAAUUUGUUGGAAACUUGUGCUUUAUUAAGACAAGGAGCAUAGAGAUUACAUUGCUUGAGGGAGUUGCUACAAGAGGACUAUAUAGAGUCAAAAGUUUUUCAUCUCAAUUUGGUGCAACAAAUUCAACUUUUCUCAGUUUUGUUCCUCUAAAUAGUCCAAAGUCACUUUUUGCUUGUUGUUCUAUUUUUUCUUCUCAAGAGUCAGCUGUUAUAAGUUUUUCCAACCAAAAUAAGAAGUCAUGUUUGUUUAUCUCAACAAUAAAAUCGGUUGAUGUUAAUCUUCUUCAUAGAAGACUAGGACAUCUAACAAUUUAUACUCUUAAAACUAUACUUAAAGCUUGCAACAACUUUGAUAAUUUCAAUAAAACUGAUACUUUGCACUUCUGUAAUGCAUGUUAAUUUGGCAAACAUCAUAUGUUAAAUUUUGAUUCAGUUGCUACCAAAACAACAACAACUUUACAAUUGAUCUAUGCUGAUCUUUGGAGACUUUCACACAUUUCUUCUAUUCAAGGUUACACCAAUCAUCUAUCCAUCUUAGAUGAUUACAACAAUUUCGCUUGGAUUUUUCCAUUGAGUGCUAUAUCCGACGCCCUUGAAGUGUUCAUUAAUUUUAAACACUAUAUUGAGAAACAUUUACAACUUACUAUCAAAAUAGUUCAAAUAGAUUGAGGAUGGGAAUUUAGAAACUUUUCUUCCUUGCUUACUGUCUCAGGCAUUCAUUUUAGGCAUCAUUGUCCUCAUAUACAUCAUCAAAAUGGGAAAAUUAAAGGAAAACAUCGACAUAUAGUUGAUAUUGGUUUGACAUUACUAGCAUAGGCCCAUUUACCUUUAAAGUUUUGGUGCAAUGCAUUUCAUAUUGUUGUUUUCCUCAUCAAUCGACUUCCAACGCUAGUUUUGAACAAUAUUUAUCUUUUUCAAAAUUUGCUUCAUAAAAAACUAGAUCAUUCAAUCAUUCAAUACUAAAAACUCUUGGUUGUGCAUGUUAUCCAAUUCUUUAGCCAUAUAACAAACAUAAGUUUGACUUUAGAAUUGGCAGAUGUCUUUUCAUUGGCUAUAGUAGUCAUCAUAAAGGGUAUCAAUAUUUAUACUCUUCAAGAAAUGUUUGCAUUUCAAACCAUAUUACUUUUGAUGAGUUUUAUUUUCCUUAUAUUUCUGGUGUUGACUUUUCUUCAGUCUUAGAUAGUUGUUCAUCUUAUUCACCCAGUGAAUCUGUGUCUGAGUUUGUUUCUUCUUCUAUGUCUCCUCUUGUUCAAAUACCAGUUCCUUCAGC